GAGAGAGAGAGAGAGAGAGAGGGAAGAAAUGAAAGGAACCCCCUUGAUGUUCUCUGAUGCCUUCUUACUUAAGGCUUCUGAGUUUAACAAAGCAGGGAGACCCAUGCAGGCCUUAUCACCUCAGUGGCUCUUCACCAGGGGGAUUGGCUUUUCUUUGGUCUCCUUUUCCUCCCAGUCCACUGUGGUGGCUGAAGUCUGGAAGCCCCACUUGUGCCUCGUGGUUUUGACUGUCUCUUGAUUGCCUGGAGGACUUGGGAAGGGUCCAGUGGGAAAGCAGGGAUGAGAUGCGUGGCUCCCCUGCCUAAAUGCACUAGUGGGAACUGUGACCAGUGCGGCCCAGAGAGCAUCUGACUAUCCUUGAGUCCAAGUAGACUGUCCUCCCUCCCUUCCUCCUGUCCUCUUUCCUUCCAUCCUCCCUUCCUGCCUCUCUCACCCACAUGCACAUAUCCAGAAUCCCUGUGCUACCCUGUACCCCGGUCUCCUGAACUUCACUACUUAAUUUACUUUUCUCCAAACCCUGGGAGGCAGAAGCCAAGAGGGUCCGCUGACUCAGGAGCGCACAUACAGCAGCUGCCACAGGUCAGUUCCCAAAUCAACUUGUUAUUUUUACUGGAUUGGGGAGGAGAAAAGUGAUGGAGUGCUUGGGCCUGAACUGGAAGUGGUGAGAGUCCUAGCAAGAUGGAAGGAGGGGGCUGGCUGGGCUCUGCCAGGAAGCUCUCCUGUUUGACUGCAUAGGAAACAAGAGCCUACAGAGAAAGGCCCCAGGAUGGAAUUCCCUGCUCCAGAGCCCUCUGCAAAGGGCUGGCUUCUCCACCAUCACUGUCUUCUUUGGUUCAGAAGGAGUACAUACAGGGGCAAUCUUCCUCAGUAAAGAGGAACUUUCCAGAGCUACACAACAGGUGGGGACAGCUGUGCCUGCCAACAAAGCUGGCUGGCCCUGCACCCCUCAUCUGGGUCCCCUUUCCACUUCAUCUUCUUUUCCACUGGGGAUGUCCGAGCCUUGACCUGACCCAUGAAUGGUUCCCAUUUCAGACUGGCCUCAUUGUACAUGCAACAUGUUUAACCAGAGUCAAGUGUACCGGGCACCAUGUGAAGCACUUGAAAUAUACUUUCUCCUCAUUCCGACUCCCUUGGGGAGAUAAUUAUUAUCCCUGUCUUAGUAGUAAUUACAUAGAGUCCCAGAGAGGUUGACCAACCUACACAAGGCCACAGAGCCUUGGUUGAGCUGGGAUGGAAACAUAAGGAUCGAGAUCUACAAUCUUCUACCCUGGCCACAGCCCCAUGCCAGUAUUUCCAGUCACUCCUAGGUACAUAAUUUUCAGCGUUCCUUUAGUUAAAAUAAAUAAAUAAAUAAAUAAAUAAAUAAAUAAAUAAAUAAAUGAAGGGAAAUUAAGAGAUGCUUAAAGGCAGACAACAGGUGGAGCAGUAGGGAGUAGAGCUGCUGUUGGGUGAAGAGGACCCUGGACCUUUCUUCCCUUAACCUGCAAACUGUAUGAUGGAACCUGCUUCGCAGAUUCCCAACACAGGAGGGCCUUUUCCAUCAGCAAAUCACUGGAUGCGCCAUACUGGGAAGUCAGUACAAACCUUACUAGGGUAGGGGUUUCUGUGGAGACACAUUUGAGGAGUGUCACAAUAGAGAGUAGGGGAACAAAAGAGGGUUGGUUUGUAAUAGAAUCGAGGGGGUAGUAGAGCCUGGUCAAUAGGAGAGUAGGCUUCCACUCCACACUUAUUUGGCUUGAAUCUGGCUCUCAUCUCAGGCUUGGAUUCCUCUUCUGUAAAGUGGGGUUAUCUCGCAUCAAGCUCUCUGUUCCCCCUUUAAGGUUGUGCGGGCUUGAAAUGCUGCUGCUGCCUCUAGAGAGGGUCAGUAAUGAAUAGUUCUGAUUUUCCAGAGAUACAGACAGGUGGACUGGUUCUUAACAAGCAGUGUGAUGGAAUGAAAGUGGGGUGCCUCACUCAGGCACCCUCCAUUCUCAUUCAGCUGACCAAGCACUCUGUCCACAAUGAGGCUAAUGCCUUCUGACUAAAGAGGGCCUGGUGUUGGACUCCUUGUGGCCUACAGCAUUCUGAUCCACUCAUUUGCAAGUUAGUUUGUACCACAUUUGCUGUUUAAGAACUCAGAUCAUUCAUUAAUGGCCUAGCCACCUCACCACCUCCAUCCACAUUUCUAGUUCCACGUGGAGUCUUUCUGCAGAGAUGCCUUCCCUGCCUGACUUGAGCAGAGCAAUGUGCCCAGCACAUUGUCCCCAGAGCCCUGUGUUCACACUGGUUAUCAGACUGUAUUUCUGACCCUAAUAAGAUUGAUGAAACAAUCAGGUGCUAUUUUAUCCAAGGAUCAGCAGUCCCCAUUAAAAUUCAAGUGAUCAACUUAAAUUAAGAAGCAACUGAACUCCCUUAUGUCCACUUCCUAGAGACACUCAAAAAACUGGUGUCCCCCACCAUUCUUGGAAAAAGACCCAUUCUUACCUUCUUUUCCCAUUACUUUGUUAAACAAUACUCUAAGAACAUCACCUUAGGUAUUUGGUUCACGAAUUCAGGUUACAGUCAUUUCUUACAGGGUAGUCAAAGCAGCAGGAACUGAAACAGCUAGUCACAUUACAUUCAUAGUCAGAGAGCAAUGAAUUAAUGCAUGCAUGCCAGUGCUCAGCUCAAUUUCUCUACUCACAUAGGCAAGGAUGUCAAGCCUAGGGAAUGGUGUUGCCUGAGAUGGAUAGGUCCGCAUCUAUUAGCAUAACUAAACCAGUCUCUCCUCAUCAUCUCAGAGGCUUAUCUCUAAGAUAACUCUAGAAUGUCAGGUUGAUGAUUAAAACAAACCAUUGCAGAUCCUCUGCUCUUCUCUCUAAGUUUCUUCUGUCCCUCAGUUUGUCUCUUUCACUUCUUAUUCUCUGCCCCUUUAAUUUGUAUAUGAAGUUGGUCUCUCUCCUGGCAAGUGAGUCUCAUUUCUCUUUAAGAGGGUGGGGGGCCACACUGAAUGUGAACAUGAAUCUUGCCCCAGUAGGGGAAUGUAGCUAUAAACACUGACACACAGAACAACAGGCUUCUGCCCCUCACUUCUCCUCCUCUCCUCUCUGCUGUGAGAAGCAGGGGUGCCCAGUCUGUCACAGGCAUACCCAGGAAAGCUAUGAAUGUGGAAAGGUUGGUCUCUAUAGGCAAGUAAUGAAGAAGAAAGAGACUGUGCAGGUGUAAAAGAUGUUUGCUCACUGAGCCCUCGUCCUCAGUGCUCUACUUGGGUUCCAGAUUACAAGGCUUUUAGCAAUGAAGAGAACUGAGAAGGCCUGGUAUACAGAGCAACAUGAGAUCAAACCCUGCUUCCACAGGUCUGAAACUCAGGGAACCCAUAUUGGUGCCCCCUCCCCACCUUUCCCUGUGCUUACAGACACAGGGGUUCUCACACAUGGCCUGUGGACAUCACUGCAAGGCUCACAGAAACCCAGGCUGCUCCACCCUGCUCCAAGAGCCUCUGACUCAAAAGGCCACACUAAGUAAUGCCACAAUGGCUGCCCUGUGACAUUCUCCAUAGUAUCUGCCAGCUAAUUUUAACCCUGUAAGUUAUUGAAGUCCCUCAUAUACAAGGUGUGAGAAGAUUUCCUAGCCUCCUUCAUUAACAGACCCCAGAGAUGAGGAGACCAAGAGUUGUUUUUUUUUUUUUUAAUUUUUGUGGCUGGAGUAUCUUCUAUAAGUCUCUUCCUGCUUUCACAUUUUUUGUGUAUUGGAAGGCUCCUAGGUCAAUGUCAGGGUGCUCUGAGGUUGUUCUAAUGGAUAGAGACUAGAGAGAGGAUCCAUAGAGCCUCUGACCUCCCUUUGGAGUGGGGAGAGCACUGAGGUCACUACUUAUGAGCAUAGUCUUAUGUUUGGUCCUACAUGUUGAUGGCAACUUUACUCUUCCUCAUAAUUGGGACCCCAUUACUUGGCCAGUCAUCUAUGCAGUCAGAAGGACAGUUACUGCUACUGUGCUCAUAAAGGUAGAAGUAAGGACAGUGAGAAGUCACACACCUGGGGCAUCAGGUUAUUGCUCUUUCCUAAGCUUGGAAAGGACCUGUGUCUGAUCCAAGACCUUUUAACGUCCUGGCACUGAGUUCAGGGAUGGAAACCAAUUAGUUGCCACAACUGCUCACCUGCCUUCAGUCUAUGGGUGCUUCUUGUUAGCAAGAUCAACAAGAUGAGAUGCCCACUGUGCCUGUUUUUAGGAAGUUGACAGUCCCUGGGACUUGCUACCCAGAGGAGUCACCAGUGGGGUAAGCACAGCACAAGCAGGUGCUAUGAAGCUUAUACCACAAGGACUACACUUUUCUCUCAGCUUUCAUGAGGUUUACACAUUUGCUGGAAAAGCGUCGGCUGGAAUAAAGAUCCAUGGGAGAAAUGGGAAGAGGUGAGGCAGGAAGGGGAGGCAGCAGCUGAUUCCUGUGGGCCUGGCAGACCAUUGACAGAUACUGGGAUUUCUUAAAGGGUCACUCAAAACCAUCAAAGGGAUUUGUGUCUGCUGGACUGGGGAGUGUCCACUGCAGAGACAGAAAGACAGGAGGAGAGUAGUGACCUGGCUAUCAGCAGGAGCAAUAGGCAAUGAGCUGAGUGUGAAUCCCAGGAAUAGAUGCUUUGAAGACAUGAUGGAUGAUGACCCUUGAUCAGCAAGGAGAGAAGAAGUGUCCCCACACUGGGGUCCACACACAGUAGAAGUUCAGAAAGUAUUCAUGUGCCUAAGGCUGCAGAUACAUGAGUAAGGAAGCUGUGUCCUGAUGGUUUGGGGUCAUUGGCCCUAGGUGACACUGUGCUGGUAUUUGAGUACCCCACCCCCUUCCUCAUGGCCUUGUCUGUAAGCUGCCCUGCCUCCUCUGCAGUACUUGCCAAUUUUGUUGACAUACCACGUUUGGCAACCAUUUGCAACUUGAUUAUUAUCUUUGGAAGCCAGGCAUCACAGGUGAGCCUCAUCGAAAGCUCUCUGCAGAGAACCGCCGUGUACAAUUAGUAAGUGGAGAAAUGUGUCAGAUACAGAGGAGUCUCCAAUCUGGCUCUCCCUGGAGUGUGUGCAGGGCUUGUUUUCCUGUUGGAGGCACACGUCAGGACCACUGAGAAAGGAGGUCAGCCCAGCAAUUGCUUGCUCUACCCUCUGCACUCUGGUUGGCAGAAGGAAGAGGCCACAGCAGGUGAAACUCCAGGCCCUUCUGCUCCAUACAACAGGAAAGGGAAAGAAUCAAACAGAAAAUGCUGGAAAAACAGGGUGUAAUUCCUUUAGAAUGCAGGGAUUCAGAGUCUGAACAUUCAUCAACUAGCUCUUAGCAAUACUUUAUGUUUAUGCCUGUGCAUAUAUGUGUGUAUGUUGGUUUGUGUUCGUGUGGGUGUACAUAUGUAUAUGGGGUGUCAUUUCUCAGGAGCCAUCCACCUUGAUUAGUUCUUGAAACAGGGUCUCCAGUUGGCCCAGAGCCCACUGAGUAGGCUAGUCUGGCUGGCCUUGGAGUCAAGUGAUCUGUUUGUACCUCCCCAGCACUGGGAUGGCAAGGACCCCAGAAUGCCUCAGUUUUAAACAUGGCUUCUGGGAAUUGCAGUCUUCAAGCUUAUACGGCAAACACUUACUGAGCUACCUCUCUAACUCCUCUUAGUGAUAUUUUGUGCCAAACGUAGCCAUAGAUAAUAUGGAACAUGAGCUAAGGCUGUCUAGUAACUGAAAAUAUACAGUGAUGUAUAAUAGUGAUGCUUGCAUUGGUUGCAAUUUUCUUGAGAGCAGGGAUUGAUUCUGGCUCAUUUCCGUGCUCUCCCAAGUUUGUACAUGACUGCAGAGAAGGAACUCAAUAAGUGCUUGCUAAACAGAUGGAUAGAUCAAUGGCUCAUGAGUCUGAUUUAUAGGUGCGGGGAAUCCCAAAUAGUAAAACAUGUCUGUAAAGUGCAUUUGCCAGAGUCAGGCUGGUGACCUCAAUUCAUCCUGAGACUCCAGCCUCCAACAGUGGAGUCUUCACAACAAUCCUGCCUCAUUUUGUAUUUGAGUUACUGGGUGAUCUUGGCUCAGUUGCCUCUCGGACCACAUUGGGCAAGAUUUUCCAUUUGUUGACAAGCUUGGUUUUGAAACUGAUCACUCCAGUGCAUUUCAAAUGGAAAGGGCACCAGAGUUUGUGUAUUCUAAUAACUUCUGCCCAGAAAUGAGUGACUUCUUCAGCCUGGAGGGUCAGCUAGGUGAGCAAGGCUCUGGGGAAGGAGUUGGCCGAGGGAGAGAAAGUCUGGGGACAAGAAUAGACUCUAAGGCACAACAGAAUGGCUGAAAAGUGUUUUUUAAAGCGUCUUGCUGGUGGGGGAUGGGCAUGUUUGUUUCUUUGGAUAGCUUAUCCGUGUCUGAAAUUCUCUCUGUAGCCGGUGGUGGCCUCAAACUUGUAACACUCCUGCCUUGGGAUCCUGAGUGCUGGGAUUAUGUUAUCACACUUGAAGUGGCUGGGAUACUUUCCCAAUCUUUCCACUCAUUUGUUCUGUAGACAUUCAUGGCCUGUGCUGAACACAGCAGGGUCCAGGGAAUACAGAGACGGAGGAAACACAGCCUUACUCCGAGGAAUUUGCCACCCAGAAUAUUAUUGGGUAAGAGACUUGAGAAUGUUCUGCGUUGUAAGGGGAAAUGAAUUGAGCUGCUACAUUUUUGGACUGGAACUUUUUGCCUUUGACUUUGAGUUUUGACUUUGUUUUAAGUGGCAAGAACAGGAAUUGGGUGUCUGGUCUGUACCAGGCUGUCUUGGUUAGCUCUUAGACUCAUCUGUGGAAGUCAGGUCUUAGGAGAGGAGCUCAAAGAUGGAGUGUUGCUGGCAACAUCUGCUUAGCUCCAGACUUUAUCUUCCUGUUGUCUCCAGUAUGGGAGCAGACAGUUAGGAGUAAGCUGAGCCUGCCUAGCCAGGCUCUGCACACCCUCCACCCCCGAGUCAUCCAUGAGUCUGCAGAGACAGGUGGGGCCAGAGACAAUGUUUGACUUCCUUCUUGCCUAUGAUGGACCAUUUGUGGUCUACAAAUAGCUGGGUGUUUCUCUAGAGUCUGAGGCUUGAGCUGACAGUGACUGGAUAGUACCAUUCUAAUUGUGACCUGGUACACCCUCCCCCAAAGAUGCCAUAUUGAUAAGGGGCUUCUAAAGCCAUGGAAAGUCCAUUCUUUUGGGGGGUAUGGCCUGAAAAGGAGUCACAUCCCACAAUGUAAUAGACUAAUGUUCGUAGGAUCUCAGCUAUUCAUUCUGAGAUGCUUUGGUGGCAAAUUAGACAUGCAGAAUCUUGGGCUCUGAUCUUAUUCAAUUUUUAAUUAAUUUUCAUGUAAUAAGCUGUAAGCACAUUAAUAUCAAUGAGCUACUUCCUGCAGUGUGGCUAGCAUAUGGCUUUCAGGAGCCAGGGGUAUUGUUUUUCCCUUUAUUUGGGUUGAAUAAAGAUUACCGAUCCUCUAAGUAUUAUUUUCUGACUUUGGGAGUGGGGUUAGAAGAGAGUAAUUACAUUUCCCCAGCACACUUGGGUUGAAAUGUCACAGGCAUUUAUUUGGGAGCAACAAGAAGACUCAUCUUCUGGCAUGCAGGACUCACCCAAGGCUGAGCUGGCAGAAGGUAAAACUUACUUCCAGUUCUAAGAAGUGGACAAAUGCAGAAUCUCUAACCAAAUGAGCCACAGACUCUGGAACGUGGUUAGUUCAAUAUUGUUACGAGAAGGUCUGAAGGAGGAUUCCAAAAUGAAGAUAUUUAAAGUAUUUGUAUGGCAUGCUAUGCCUAGAUACCAAGAUCCUGUCUGGUGGCAUCCUUUCUUGAGGCAGAUGUGCUAUCGCCACUUGAGCAUCUCUGGUGCACAGAUAAGAUGUACCCCCAUAUCUGGGAGGCAGCCAUCUAGGAUGAAGCGUUGAGCACAAGAACAGCGGCAAGUCUCAAGGAGAACUACAAAUCCACAUCAGACUCAUCAACAGUGACAUCAUUCACAGCAGAGUUACAAAAGGGAUACUUUUAAGCUAGGUCUUUACUGGUAAAUGGAAUUUAGAUAUAAGGGAAAUGGCAGCCAUUCCUGAAGAAAGAAAAAAAUGCAGACAGGCUCACCAAAUCCAAGGGAAGUCACCAGCAUGCUUUUCUUUCCUCCAGCCAGAUGGGUGUCUUAUUGCCUGUCACCUCCGUGCCUUCCAUCCAGGUGUCCUAUGACAAUCAGCCAGCAUGCCUGACAGUAGAGUCUUCAUGGCACCCAGGCCACCUAGGGUCAGGUCUUGUGUGCAUCCUAUAUAUCGUGGCUCCGCUAUGUCCCAGAGUCACUGAAAAUCGUGUCUCAGCAGUGGAGAGUUGAGGUGCAACUAGCAUGAAGUGCUGAAAAUGGCAGCAGGGGUGAGUCUGGAUAAUGGAAGUUUACGCAGGAAAUCUCUUUGGUUCGACCUCUCUGGGUUAUUCUUCAAGCUUGAUGGAUAUGGCAUAAGAUCCCUAUCAAAUCCCCCUUCGAUGGCUGGGAAUAUUAAGGCACUCCAGACCUGUAAGCCUGAACCUCAGUCCCUAAGACAGUCAAGUUCAUGAAGUCUUUGGAAAAUUACCACCCUAAGCCCUGGGUGAGACUGGUUUCUUGUCUUUGGGCUUUUUGUCUAUUUAAAAGAGAGAACUGGGGUGGUAGAGAUCUUCUCCAUGAAGUCACCGAGAACUUAGGCUUAGCUAGGUCUGAUGAACUGAAGUAGCUUUAUUUCAGAGACAUGUGCUAUUUUGAUGACUCUAGCUCAGAGACUCUCGAGUAAGUGAUGAGUUUGGGUUUGGCUCGCCCCAGCAGUGUGGUUUUCAGCAGAAUUUGCAGCUCCCUGUUUGGCAUCUCCAGGCCUCAUUGCAUCCAUCCCAUGAGACCUAGUUGACUGGACCCUGAUCUAGAGUUAAAGGUUGUUCUUUCCCCCCAAAGAGCCCACAGGAUUCUCUAGGUAGGAGCUGGGAUGCUGACCCUGUGGCUAGCUGUGUCUGAAGGACUCUGAAUAAAUCAAUCAGGAUUUGCCUUGAUAGAAAAGACAGUGGAGCUCCUUGCUCUAAUCCCUGGCUUUCAGCAGCGUUCUGUGCCAAAGACAGCAGCAUCUGACCACAAGUGGCUCCACUGACAAAUGGGGACGGUCAGCUGGAUUGUAGCAUCUCUCACAAACUGCCCCAAGAAAGCACUGUGAUUCGGAGAGCGGAGGGGAAAGCAGAGAGGCCACAGGCAGUGAGAAGCUCUUUGCAGCCUCAGCAUGGAUGGUCUAAUCACUUUUUGUUUUCUCAUUAAUUUGUUCAGUCUUCUUCCAACUGUGCUAUCAGCAGGACCUUCAUGUCCCUCCUGGGGGCCGAGCCCCUCCCCCCUUAUUCAGACAUCGGAUGAUUAACUCAGUGCAAAAGGCCAGUCAUAGUUUCUCCUCUAAUCAGUGGAGGCAGCAGGUCUUGGUGAGCUCACUGCUGCUUCACACAGAGCAGCUGCUUAAGACUGCUUUAGAGCCCAGUGUGGAGGCACAUGCCAUAACCCACCGUUUGGGAGGUGGAGGCAAGAGGAGCAGGGGUUCAAAGCCAGGCUGGGUUACAUGAGACUCUAAAAACAAACUAAAAAAGAAAACGAUGCAAGGCAGCUUUGGGCAUCAAUCUCACUGGAUGUGAGGAUUAAAGGAAAACACGAAUUAAAUUCCUGGCAUGAGCUUGCUACAGUGUUGCUGAGAUAGCCAGCAGCAGCCAGCCUCCUACCAGGACGCCUACCCACUACUCACCCCAGCUUCUAAACUUCCUUUGAUGAAGUCCACACAAACAAUCUAAGACAAGACAGGGUUCCAAUGCUGUCACUCUUUAAUGCAAUCCCCCACUUUGUGAUGACCGCCCCCGGUCAUAAAAUUAUUUUUGUCACUACUUCACAACUGUAAUUUUGCUACUGUUAUAUACCAUAAUGUAAAUAUCUGAUGUGCAGGAUAUAUGAUACAUGAUGCACCACAGAGGUUGUGACCGACAGGCUGAGAAACACUGGCCUAAGGGGACACAAGCUGGGGUUCCUCUGUUCAGGUCUCCCCCAUCCUGUCUGUGGAUGAAGUCUUGUUGGCUGGGUAGCCACUCUUAUUCCUCUCCUACAACAAGGGACGGGCAACUAAGCAUGAUGGGGUAUGACUGUAUUCUCAGCUCUGAGACCAAAACAGCAAGUUUACUAGUUCAAGGCCAGCCUAGGCUGUGUAUCUGGAGCCUAUUUAAAAAGAAAAGGAAAGAAAAUAAGAAAGUUUAUAAAAAUGGAAUGGCAGUGUUUUUAGACUUAGUUGGGUUCCAUUGAGAUCCUGGUAUUGCAUAUAAGGCUCUGUGUGGCUCCUGGCUCCUCUCUCCCACAGCUUCUAGAAUUACCGAGGACACUGGUAACUAGAUAUCUGUCCUAAUUAUAGAAGAAUGAUGUGUUUAGGUUGGAUAUCGACUUAGAUCUGUACAAAACUUCUCAUUCUUCUUUAGAACCCAGGUGUCCGUGUGGCUGGAGAGAUGGCUCAGUGGUAAAAGCACUGGCUGCUCUUGCAGAAGGCUUGAGUUUGGACCCCAUCAUCCCUAUAGUGGCUAUUCCAAGCUAUUAGGAGCUGGAUAAGAACAGAGGUCAGGUUCCUACUCUAUUCCAAGUUCGUACUGGGUGAGUGAAAUGGGUAUAGGUAAUAAUACAUUUUUUUUUUAAUCUGUCAGCUCUUGGCAUUACCAUGGGUGACAAGUCCUUGUAGCAGCCCCUGGUUACUCUUCAGCCAACCUAUCAACACCAACAGAAGUUCCUACAGACCACAGGCCAGCAAAUUUGGGCUCCAGUUGUGACCCUACUGUUAGCCCAAGCAUUAUGUUCCAGUCUUUCUGUAUCUUGGUUCUGGUCUCGUACUCUUAUGAGGAUGCUAGGUCACAAACCUCCAAUCUCUUCAGUUCUGCUAUUGUAGAAAUCUCUUAACUCUGAGGUUACAAAAGUUGGCCUUGCCAAUCCUCCAGGAGUGAUGGCUCCUGGAGGUAGGAAUACCAUGGGCUGAACAUAGCUACAUUCCAGAUACUUUUACACACUGAUAUCAUAUUUUCCAAAACUCCUCCAGGAGGUAGGAACUACACCAUGUUUGUUUGUUUGUUUGUUUGUUUGUUUGUUUUUAACACAGGAGAUAUCUGAGGCUUGGGAAGACUGGAUUCUGAGCUCAUGUGACCAGGCUCUUGAGUAUCCCAAACUCAGCAGGUUCUAUAAGGAAGGCACACACUGCCUUUUCCCCAUCCUCUUCCCUGUUGUGUGUACCAUUUCAGGGCCCCUUCAGGAAAAGCAGUAGCCGCAGCCGCAGCUUGAGUCAUUGGAGGGGCCAGCCUCCAAUGAAACUUGAAUAUCACAUUCACCUCACAGCUUCAUCUCUCCAAGCACAGCACAGUUGUGGGAGAUCAGGCUGGCCCACCUGCCUUUUUACUCUGCUCUUCCUUGCUACUCAUCUGUUCUCUGAGUCCCUAAGCCCUGGCUCAUUGGGACUGAUCAGAAAACAAAGGAAGGGACAGAGUUCUCAGCACGUGUCUCAUUCUCUUUGGAUUAUUGUUGUCAGGGCAGUGUCCCAGGGUCAUCCCGUCAAAUGAGGUAUCUGGAGCAUCCUUCGAGAUGCUCCACUCUGUUUCUUCCCUAUUGCGGUUCCCCACCUCCAACCACCAGAUAACCUGCUCUCUACCUGCAGUCCCUCCUGCAUAGCCUUCAUAGACUGAGUUCUUUGACUGUGCAUUGCUGGUCCAGAGGAUGGUUGUGUGCUUGCCCUGAGCUGGCCUAGCACUGCCCCCCCCCCCCCGCCUCUCACCCCACCAUCACACACAUGGGCCAUUGUAUCUAUUCACAUGUACUUUCAAAUCAUGAAGACACCUCAAGGUCCCCACACUUCUGGCUUGGUCUGCCCAAUGAACAGAAGGGAUUAUUUCUAUAAGUCUCUGGAAGCCAUGCAUGUGCUUGCAUGUCAUUACAUGUCCUUUGAGGCUCCUCCUCUUCCAGGCUCUCCAACUUCUGUAUUUCUCAUGGUGUGGCCCAAGGCUGAUAAGAGAUGGAGUGCAACAUGGCCUGCUUUCUUUGUCCCAUUUUUCUACAGAUGUCCUCAGAAGGUCCAACUUCUCCUGCAUCCUCCUCUGAUGGAGUCUGAGGAUAAGCUUGGCUAUCUUCCAGAAUGUGCUUGCUGUUGGGCUUGCACAGCUACGUAAAGCAUCUCUCGAUGACUUGUGAUCCCUGCUACCCAUUAUCUCUAGCUUGGGGCUCAAGCCAGGAUUAAAAUAGGACAGGAAAACCAUCUUCAUGGCCUGUUAAAGUUUUACAAGGUGUUUCUGCUCUGUUGAGUUUUAUUAAAAGCAGCACAGUAUCUCACCUUCUGCCCAGAAGCUGCCAGAACCCAAUGUCCACUGUUGUGUCUCAGCCAGGUCUCACUGUUCGAGAGAUUACUGCUUCCUUCCUGGAGCGAGGCUGCAUGGGGCUAGCUAAAGCCUAGGGUGGGGAACAGUACAGUACAUACACCAUGGCUCCCUGGAGCAGGCGAAACAGGAGCCACACGUAGCGUGCUCUGUGCCACAUGUAAUGACUGCUGCAGCUGUGUGUGCUGGGGUUGGGGGAUGGAGGUGACCCCCUCAACCUGCCUGGGAGAAGACCCAAGAGAGUAUGAGAGAUUUUGGUGCACUGGGAAAUGAGACCAUCAGCUGAGCACAGUAUUCACUAUUUGGCCAGGCUGUCUCCACAGUUUCCUGAGUUUAUUUUGGUUCCAGGAGCUCUUACCUGGAACUACAGUGUGUUUUGAGAUUUUUUUUUCUGGCCAAAGCAAGUCUCGAGCUGGAUGUUGACUUCUGCUAGGUUUCCUGUCUUCCUGGUUCUAACAGAGCUAAGAGACCUUUGGGAUUUAUAAAACAGAGAUGAAGGAAGCAUGCUCUAUGUCCUAGAUAGAGCAUGGCCCACCAGGAAGAGUUGAAGCAGGCAAAGGAUUGCACACAAUGGCAGUGUAGAAGCAGGUUACCAGUAAUUAGGAGAAGCAUAACCUGGGGGAAUCACCUUAACUAGAGACUGAGUGUGAUGUGGCCAUCACAGCAUGAAAGCCUAGACCUGUGAAUACUAUAUAGUCAAGUCUCUCCAGCAAGUAAGAUCUGACCUACUUUGCUAAAACUCAGGCUGAUCCUGUAGGAACUACCAGUACCCAGUCCUGCAGCCAUUCAUUCAAUCACCACUGUGGACUGGGCAGGAAGGGAGCGAGACAGAAUCUGUUGGCUGGCCAGCAUCAGCUCCGGCAAACAUCCGUUGCCAGGUGUUGCUUGAGAGGGCUGAUGGUGAUUAAGUGAAGAUAGCAGGCUCUUUCCUGUAAAAGUUUUAAAUUGAAAUAAUUAAGAUUAUUUUGGGGGAAAAAAUGAUGCUUUGCAAGGAGGCAGGUGUGCCAAGAGCCAUCUGGGUAAGUGAAGAAUGUAAACCAGAAGUAAAUAGCUUCCAAGAGUACAAGGAUUGGAGGAUGGGAAGAUGGUAUCAAAAGAUGAAAUAGGAUGGAUCAGGCGCCCUGGGGGACAGUUAACGAUUUUGUUAGAAGUUCUUUGGGUCCUGAAUCACCCUGCAGUUUCUCAGGCACAGCACCAUUCCAACCUGUUACAGGGCUCUGGAGAGGCAAAAGUUCUUAUGGAGACUUUCUCCACAAGCCUCACUGGAGCUGGGGAAAGGCAUGCCAUCCUCUGAGUUCACUGUUUGUCCAAUGCCUGCAGUGUCCUGAUGAUAUUGGGUGUUGACCUUUCCUCUCCAUACUGUUCAUCUGUAGCUGGACCCGUUCUGCUUCUACUAGGUAGUGGCAGGCUGGAGAAUGUCUAAGAAAGGGCCCCAGAGACUAUGCCAUGUGAAGAAGAGAGGACUUUGGGCAGAGAUAUAGAAAAGAAAGACUUGGAAAUACGUGCCUUUUGCAUGCUGGGAAGAUCCCUAUGUAGAGAACUGGACUGGGCUCUGCCUCUACAGGGCAGAUGUGGGUCUGAAGAAUGGGAUCUCUGUAGAGGUCAGUCUGAGCUUUCUAAUUGACAAUAGCCUGUGCUAGAAUGUGUCUCUUCCCCAAGUGCUGAGCCCCUUGUCAAAUAGAGAAAACACACACAAGCCAGGUGUUCUACGGGAAGUGUUGUGGAAGAGGUCUCCAAGAUUGCUGGGGCCCUGAGUCUGCUCCCUGGCCUGACCUGAUGUUCCAGUGGUUUCUUCUAGGAAACAAGGGCUUGUCCAACUACUGACCUGCCUAAAGGGGGAAAUGGAGUUUGUUGACUGUUGCUUUUUAAAACUGAAUUCAGAAGCAGGCAAAAAGCAAAUCUAUUUUCAGAGCAGCACAUGCCAGCACAAUUUAUAUCAAAACUCCCAUCUGCUCCUCGGAAAGGCAAUGAUGUGGACCAAGCAUUUGGUGAGCCAGCAACAGGCUUACUUGUUGAAGAAUGUGUACUCCCCAGGGAUGCCCAAUUAGACCCCUAAAUCUAAUAGGGGUCUUUAGAUGAAGUCCCGGCAGUUGUAGUCACCAUGAUCAGAUCACAACUGCCCUCUGAACACCCAACUUAAAGACAGAGCACUGCACUUUGAAAAGUCUCAGUACAAUCAAGAUGUAAAAAACCACAUGCACAAAGAGAACCUUAACUAGCAAAAAGCAUCAAAAGACAUGUUCAUUAUAGUUAGCCAUCAUAAGGUGAUCUGCUGUGAGAGAUGAGUCUUCAAACUUCCACAGGUUGAUAUAAUACAGGGAGAUUGAUUGUUUAUGCCAUGGCUUAAAAUGGGUCCCUCCGAAUAUUCGGGGACCCAGGCUUCUUCUGUCUUACAACCACCCCUGUCAGAUACACCACAUAAAACCUCAGAGUCCUUUCACUGGGUCUUAAGCAUAGCAAAUGAAGAGGGGGCCCAGAUUAUGAUGCAGGGAGUCAGGUGCCAGGCUUGGAUGCAAUAUUGGUCAUGUUGCCCUCACUCCAUCAGUGUAAACUAUUCUGAAGGCUUCCGUGAGAUGAUAGAGGCCCAGAGCAUGAGCUACGCAUGGAAGGGGUCCUCAGAUGUUGGCAAAUACGGGAAGUCUGAGUCCUAGGAUUCAGAAGAUAGAACUUUGCAUCUGUCUCAAGAGAUGGCUUCCACAAGUCUCUUGUGAACUGCAAGCUCGAGGUCAGGCUGGUACAUGGUCCUUGUUCAGAGGCUGUAGGUGAUAUGGGUUUUGAAGAUGCUAUAGCACUUUGGUCUCUGAGGAGAGUGCAGGUUUGGAGGGAGGCAUUUGGGGGUAGUACUUGGUAAAUGGGUAAAUGAAAUGUUUUUCAGAGAAAAGUUAAUGUGAGGAUAGUUAACAGUCUAUUACUGAUAGUUAGGGAAAGACUGCUUAGAAGAAGGAAAGUAUGAAGCGCACGCAGACAAUCUUGGGAUGAAGAGAGCUUCUGAGUUCCUACGGGAAGCAUGGGGCUACGAGCCAAGUCAGCACUUGUUCUUCUGUGUGCCUGGUAAAGUUGCCAAGAAUGGGUGCAUCCUGGUGGGUUGACCCUGGGGUUGAGCCCAUUUUGGGUACUCUGAUGAAACACCACAAGCCAAAGCAACUUAUAUUAGAAAGAGUUUAUUUGGGUUUAUUGCUCUAGAUGGUUAAGAGUCCAUCAUGACUGGGAGGUGUGGCAGCAAGCAGAGGGUGGGCAUGAAGAAGACGGCUUUUUAAUCUUGGCGCCCAUGCCCACUGAAGUCCUUCUUCCAACAAGGCUACACCACCUACAUACCUCUUUGCACUGCGCCGCCUACUUGGGACCAAGUAUCUAAUGCCUGAGACUAUAGAGGACAUUUCUCAUCCAAACCACUCAGGUCCAUUUCUUUAUCUCCUUUAGGAGUUAAGAACUGUUGUAUCAGGCCCCAAAGGCAACUUGCUGCCAAGUCAAAUCAGAUUGUGAGGUGGGGUCCAAGACGUUUUGUCUUCGCUAUUAUUGAGCCUUCAAAUAGCAAGCAAAUGUCCAUUAAGCUUCUCUGUAGGAAUAAAUUAUUGGUUGGCGUUCGAACCCCUCAUACUUUUUACAGUAGCGAGCAGCAUAGGAAAGAAGCUGAAAGGCAUGGGGAUGUUUGCUAACGUUCUUUCUGCAAAGAUGCACUUUACACUCCUAGACUCCACUUCAUUUCUCACACGGGUUCUCAGCUCUUUAUCUUGAUGGUAAUAAGAUGUAGGCGGUAGAAUGGUGCAGGUGACUGUGUGAUUCAUGGGAGGUGACCAGUCACACAGGCAUGACCACAGGUGAGUUACCGCCACCCUCAUUUCAGACUUAGACUGUCAAGCAUCCAGUUGUUUCUGGUUCUUUGGGCUACAAACAAACAUUUGUCUUUGUCCUUGUAACAUUGUUGGUAUAAUUCAAAACCCACGAGUGCAAUCCAUGCUCCCAGGUGUAUAGCAUGAACACAGCAGACUCUUGGCUGGGGAACGGAAGGCUCCAUGGUCUCCUCGAGGCCAUUCUUUAAAUAUUCAGCCCCAGCAGGCUCAUUGCAGGACUUGCUUCUUGGCCACCAGGGCUCUGUUUUGUUUUUCUUUUCCAUCCCCUUCCUUCUCUCAGGGAAUGCUGUGAGCAGAUCACAGUGAUUCACUUUGUGGGCUUAACCAAUGGUCGUCCAUCGAAAUGUGUUUGUAAGUGAACUUCCAUAGUCCAUCCAGUCUCAAAUGUCAUCUGGCUAUGGAAUCCCUGUGAUCUAUGCACUACUCAGGGAAAAGAAUUGCUGGCCAUUAACUUGUGACACGGUGCCUGCUCAUCCCUUAGGACUUUUGCUUGUUUCUCUUUGCGUUCAAUUAGUUCUGCCUUUCUACAUUGCAGAUAGAGAGUAUAGGCCCAGUGAGUAGAAGAGGAUUCUGAAAUGCCCACUUAGAUACUGAGGUCUCAGACUCUCUCUUUCUCUGAGCCAUUGAUAUGUGUGCUUCCUCACAUACCAUCAUUCUCAGUGCCAGGAUAAGCACUGGUCAUUUAGCAUCUCUAAAAUUAGUCAAAAACAAAAAACAAAACAAAACAAACAAACAAACAAACAAACCAAACCAACCCUAAUGAGAAAUCUUCAGUGGUGCUCAGUUCCAAGGGGCCUCCUUGGCAAUUGCAUAAAAGAAAGAAAGCUGUCUGUCUGUCUGUCUAUCUUUCUAUCAUCUAUCUAGAGUACUGAGCAUAGAAGAACCAGAGGAAUCCCAAGCAAGUUAGAUCCCUUGAUCUAGAGCCUGUGGUGUGACAUAGCCAACCUGGGAACUCCUCUGUCACUCGAAUUUCAUUCUUUUAUUUCAUUUUAUUUAUGUGGUAUGCACCUAUUCAUAGGUAUGUGCCAAUGUGAGUGUCUCCACACGUGUGUGCAAAUGCUACAGAAGCCAGGAGAGGGCGUCUGAACCCUUGGAACUGGAGUUACAGGUGUUUACGAGCCACUUGAUACAGGUCCUAGGAUCUGAACUCUGGUCCUCAUGAUUGACCAGCAAGUGCUCUUGAAUGUGGAGUCAUCUCUCCGGCCCUGCACCUGACUUUUGACUCAAUAUUCUCUAUCAUUUGUCAACGACAGAGGAGUCAUUUGGCUCUUGGGGUUAAAUGACACAUCACUGUGGCCUCAUUAGAUGCUCUAUAUGGACUAUGUCAGAUACUGGUAAAAACCCUGUGAGAUAGGCACCCUUGUUCCCGCAGUUCACAGAGGAGGAAAACGGGGGCUUUCAAAGUGAGGUAGAGUCUAGGACACAGUGGUAGGAUUGGGGUCUGAACUCUGCUUUCUUGUCUUCAAUGUGUUUCAAUAUGGACAUCACUAAACACCCUUCCCAGGAUAACUAGCCCUCCUGUGUAAGGGAUAGGUCCUAUUUGUACAGGCCUGAACUCAAAUCCUGCCUCUGCCAUCAUCAGCAUUGCCAUCCUAGAGAAACCAUCCUAUUUUAUUAUUUUCCCAGACACUGUGAUGCCAUUUUACUCAAACACUUCUGGCACCAAAUGUGUGGUGUUCCCACACCAAAAAUCAAUCCUUCAGCUCUCCAGAUACCAACUAGAUAUCUAGUGAUUCAAUUGGAUCCUGACACUAACUGCCUGGAGUUAGUGUCAGUGACCAACUGGCUAUAAAUUAGUGGCUCCCACAACCACUUCCCCAGGUUCGAUAAUCUGCCACAGUAAUGGCUGAGAUGCAGGGAAGACAUCUUCCUUGCAUUUAGCAGCAGAUAGCAAAGGAUUCAGAUAACUACUUAGGUGCAGUGGUACUCAGGCAAUGUCUAGAGCAGUACUUUUUCAACCUCCCUAAUGUUGCGACCCUUUAAUACAGUUCCUCAUGUUGUGGUGACCCCCCAGCCAUAAAACUAUUUUGUUGAUACUUCAUGACUGUACUUAUGCUACUGUUGUGAAUCAAAAUGCAGAUAUCUAUGUUUUCUGGUGAUCUCAAGGGAGCCCUGUGAAAGGGUCAUUUGAAGCCCAAGGGAGGGUCACAACCUACAGGCUGAGAACCACUGGUUAGAAAUAUCCUUGAUGAAGGAACUUCUGCCCUAGAUUUAAAGAGUGCCACUCUCCUGUCAGCAACCUGUAGUCUUCUCAAACCCCAUGGUUUAGGGUGUCUUACAGGGGCCUCAUUAAGCAGGCAUGAUUGAUUAAAUAAUUAUCCAUUAGCCCAUUGACUCAUUCUCAAAGCCGUCUUCCUUCCCUAGGGUCGCAGGGUCAAGAUGUAAGUAAGUGACAACCCUAUAAUCAUAUGACCGAAUCCUCUGUCAAAUAGUUCCUGUCUAGGAGCCCUCAGGUGGGCCCUCCUUGGUGGAAGUUUGGGUACAGCUGAACUGGUUUGUUAUGGACCCCAGAAUAUGUUCCUCCUUCCUUAUCACUCAGAGAACCUCAAGGGUUCCUGGAGCCAUGUGCCAGGACCCAGGACAAAGUGAGCUAUAAGUAUGGAGAGGUGCCACUGAGCUCAAAAUGGGCUGUGAGCUUUAGACAACAGAACCUGUACGGUGGGAUGAGCACAGUCCCCAGUGUUUAUCCUCUUCCCCUAGAGUGGCCAUUCAUAGACUACUGAUCAAGGGAUGUCUUUGUGUGAGUAGAUGCUGUGCCAGAUGCAAUUUCCUAGGUAACUGGGGGUUAAUUACAAAUCUCUUUUGUUCCAACCCUUGUUUAAAAAUCCUUAGGAAACGUCAGAAUUCAUUUUUCUUACAUGCAGUGAGCAUGAUUUAAUCUUCUGCCUGUUCUGAACACCACUUCUUGUUACCCGGGGCUGCGAGUAGAGCCAGGAAGGAGGUGGAGCACCGAGGAUGGCAUGCAAAGCCAUUUCAAUAAUUAAUUUGAAAUGCAAUUUUUUUAAAAGGGAAUUUACCUUUUUGCUUGGGUUUUCAGCACACUGCCUGUAUGUUUGAAGGUACAAAACCAGAAGCCAGAUAGGUAAAGGCAUUCUUUCCUUAUCUGCAGUUGUCCUUCCAAUAUCCACUUGAUAAUUUACUUAAAAAUAUCAAUUCUAAGCCUGCUACAUGCCAGGCAAGGAGCUUGCAUACCAUAAUAAGCAUGGUUGCCUUCUACAUGAAGCUGCUGUCCAGUGGGAAAGAAAAGAAUUACCAGGAAUUCUUGGAAUGGUGAGGAGCCAUAGCAAAAAUCUAGGCCUGGCCUGCGUCUAAGACUUGAGGCAAUGACACCCAGGUAGUUAAGUCAUUCUGGGAGAAAAGACACCGUCCACGAAUGCAGGAUAGGUCAAAAUCAGGUAAAAAAAAAUUGUGUAGAGAAGGCUCUGAGUAAGCAUCCCCAGUGUGGUGCAAAGUUCUGAGCCUAGUGUGGUUGGGACAGAGAGUAGAGGACAAGGGGCAUAGAGGAAAGAGAAGAGAGGGCCAAGUCAUAGCUCAGGCUGAUCAUCUAGGGACAACAAUAUAGUUACAGUCAUUCAUUCUUUCAGUGGACAUUCAUUUGGCACCAGGAAUGCUGGAGGUACUGACUACUAGGUGCUUCGUAUGUAUAAUAAGCAGGUUAUAGCCCUGGGCCUUGAGAUCCACACAGUCAGAUGGAGGAGAAAGUCCUAAAAGGAUAAUCAGAGGUGAGAGAGGAAGAGAACACAGAGAGUCUGUCUUGCUAGGCUUCAUCCUGGGGGUCCAGCCUUCAAGUUCAUGGGAGAAAGCAGAUAGCCAAUGAACAGCAGGUGACUGACAGCAUGAAUCAAGAGAAUGUGCCUCACUUUCCCCAUUGGCCAGCUAUCCCAGCCAUUUCCCUUAGUCUGGAUUACAGAGCUCUCUGAAAACAUCCCUGUCUCAUCACAAAGCAAGCGAAUCUUCUGACAGGGUGUCCUGGAAACUGGUAUGGGACAGAUGCGAUUUGACCUUGCUGUCACAGAGCUUGCAGCAUAAUGUGGACGACAGGCAUUAAAUAAUGAGCCACACAAAUAAUUAUGUGUCGUAAUUUAAAAUGAUAGCAUGCAAUACAAGAUGUGUGAGAUGAUGGCAGGGGACAGGAAGGGACCCAGGAAGGCUUUGGUGGGAAAUCGAUAUCUGAACGAGGAGCAGCACGGAGGGUGGGGGCAAACAUGACACACGGAGAAGAAUGGCUAGGAUAUUCAGAGAAAAGGGUAGCUACACAGGCUACACAGGCUCUGAGAUCAGCGUGGAGCACUGUUCAAGCAUGGCUGGGCCACAGAGAUUAACUGAGAAAAGGCUAGAGGGAGUCCAGAAUCCUGAGAGGUGCCUGCCACUUUAGAGGUGUUCAUCUCACGACAAAGAGAAAUUGGGAGUCACCAAAAGGUUUGUAAAUGGGGGAGUAAUAUGAUCAGAUUACGCUGGCUUGCUGUGAGGAGAAUUUUCGAAGAGAAGCAAGAAAGUAAGAAGGGACACAGGUAUGCAUUAUGCAUACAUACAUACAUACAUACACAUACACAUGUACAUAUACACAUCACAUUCAUGUACAUGUCCGUGUACACAUAUAAAUGUGCACAUACAUAUAUUAAUAUACAUAUGUGUGUACAUACAUGUAUGCAUACACAUACAUAUACAUGCAUACUUGCACACACAUGUACAUACACAUGUACACACAUAUAGACAUACAUAUACAUUCACAUAUACACAUACACAAUAUACACAUAUAUAAACACAUGUACACAUAUGUAUAUACACACACACACUUCCUCCAGUGGCUGUCAAUGCCCUGUGUAUAAGCAGCCAUGUCAACAGCAGGAAGCAGAUACAAUAUAUAAUUAUAAUAUAUUAAUAUAUAAUAUAAUAAUAUAACACAAUAUAUAAUAUAACUAUAAAAUGGCAGAUGCCUACCACAUUAUUUCUUCCAAUCUUUCUGAAAUGAACGCUCCUCCAUGAAGAUGGAAUCUGGAAUGUGCUUUGUGAUUUGUUUACCCAGUUCUGUGAAAUGGCAGGCCUGGGACUUCUCUUGAGGCUAAUAUUCUCUAGACAGGAUGUAGUCAGCAAAUAAUUUAGUAGAUCCUAUUCUUUAAGAGGACUUGGGGUGCACCGGUAGGGCAAGAAUGGAAUCCACCCUCUGUCAGCCUUUGACUCAAAAGCAAGCAUUACCACAUAUUCAGUCCGGCCUGGGAGUUCUCCUUUGGGCAGUAAAGUUAGUUCUUAUCUCCUAUCCCCCAAUAAUGAUGAGCUGUUAAAUUACAUUGUUCAUGCUAUUCACAGAGAGAGUGAUGCGCAGGCCUGAGGCCUCAUUGUGGAUUCCCUGAUGCCUGUCAUCUCACUCUCUCUUAAUGGCUUAGAGAGGAAGCAUUGCCACUUGGGAAAAUACCUCUUCUCAGGGGGUCUUCAGUUUCAGAAACAGAGCUGUCAUGGCUGGAACAGUGGCCUUUGAGGGUAAGAGGACACCUAGAGGGGGAACUACCUCCAUGGUAUCUGUGCUUUCCCCUCCACAUCUCCCAAGGGGCCCCUCAGGAAUGCUAAUGGGUUGAGGAAAGGCUGGCUGGUGGGGAGGCUGGGCUCCAUUUCUUUUGCCCCUGUUCAUUGUCUGAGCUUUCCAAGCGACCCCUGGCUCUGAUCUGGUUUCUGUGGGAAGUCUGGGCAAGCUGCUGCCUUCUGGGGAUUAGGCCCACUGAUAACAAGGAUAAUUAUAGCUGUGGGUUUGGAGUCGUUCAGAACCAAAGGUAAACUAGUGCACAGCAGAAAGCCUUUCCCCCUCCAAAAAAGUAGGCAGGAAUGGUUGGAAAGGAUGUGUGAGUCUCAGAUACCUCAAGGUCACUUGGAUCUGCUGCCCUUGCUACAUGUCCCAAGUUGAAGCAUGAGGCCAUGCUGACCUUCCUGUCCUGGAAGCUGGGCUUUACUCUUGUUGACUUGCCCCUAUCCUGUAAAACAUGCCAAGAAGCCACCUUGAGAUGAGGAUUCCAGGCCAUGCAAUUAGGUGGGUGGGUGGCACUCAUUUACAUAAGACUAGAAGUAUAGUUUGACCAGUGGAGGAAAGAGAUGGGCUAGUCCACCCUCACCUCUCCUACCAUGGACAGCACUGAGAUGAUGCAAGUUGGCUUUGCAAGUGUUUCUUCAAGAGCCUUACAGGCUGAGCAAACAUGCCUGCCAAAGGGCCAGCUGAAGGUCCCCGGAAUGUGCCCAACAAUGGCCCCCACAGCCAGGCAUCCCGGGUAACCCUCUGUGCCUCCCCUCAAUUUGAGCUGCCUCUGACUUUAAUCCUGCUCUGCUUUCCAUUGGGUUCUGGCUAAGACUUUUACCUUUACAUUUGGACCUGCUAGCCAAGUAAGACUGCACGUUCCACAAUCCCCCCUCCUAAGAAAUCAGUUUUCUUCUCUGAAAAGUAAGCAUCAUGCUCUCUUUAAGAUGUGAAAAAAAAAUGAGAAAUUAAUUUGUCUGCUGGGCUCCUUCACUGUGGCCUUCAUCGUUGCUGCUAGUAUCUAUUAGUACUGUCUGUAACAACAGCAGAGGCCAGCCAGCCCCCAAAGAUGUUUUAACCUGACUAGCCAUAUGACUAACAGGUAUCUUCUGAAUGCCCCUAUGCUGGUCCCUGUAGAAGAGGCAGGGGCAGAGGGGGGAGGACAGUAGCAAGCACUGGACUAGAGGUUUUCUACAUAUUGUCACAAACACCAAGAAGUUGCUCUGUCACCCAGUUCACAAGUCAAGAAGCCAAUGGAAGGUUCUUGGUGGAACAUACACGGAGUAAGCUGUGUCUAAACUGAGUAGACCCACACCCUACCUACACAGAGAGUGAGAGAGUUUCUGUAUGUGGGGGGGGAGGUGAAGCAGGGUCAGUAGACAGAGCCUCGUCCUCCCUUCACCACCCACUAGCUCCACAGCAUGUUUCACUAGCUGGCUCCACAGCCCUAUUCAAGUCUCAAAGACAUCUGCAUUUCUGAAACGUUUUCCCUUCCAAAUUAAGAGGGAAAGGAAGAUGGAGGAAGGCCACCUGAGACAAGUACCCUCUGGGUUGUUUAAACAGAACCGCUACAGCAUGCAAUCUCUCCAGAGACCUACAAGCUAGGCAAGGCUGCUAUCCCAUUUUACAGAUGAGGUAUAUGGAAACACAAAGGGUGUUUGGUCCCCUGGCCCAGAACCUCUCUUUCGUGGAUGUGGCAACUGUGUCCUGUAAUGUAAACCCAGGUCACUGUGCCUCACCACUGUGCAUCUUUAGGACUUUUUCCCAUCCUAACCUACUCAGUUUCCUCUGUCAAAUCUCUUCAGUGGUUGCUGCCUAGAAAAUGACAGUCUGGUUAUUUCUCUGUCAGCCUCUCCUCUCCUUAGCGGAGAUGAUGGAAAUGGGUUGAUAUGGCCCCAUGGAAGGACCAGGGGUCUGAGCUCUCCUGGCUAAGCCCCUCCCCCACACACCUUAGAAUCACAGUUCUGGUUCUCUGUUUGCCUCAGGUUUUGUUUUUGUUUGUCUUUGUUUUCUGAAAGCCUAGGGAAGCACAGUAGCAAUGUUCCUUUUCCCUCCUUUUGCUCCCCACCGGGGCUUCUGCUGUGUGGUCUGUGUCAUCAGCCAGGGCCCAGCCAGUCCAGAAAGCAGGACCAGGGGUUGUUUGGUUUAAAUGAAAGUUGCCACAAGUCUGGGUGCUUCCGCUCCAGUGGAUGGCUCUCCAGGGCAGAGAGUUUGGGACAUUCGAGGGAUAUUUUACGCCUUUUAGUGAACUGAUUCCAGCCUGCCAGGUGAUAGCCCUGUGCCUUAGGGCUUUGAUGACCUGAAGAACAUGGACUGCAUCUCAGACACUGCCUGCCAGGGUUGUCAUUACUACAGAAAUCUGAGCAGCUGCUGGCUCAGGAUACUGGGAGCCAGAGUUGAGAGGGAGACAGAACGAGGCUGACUUAAGGGCCAGUGCCCUUUCUGUCUGUCCAUAGUGUUUCCUGACAUGGUCUCUAUGGAAACCUGACUGAACAGAUAUCCCUACAGCCAGGGCCUAAUAAAGGCAGAGCCCUCAUCACGCUGGUCUCCUGAGAACUAGGAAUGCCUUCCCAACUACUUCCCAAGAAUAGGCAUGAAGACAGAGUAGAGAACCCAGCACCAGUGAGGCAGGCAGUGGGACUGCCUCAGGCUAGCCUGAUGGAGUCCUGGGUUUCUUCUCCCUGAACCCAAAAAGCCUGGGUACCACUCACUGGGCUAUUUAGGAUACUAAGCCACACUUCCACUGAGAAGGCCUAUGAAAAAAAGGAUGUAUGCCUUCUAUCCUAAUCUGCUUCAUUUCUCCCAUUCUCUCAUGGCUGUGAACAGAUAUGUGAGUUCCGAGUCUAAGCUAAGUCUAAGCUUUGUAGUCUAAUAGAGUGGCUUUCGAUCUCAGCUCCGCCACUCCUGGCUGAGACACCAAAGCAAAAGCAGUUAACCCCAGCUGCCCAAACAGUCAGGUGUGAAUAGUAAUCUUGCUACCCAGGGGUGUGGAGGACGUAAAGGGAAACACUGAAAUCCCAUUCUAGGGCACCAGGAUUUCUGUAGCUCCGUCAUCAUUAGCAUUGGCUCCCAUGGUCCAGGGAAAUAGCAAGGGUAGACAUUAGGCAGCCCUGACUUAGGAUGAGAGCUUAUCUCAUGGGCAAGUAUCCACUCACCUCUGCUCCUUGGUAUAAGAGGAAGAUAGGAAGGCUUCUUUCUUGGCUGAUGUGUAAAGCACCUGAGAAGAGUGUGUCUUCUGCCUUCAUUGUCCUAGAUGCUCCAUGCACUUCUGUUCCAAAUCCACUUUGUGCAAGGAUGCUGGCACAUGGAUCUCCUUGUGGAGGGCACUUUUUUCUUAUUUAAUUGGCAUUUCCUUUUAUGGAGUCUGGGCUAUGUGUAUCAGUAUGGGUUCUUGCAGUGAGACAUGAGAGACCAGGCCCAACUCUGAUGAGCCAUUCAGAACACAGCUAUCCAGACUACCCUGCCUCCCUCCCUUGAAGCUGGCCAGAUACCCUGACACCCAGAUUCACCAGUGGGUGAAUGGUUAAAGGCACUUUCUAUAGCUGGGCAUGACUCAAGCAUUCCCACCAGGCCUGGCUCUUCCAUUGCGUGCAUCAGAAUAUAUGCAGUAUCCUCAGAGGUGUCCCACAAAGACAAAAGGUUACCACACGGGUUGUUGCAUUCUAGUGUCAGGACACACUGCAGGCUCUAUCCUCCAGCCCAAAUCCAUUUUAUGCUAGGAUGCUGGCACAUGGCUCUCCUUGUGGAGGGCACUUUUAUGUCAUUGACAUUUGUUUUAUGGAGUCUGGGCUAUGGGUACCAGUUAGAUGACUUAGAUUACACCCAGGGCCUGGCCAAAGCUUAGGUUCUCCAUCUGUAAACUGGCAUAAUGCCCUUUACUUUAUACCGUUAGUGCCAAAUGCAACAUGUAUAGAGAACAUUCUGCCUGUGGCCUGCCAUGUAGCUGGAACUCAAUAAAUGACAUCAUUUUUCCUUUGUUCACAUAAAAAUUAGUUUUAUAAGUAAAGACUCUUUGGCGGUAAACUCGUGGUCUACAAAAGAGGGAGGGGGGGAGCAGAAGCUGCUCUGUUCUCCAAGAGUGAUUGCUAAGGAAAUAGAGCUGUUUAGAUUCCAGCUAUUUAUUUGUGAAAUAAGCCACCCAGGACGGUGCACAGUGUGGGGUAAGUUGGUAAAAACUGUGAAAUGCAAUUUGUAUAACAUGAUCUAUGGGUUAUUAAAUUCACUUAGCUCUGAGCAGGCCUGAAAUUGAGCAAUUACUUUUGGUUUUCCUGCCUCUGUCCUCCAGCCAUGAACCUAAUAAGUCACUGGAGACUUUGUCCCCAGUCUGGUCCCAGCUGGACUCUGGGCUGAGGAAAGGCGUACGGCCCUGUCUGAGAGUGUGAGUGGAUUGGAAGGCUCUUGAGACCUCUUCUGAGGGAGGCUUCUGGGGUCUGUGGAAAGCUGGUUGGAAAGGUGGGGGUCAGGAGAUGCUAGCUAUGUGCAGGAUGCCACACAGAGAGGGCUGGUAAACUCAGGGAAGUAUCUUCCACUAAAAGUGACUCCCUUCCCUAAGCAGGGAUAGCUACUUCCCAGCUGAUUUAUAGAGAAUAAAGAAUGGGGCAAAGGAAGGCACGUGUGCAAGGGAGGAAGCACACAGUGGGUGAGUGGAUGCUACUGUAAAUCUCAACUGUCACAUGCUCUUCCCGUGUCUGCCUGCUGGGAGGCCAUGAAUACUUCCGUGUCCCCAGUGCCUGGUCCAGAACAAGACCAUGGCUGAGAUAGAACUGAAGACUGAAAAAAUCCCCUCCUUCCUCCUGCAGACUUCUGCCCUGCAUCUUGAGUUUACUUUGUUCAGUGAACUACGAAGACAGCAUACAUAGCACAGGGCAUCAGAGCACCUCUAUUCACUUCUCCAGAGAAAAGCAUGGAAGGAAGGGAAUGCAGCCCUCAACAGGGCAUCAUUUCCAGCUGCCCACUGGCACUCUGUGAAAACAAACGCAGCUGCCAGUAUGCUGACUGACAGGGACAAAGGGGGCAUCCUCAGCUGACAGGGACAAAGGGGACAUCCUCAGCUGACAGAAACACUUGGGACAGGGAGCUGAGAAGACCACAGCUUGUUGGAGCUGUGGGUCCAGCAGGAACAGGGCACGGGGGGUUUGCAGAAUUUCUUCUGAAUUCUCACAGCAUCACCCAGCACCUGAUUCUCCCUGCAGAAGGUCAGCUGGAGUCCUCGACAGCACCCUACACCGCUGGCACCCAUCCCCUUCCUCUCUUGCUUAGCAUCUAAGACUAAAGUCGUGGGCUAAAGGAAACCAUUUGAUAGCAGGAAAUUGACUCAGUCCAUCCUUCUCCAGCCAGAGUCGCUCAAGCCCUGAAGUCAUUUGUUAUGUCCUGUAACGUAAAUGGCAAAAACAAAAAAAAAACACUUCUCCUAAUCCACUAAUGGCUUCCUCAAACAGUGCAUAAUUCAGAACCUUUCCUAUUUCCCAGCUGACAAAACACUCUGUUAAUAAAAACAUCUGAAACCAGCCCAUUCCCGCUUUUGUUUUGACUUAGGAAUUAACAUCUAGUCUCCCGAGUUUUGAGUUAACGAGAUUUCCCUGCAUACGCUAUACAGCUCCAUUCCUCACAACUAAACCAAGCGCUGACUCGGCUUCAUCCAUGUGGUUGCAGGCAGGGGUGUGGCCAUGGGCAGAUGUCCUCAAGUGGCAUGGGUUCUCCCAUCUCAGGCACAGAGCCCCGCCCAUGUGACCACGCAGGCAACCACACUUCAUGCAGGCAGUGGUGGCUAUAACAGGCUCAGUGGGGUGGAGGUUUGAAGUCAAGGUCUAACAACUUGAAGAUUUGUGACAGGAGCAGUCAUUGUCACUGAGGAAGGUCUUCUCUAGUCUCCAUUCUGUGACCAGACUUUACAGCUUCACCUUGCCCUUGGUUAGCUCAGUCUUGGAGCACAAGGUCUGCAAGGAGCAUACAAGGCAAAGAGACCCUGCUCUGCCUGCCCCUUAUUCCUGUCUGAUCCCUCUGUUUCCCUCUGCUCUGGAAGAGACAAGUAACAAGAGCUUACUCUGUAGCUUAGGCUGAUCUCAAUCUCCAGAUCCUCCUGCCUCAACCCGCCAAUUACUGGGAUUCCGGGGAUGGGGGGUGGGGGGUGGGGGACGGGAUGCCAGCAUCCCCUGUUCAUAUCUAGAGUUUGAACCCUGAGUCCAGAGAUAGCUUGUAACUGCUGCUUCACACUGUUCAAGCUCAGCUGCUUAUUGUAUUAACGCCAGUCCAAAUGUGAAGAGCAUCCACCCGGUGCCUUCUCACCUUCCAGCGUUCCCUCACAGAGCUUGAGAAUAAAAGCAUGAAGACUGGCUGGUGACAAAGGAAGGCAAAGUAAGCUGUCAGGCAACUGAUGUGGGACUGGAGGCAUGAGUAGGCUGAAAACCCUCCAAGAGGGCUUAUGAGUAGGUCUCUAGCAGAGUUGUGGUGUGCACCGAAAUUCUAAGUUAACUGAAGGAAACUGAUAUUUCAGUGGUAUGCUAUACGAAUAUUGUCAGGACCCACCCCUCUCCAUGCUAAUGCCUUCUGGAAUGUGGAUAUCAACCCUGACAUCUCUGGACACCCCCCAGGAACAGCCUGCAUCACCCUGAAAUGCGUGUUAUCUAUGGGAAACCUUAGGCCUUGUCUGAGCUGAGAGUCAGCCAUGCUGACCCCACCAAAGCUUGCUGGGAAUUGUCACUCAAUCCAAAGGGCCCUGAACUUCAGCAGAGCCCAGGCAAGAGCCCUGCCUUCCUCCCCCAGGGCUCUUAGAGAGCCUUCUUCCCAGACCUACCAGGACAACCUAGCUGAAUGCCUGCCUGCUGUCCCCUGUCUGCCAUGGUCCCGUUACUCCCUCAUAUUGGUGUGAGACACUCCCAACAUGGCAUGAGACCCCCAUCUGACUAGCCUGGGAGGAUAGGCUGGAGUUCUGUGCACCCUCAGAUCUCUGCAAGGCUCUCUCCUCCAGCAAUCCUAUGAGCCACCAAUCUAAGCCCUUUACUAAGAAACUUUACUCUUUGCCCUUUUAAGCAACUGCCAUACAUUGCAUCCCCUGCUCAAGACCAGAGCCAGCCAUUCAGAAAAGGCAGGAGAGAGCCCAUAGACAGCCAUCGGUUGACUUCCCAUUACCAUUGUGCCUUAAUUGAACUUAUUUAUGUGGGUCAAGACGGCCCCCAUAGGCUUUCUUAUUAACUGCCUCAUCCACUUAGGCCUCUGAAAUGGCCUUCUUGGGCAGUUUUGGAUGUGAUUCUCUGCUACUGCCUGGGACACAGAUCCUUCUCAUUGAUUAUGAGGAAUAUAAAAAAAAAAAAAUAAUGCUGGGCUCUGGUUGAGCAUCUGGAAUUGAAUCCCACUUGCUCCCUAAGCAUUGCCAUUCAAAGCACAAAGAGGCUAAGAGCUGGAUCACACUGUUGCAGGAUCCAAAACAAAGCCAGAAGGAGGGAUUGCUUUUCCAGUCAUGGUUGGGGGUGAUGCAGUGGCCUGGAGCAGUGGCUAUCUGCAGAAGAAAAGCAAUCUGUCUGGACUCUAAGUAUAACAAGCAAAGCCAGCUGCAAACGGCUGCCAGGGUGCUGGCUGAGGAAGCAGGACUCAGGUGACUUAAACUGUUGAGCUGCUGUUAAAGGAAGCUGGCUGUGGGUACAGGCUGCUACCUGGGGAAAGGAUGUUAACAGUCACUGUCUUGUUCUGGGCCCUGGGUUUGGCAUCCUAGACUGGAGGGCCCUUAAUGUCAGCUGCCUCAUUCCUCCAGCUAUCCCCACUGGGAACCUGCUCUUUACUUGCCAUGUGCCCAGCACCAUGUGGAGUUGGCAUUGAAAAUAGACUUCCACAUUUAAUCACAAGACAGCCUGGUGAUGUCUACAGACCAUGGACAGUGGUCCCAAAUUAAUUGGUACACAUAACCAACAGCGGAAGAGGCAGACAGCUGAGAGUGGCAUUUUUUAAGAAAAGAGAAAUCAGUUUAAAGAGAAACCAGAAAGAAGGGAGAUAGAAGGAGAAGGGGCUGAUAUCCCAACAGAGAGUAGCCCAUACAAGGGUCCUGAGGCAGGACAAGCCUUAGUACCUUCAGAGUACAAAAAGAAAGACCUGUGACUCCAAAGUGGGUUUCUAGGCUGACAGCACCAUUGGAACCCAAGAGCAGCCUAGAGGUUUGCAUGGUUAGGUCUAUCCUCGGCUUACUGAGUCAGACUAUUCAUGUGGGAUCAGGGCUUUGAAGACCACCGCACUUUCUCUAAUUUGCCUGAGAAGAGUUAGAGAGCCAAGGAAAUCCAGCAAAGCAUCAAUAACAAAUUUGGAUUGGUGUGUGCAUGUGUGUGCGCAUUUGUGUGUGUGUGUGUGUGUGUGUGUGUGUGUGUGUGUGUGUGUGUGUUUGCAUAAAAGUGCCAGGGAUCCUCCUGUCUCUGCUUUCCUAGUGUUGAGAUUGCAGGUGUGUAUUACCAUGUUAAGCUUCUUAUAUGCAUCCCAGGACCCAAGAUUAGGUACUGGUGUUCAUAUGCCAGCUACUAAUACUAAGCCACCUCCUUAGCACGGUUAGUGUUACGGUGCAAUUGGAAAGCACUUACCCAGUGUGAUGUGGUUUCUACUUUAAAAAUAUUUAUAGCUGCUACCUGGAGUGAAGAUAGAGUGUAUCACAGAAGGGAGAAGGCUGGCUGGGACUACAAUCACCACCUCCCUAGCUCCCUUGACCCUCGGUGCUAUAUGUUGGUAUGCAGUAUAUUUAAAAUCCUUUAAGUAGGUGUAUAUUAUACCAUGAGCAUAUCCCCCCUCCUGCAUCUCUUCUCUCCUGAUUGUCUCAUUUGUUCCCCUAGACACUUUCAUUUUAUAUGUCACACAUAAUUUUUUUAAACAAAUAUACAAAUAUUAUAAAAGUACAAAAUAUUAGAAGCAUAAAUGAGAGAAAACAUGGCAUCUGUCUUAAUAAGAUUAUCUUCAGUUGCUUCCAUGUUCCUAUAAACGGUGUAACUUCAUUCUUCUUUAGGGAUGAAAAUACUCCAUUGUGUGUAUGUACCACAUUCUAUAUAUGUACCCCCCUCUCCUUAUCCCAUCCCCUGCUGAUGAACAGCUAGCUUGGUUCUAUAACGUGAAUGUCCUGCAUAGUGUGCUGCAGGAAAUGUUGGCAUGCAGGUUUCUCUGUGCCAUGUUGACCUGGAUCCCAGGAGUGCUAUAGCAGGGUCAUGUGAUAGAUCUAUGAGGGUUUUGUUGUUGUUGUUUUUAAAGAAAUCUCUAUACAAUUCACAUAGUGGCUAGAGUAGCUUACACUCCUGCCAGCAACGUAUGAUGGCUCCUUUUGCCCACCUCCCUGCCAGUCUUUGUGGUUGUCCUUUCCAUGACUGCCCCUCUGACUGGGGUGAGGUAGAAUCCCAGGAUGUUUUGUGUUGGAUUUAUCUGAUGGCAGGGGAGGUAGAACGUCUCCUCACAUGUUUGUUUAUUGGCCACUUGUAUUUCAUCUCUUGCACAUAUUUUUAAAAAUAUUUUUACUUUUUCCUGCAUUGCUGGGGGAUUCAACUCAGACUCUCGCACAUGUGAGACCAAGCACUUUGCCACUGAACUGCACAUCCAGCCUGGGUCAAUAUAGAUUGACAGAAGAACCACAGUUUAGAGCAUUUGGGGCUUCCCCAGCACACUCUGUGCGCUUCAUUUGUAGCAACUGUCGGCAUUCUGUACAGUCCCAAGAGUGAUCUAUGUUCCCCAGACUCUCUAUGGGAGUGUUUAUGAAAUGCACAGCAAGCAUAGGUGAAACAAUUAAUGGAGAGUAGCCAAUAGAGAGAGGUGGUAGAUAGACACUGUGAUUGCUAACUGUGGGUGUCAACUUAGACACACCUGGGAAGAGGGAACUUAACCGAGAAGUUGCCUUCAUCAUUACUGGGCUGUGGGCAUGUCUAUGAGGUAUUUUCUUGAUAUAGUGCGGUCUAGCCCACUGCAGAAGGUGUCCAUCCCAAGGCAGGAGAGUCUGGACAAUUUAAGAGAGUGUGAGGCAGCAAGCAGCAUUAUUUAGUAGUAGCGUCUGCCCCAAGUUUUCUCUUUGAGUUCCUGUCUUGCCAAACCUUGGUGAUGGACCAGAACCUUUUAUAUAAAGCAAAUAUUUUCCUCCCCAAGUCGAUUUUGGUGUUGAUGUUACCCUAGCCACAGAAAGCAAACUAGGACAGAUAUCAAAACAUCCUCAAAUCAGGGGCCUAGAACAUCCAGAAGAGAUGAUUGGAUUAGCACAGUUGAGAAAGCAAACAAAAGGCAAAAGUUGACUGCAGAAGCAUGUUUGAGACAGCCAGCUGGAGUUCUUGCUCGAGAGUCCUGGGAAGAGCAGAGCAGAGUGUUAUAUUAGAUGAAAGCUUGCAAGUAUCAGAUCAGAUAACAGCAAAGAGAGACACCAGUUAUCAUCAACCCGGUGCGCUUACAGCAUCCAGCAGAAACCAGCUAGGGAAGCCGAGUCACUGGAGGAGUUUCUGAGAGCUCCUGUGGAUGUGCUUCUGGCUUGCUGCUCCCACUAGAGGUGUUUCUGUAUCAUGGAAUUAACAACAGUAACCUCAGUUAGAAGCCAUUUACCUUCUCGCUGUUCUGUCUGGAGGAUAUACCAUGAUGUUUUUAACACUCUGAGCUGUGGGGUUGUUUUGUCUUAUUUUGUUUUGUUUUGUCUUGUUCUCCUUUUUUAAUAAGGGUAUCAGCUUGUCCUAGGACAGAAAGUGUUGGAGACAAGACAAGCCUUCCUCUCUCCCAGAGUCUACUUUAUCAAACAGAAAUAGCAUCUGAUAAUUUUAGCAAUAUGACAUUCACCGCACUCAAAUAUUAAAUGAACUGUGCAGAAUGAUCGAUGUCCCUCAUGCUCGUCUCUAACUUCUCCAAGGCAAGGAUAGGUACCAAGUGCAAUGCCCAGCCUCACAUGGGCCACAGUGAAUAUACGCAGUUAAAUGGACAGAGGAGUUUAACCGCAGCAUCAGAGUGGGCUCUGUUGCCACCGUAGCUUACAGAAGACGAACCAGGACAAGAGUAAAAAAGUUGUCUUGAGAUCUCGAGGCCGGAAUCCUAACCUACUCUCUCCAGGACUCGGGUUGCCCUUCCUGUUGCAUCUUGUUAUCUUUGUGCUAUUUUACAAAAUCUGUCAGUAAGACUCCAGGGAAAUGCUUGCAUCAGGAGACAGUCCCUUUGUGUGUCUCACUGAGCCCAUUAUAUCAGAAGGCCAAGAGAGUUUGGCCUGCUCAGUUGCCAUGGUAUUUGACCUAUAGAAGGCAGACCAUCCUUCCAGGCUGACUGAAGCCUGAGUAUGCAUAUUCAUGGUGGGGCUAGCCCUGGAGAGUGGGGAGGGAAGAAAGCCAAGUCGGGUAGCACUGGCUGCUGCCUGUGUCUGCACCUCAGGGUCUAUGCCCCUCAAGCAUGGUGCCCCGUGUGCGCGGCCACAUUGCUUUCAUCUCUUCCUCCCAAUCAGGUGAGGAUUCAGCUCUGAGGAAAAAAACAACAAAGGACUUGGGUUUCGCAGCUGGCAAGAGAAGGGUUAAAGAGCAUCCACUAAAGAGCACCUGAGUACCUGUCCUGGGUACUCCUGGGGUACUCCCUUGUGCCAUCUUCAGGUAUAGCAGGCACCUAAAGAGCACUACUGUGAGCGAGGCGACGUGCCAGGUCUACACAGCAUUUCCUUACUCCCUGAGCAGUCUCUGAGACCAGGAUAAUGACUGUUCACCCUGAAAAGCCUUUGUGUGGAAUAACAGCAAAGCAGCCUUGAUAGACAGAAUCACCAAAGCUGGGGAGCAAACAGAUGCCACACCCAACAUCCCAGGAGGAAGGGUCUCGGAUGGGACUGGACCCUGGGUCUCUGUCCCCACAGUUCACUGGCUUUGCCCCACUCCAUGUUCUUCCCUUGGCUUGCUCUCCUAGGCUGGCUUAGCUGCCCCUUCCCACACUGCAUUCUAUUUUAUAUUAAAUAAGAUGGGGAGCUGGAAGAAAGUCCCUGACGUCCCAAAGCCAAGCCAUCCCUUAGACCCAGCAAGUCUCUUUCUUUCCCCUCCCUUAAAGGACUCAGUUCUUCUCCAGUGUGUCCUUAAAGAGGGGAGACAUCAGCUGACUUGUUAGCAUCUUUCAUUUACUUAAAAAUACUUACUGAGUUUUCACUAUGUACCAUGCCCUAUCCAAGGCUCUGGGGUUAGACAGGAAAUGAGACACACUAUUUUCUACUCUUGGCACCGAGGGCUACAAAAUCCAUGAGUAAAGUAGAGGCAAGGAGAAAAGGAAGAGGCUGGCAACACUGCAUGGGGUGAUGUUAAACACUGCUGAGAAACCACGAGAGAGAGAGAGAGAGAGAGAGAGAGAGAGAGAGAGAGAGAGAGAGAGAGAGAGAGGAAGUACAAGUGUGGCAGGCAACUUCCAGCUAGGUGCUCAGGAGACUCACCUUUGGGAGGGACUUGGAGGCCAGAGGGAGCCUGCUAGGAAGGCCUGAGGACAGUAAGCUAGAAGCAACAGCAAGCACAGAUGUUGGGAAGUGAAAGAAGCCAGCCUGCUGAGGGUGAAAGAGGGGAGGCUAGAAUGGCUGGGGAAGGCGACCCAGAAGAGGCAAAGUGUCCUCACAGAGACCCUGAUUGGCUGUGGUUAGGAGUUCAAGCUCAUGCUAAUUCGGAUACAAAGCUGAGAGACUUGUCAAGCUGGGGACAGUGACCUGAAGGAUGAACUCUGGGAGGCAGGGACAAGGGACACAAAGCCCACCCCCUCCACAGUCUUGUCCUCCCAGCUCCCAUCUGCAGCUGCAGGAAGUGCUGGCUUGGGGUGCAACAGGUACCUGAUGAGGAGCAGAGCCUGCCACCAGUGCUGGGGCAGGGCUGUCCUGGCUAGGGAAGGACAGAGCUGUGUAUGAGAAGGAAUUUCACAGACCAGCUACGGACUAGUGUCCCCUCCUUGGAUUAGCCAGUGCCAUGGUCUCUGUGAACAAACGUUUGGCGGCGGCAGCUUGAGCGAGGGAGGAUUUACUUGGGCUCAUGGUGUCAGAGGUAUCAGCCCAUCCUGGCAGGAGAGUGUGGUGGAGCAUGGCGCUUCACACCCUGGUGGCCAGGAAGCAGGGAAAAAGUGACAGGAGUGGACCAAGGAUAGAGAGUAUGUCCCUAAGAACCUGCCUACUAAGACUCCCUUCCUUCCACGAAAUUCCACCUCCUAAAGUUUUUUUUAAACUUCUCAAACUGGACCACCAUCUGGAGACCAUUUAGUAUACAGGCCUUUGGGGGAUACUUCCUAUCUAAACUAUUACAAUCCCAAUUAGCAACCAUAAUGGCUUGAAGAUGGUAGGUCUCAGGACUAGACCUUUGGGCAUGAUGUGCUUUGUAGAUGCACUUGUAGUUACAGAAGAUAUGGAAUCCUCCUUUCUAGGGCUCCCCAAUGCCACCCUUCCCUUCUCUGAUGCCAUACCUCUACCUGGGCCCUCUUCCCGUGCUGGUUGUCCUCCCUCCGAGUCCCUCUGGCUGCCGCCUAUCCCUUCUCUGGCCCCUCGGCUCCAUCGGUCUCUCUCCCUAUGCCAGACCAGCAGCAGGCUGUUGUGUGCCAGCACCUGUGUGCUAGGCAUUCUUCUCACACGGGUCCCCAAGCCCAGCCAGACAGGAGCAUCUGGGAGGCGGCAACUCCCUUGGCUGAGGGACUUGCAGUGGCCUUUUGGAUAGGUGCCCAGAGCUGACAACCAGAGUGGCUCAUGCCCUGUUCUGUCACCACCCAGAGACACAGCGUAGGCAGCAGACAUGGCUGGGUACCAGCCGGCUGACACUGCUCCCCCCUCCCUGGGGACCCAUGCCCCUCAUGUCUGAAAACGUUUAGGUGGGGGUCAUCUGCAAAAGACUCGGCAGCUUAUUCGGGAACAGGCCAUGGCUCCCUGGCUCCUGCCGACCAAAGUGGUAGGAUUUGAGCAUCUCUGUGCCGUGGGGCUAAGUCCGUUUCUCUGGGAGCCACUCCUUGUAUCUGAAGAACUUCAUUACAAUAGCAUUUUACCAGCCCAGCGUGUGACCUACAGUGUGUGUCCUCCCCCAAAAAGUAGUUACUAGAAAAAUCAUCAUUUAAAAAUGUCCUUGGGGCCAGCAAGAUGUCUCAUCGGAUACAGGCACUUGCUGCCAAGCCUAAGGACCUGAGUUUGAUUCCUGGAACCCACAUGGUUUAAGGAGACUGCAAGCUCCUGCAAGUUGACCCUUGACUUCGAUGGGCACACAGUGGCAUAUGCAUAACCCUCUCACACACAUUUAAAAAAAAGAAGAAGAAGAAGUAGUGGGCUGGGGAUGGUGGUGCAUGCCUUUAAUCCCAGCACUCAGGAGGCAGAGAUAGACAGAUCCCUGGGAGUUCAGGGCCACCCUGAUCUACAGAGUGAGUUCCAGGACAGAUAGGGCAGUUAUGCAGAGAAACCCUGUCUUGGGAGAAAAAGAAAAAAGAAAAAAAGAAAAGAAAACAGGAGGAAAAGUGACUUUUUAAAAUGUCCUUAGUACGGAGGGACAUGCCAUAUAAAUGAAUACCUUGUUUGGCCCUCAGAGAAAAUCCCCUUAUGUAGCAAGUGAGUUCCUGUCCUUUUCUUAUUUUUCCCUAAGGGACAGAGAGAGUGGAGAAUUAUAGCACACUGAAGACAGGUUUCAGACUCUCAGGCCCUUGGCCCUUAGCCUUCAAUUCAGGCCUGACCUAUCAGGGGGCAGCGAUUAACACAGAGGCAGAACACAGGUGCCAUGGCUGCAGUUCGUAACCAGCAUCUACCCAUGUGCUGGUCUCCUUAGUGGAAAGCUGUUGUCAACUGUGAGGCUAAGUGAAUUCCACAGAAACCUUGAAAUUUACCCACUAGCGCUCAGCAUCCCUAGGAGAGUCCCUCCUCAGACCCACACAAGGCUCAGCCCUGCCCACAUCCCCUCUCAGCAGCCUUUGUCAGCACACCUCCAGGAGGGCUUUCCAGUGUCGUGGCUGUUUCAUUACAGCCUCUGGGAAAGAUGAACUGAAGUUAGUGUCUCUGCACAUGGCAAAGGGAAGGUCUGAGGGUCACAUUCCACUUACAACGAUAAGCUUCUACCUGCCACUGAAUGUAUUAAUAAUAAUAACAGCAACGACAGUGGCAGCCUUGACCUAAGGGAGGAAAAAAACAUUUCAGAGGAGCUAACUUUUCCCAAGUCUCCGAGAUUACAAACCAUAAGGUUGGAAUAAUGAAGUCAAUAGGCUUUCUGAAAUACAUUCUGUAUUUUACAGACACCGUUCUGGUCAGCCCGACUCAUUUAGAUUCAUGAGUUUCCACAGCGGAGAUGAUGACCCAAGAAUAUAUUGGUUAUUUUCCUGCUGCUGUGAUAAAACACAAUGAGCACGGUAACUCAUAGAGGAAAGUUUAUUUGGGCUUACAGUUCUAGUGGGCUAGGAGAAUCCAUACCAUUGAAGAGGGGUGGGGGCGUCUGGGGCAGACAGCUGGCUUGCGGCUGGUCUCUCAUCUUUAACCACAAGCACAAACCUUAGAGCGUGAACUAGGAAUGACUGAGAGUUUUUAAACUCUCAAAGCCCCCACCAAAUGGCAUACUUUCUCCAGCAAGGCCACACCUCCUAAACCUAUCCAAACACCACCAACAUCUGGGGAGCAGGAUGCAAAGAGGGACACAUUUAACUCAGCCACAAAUGGGUUGAAUCCAACAUCUAAAAAAAAAAAAAAAAAAAAGGUCAAAAUGAUGUGGGAUGUAAUCAAAAAGCAAAUCUCACAGAGCGUUCUGAGAAGCAAGAAGAAGAAAUGGUACCCCUUCCUAGGACCCGAGUCUGAGCACAGGUGUGAGUACUAAUUAGAGAGAAAAAAAACAAUUAAUUUAAAAAAUUAUAUAUGGGUGUGUGUGUGCAAGAUCCCUGAGGAGGUCAGAAGAGGGUAUUGGGUCCCCUGGAGCUGAGAUGGUUAUGAGUUCCCCCCUGUGGGUGCUGAAACCCAAAUUGAGUCUUCCAUAAGAGCAGUGAGCUCCAUCCACUGCUGAGCCAUCUCUCCAGCCCCUAGCUUUUGAUUAUUUAUUUUUUUAAAGUCUUACACUGGGAGGCAUGGACAAUGGUUUGAAAGCCACUGUGCUAAUUUAUGGUUCUCAGAUCCAAAUGUGCAUCCGAGAUACCCACAAAGCCUGUGGGCUGACCAUCCCCGGAGCCCCUGUAGAAUGUUAGUUAUGUUCUCAUUGCUGUGGACAAAAACCUGACAGAAACAUUUAAAGGGGGGGGGUUCAUUUUUUUUCCCCUCACAGCUUCAGAAGUCCAUCCAUGCUUCACCCAUGCCUAGGCAGACCGUUGUGCUGGGGGGAAAAAGCAAUAAAGUAGGAAAGUCUCCUUUCUGGCAGAGGUUGGGGGCGGGGGAGGGAGAGGCACAGAAGCAGAGCCCGCUGGUAUAACCUUCAAAGACAUACCCCUAGGGAACUACUUCUUCCAGCCAAGCCCUACCUCCAAAAGUUUGCUCAACAUUCCAACACAGUGCCACCAGCUAGAGACCAAGCAUGGCCCAAGCAUGAGCCUGUGGCGGACAGACACUUUGUGCUCAAACUAUAACAGUCAUUCUGCACAGGGCCCACAAGGACUUAGGUGAUACGAAUGCCACCAGUCCCAGACCACCGCAUGACAAACCGCUGGGCUGUUUUCCCUGCCUCAUCUCAGAUGAGACUGAGAUUCCGAAAGGGAGACACUGAUCACACUCCACAGCUGCUACGACUGAGCUAGGAGGCAGGCCCAAUCUGUCUGACUCCAAAACUCCAAACCUCCCUGUGCUUUCUUUGGUGUCUGGAAUAAUCUGUCUCUAAUGAGUGCAUCUGGCAACCAUUCCUCACUGUGUAUUUUGUGUUUAAAAAAAAAUUUUAUUUAUUUAUUUUUGCAUUUUGUCUUAAAAUCACAUUCAGACUGAGAUAAGAACAAUUGGUACUUACGAGCCAAAGCCCCUUAUUUUGAUAAUACACUAACACCCAGGAUGCUGAGUGAGCUGCAGAUUAGGACCACAUCUGAGCUAUGUGGGCUAGAGGAGGAACCAGGCAGACGCCUCCUUCCAUCCCGUGGCUUCUUCAUUCUCCUCCCCACAGAUGUCCCCAUGCUUGGCUCUCAGCUGGACUCUUGUUACAUGUUUGACUCAAUUUCUGGAGGACACAGGGCUGGGAGAGAGCCCAGUAUCUGGGAAAACAUCUGUUCUGCCCCUAGAAGGGUGGCAGUAGAAUAGAGGCUUCCUAAACUGGGACACUGAGGACAGAAGAGCAGUGCUUCGGGACAGACAGACACGGGAUACAUCCUGGGUCCAGGUCCACUGUUCUGUGAUCCAAAACCUUAUCCAACUUUCUCAAGUCGAGAAUGUCAUCUUUUGUUUGUUUGUUUGUUUGUUUGUUUACAUUUAUUUGUUUGUUUAUGUGUGCAUGUAUGAAUACAACUUGCAAGAACUGGUUUUCUCCUUUCACCAUGUGGUUUCCAGGUACUGAGCUCAGGUCUUCAGGCUUGCCAAGGAGUGCCUCUACUCACUGAGCCAUCUCGCCAGCCCAAAUGCCGUCUUUCAUAGAAGACUCAAAGUACCUAUAAUCUCGUAGGAGUUUUCUGAGGAUUUGGUGAUACAUGCAAAACACUCGGUACUCAGUGUCGUAGGAAUUAUGCCAUGCAUCCAUCCACUCACAGUCUUUACUAAGUACUGUGGUGUUUUGGAUGCCACACUAUGCACACAGCUCACGGCUGACUGCUCCACUGGGAUACCUUGUGCAGCUCUCAGCCUAUGCCUGGAACAGACACAAAGAGUUGAUCAUUGUGCCUUUCUGCACCAAGCUCAUUAUGUUGUGUUAGCAUCCUUUCCGUUCAGGCAGCACUGCCCUGCCUGUGGAGGAAGCUUAGCCCACUUUGCUCCCUCUUGCUUAGCGAGUGAGUCCCAGAAAUGGACAAUUUCUUUAGUGUGUGUUCAAUGCCACAACAGGGGACAAGAGAGGCCUGCAGGAGCCAGAGGGUGACCGCUGAAUUCCCUGGAGAGGCCCUGAUAAGUAAAGCUUCGAGGAAGAGUUGAACAAACAGGAGGAGUCUGCAAGGUUUAAAGGAGGAGUGGAGACCAGGAGAAAGAUGGCCUAGGUUGGGAAGGAGCACACAUAGAGAAGAUUCUAGAAGCAGGAGGGGGAAGGAACUUCUGAGGACCGGAAAGAAGACUGUAGGGGGAAAGGAUACUGCAAGAGCUGAGACUGCAGGGGGAAGGGGACAGGAUUGGGGUGUCCCCCCAUUGGUGUGGCCAUGAGAACAGGCAGGAACUGAUCCAGCUAGGCAGCACUACAGAGAAGCCCAACAAAGGAGAGAUCACCUGGAGAAAAGAGGCCAACAGACAAGCAGCACUCCUCCCCCCUGUGAAAUCCUUGAAUCUGGAAAAAGGUUUGCAGCCUAAGGUAGGCCUUUUACCAUCUUAGGUGUACUGUCUGAGUCCCCCAGGACCAACCCCAAAACCUGAUUAACGCCGGGCCAAAUUGGCCCAGAGCACCCAUCUCCAUCCUAGGCUGGCUACAGGCAACAUUCUAAUGAGAUUGUUUGUGGAAGAAAAAUGUCAUCCCUGCUUUCAAAGAACGUCCCUGUCUCUGAGCCUGGGCACCAUGGCUACCAUGAGAGGUUGGUGCCCUAGACAAUAUUAAGGCUAUACUCUUGGGAGUGAUUGCCUUUGAAUUUCUGCUGUAGAAAAUAAGCUUUAGAGUGAAGGGCAAAUGAAGGAAAUGAAAGUGGAUAAAAGAGCGUGCCCCUGGGAUGGUACGGAACACAACGCACCAACUCUUCCGAAUUUGGGCUUUAGGGAGUAGCUGAACACCCUGGACAUGGGAAAGGCCCAUCCUCUCUCUGGUCCUUGGCUUUCACAUCUGUACAGGAGGAGGUGGAAACUCUGUGAUAGUCCUUGCUCAGCUCGCCCGUCUGGGAGAGUCCUGAUUCAUUGAAUUGCUCUAGGAGAGUCCUGCUUUCUUGAAGGACCAGUUUGCAGUGACCUAAGUUCAGAGAACCAUCUGUGUAUUUACUCUUCAUUGAGUCAGCAUUGGUGUUAAGGUCAAUGUGCUCCUGAUUAUCCAAAGAAAAAGGAGCCCCCCGAUGGAAAAGAGGUCUGGCCUGCUGAGGCAGCUACUAGUGCGACGGUGUUUCUAUUUCAAGAUAUACCCAAGUACAGUAGAAUCAAAGAUUUUUAAAGUUUUUUGUAGGAGAUAUCUGUGGAUUAAGUAACCAUCAUCUCCCUACCAGAUUUUAAUCAUUCCAACCAUUAUUAAAUAAAUCUAUUUUUAAUUAAUCAGCUUUUUAAAAAAAAAUCCUCUCUGUACUCUCAGAUUUAUUAGAGUGUCUAAGAAAUGAAAUUGGACUUUUGUGUUCAGGAAAAGCUGGAAGGCCUGGAGACUUGAAUGACAGGCUGGGAUUAGGAGAAAAGGUGACCAAACCAAACUUCCAGUUGGAGCCCAAGAGUGGAUGCUGACAUCACAUGAGGCAUACUCGCCAGAGUGUGGUGCUGUCAAAACCAACAAUGUAGGUACAUCUCUACCAUGCAGUAAGGGAAGCUGGGCUUAAUUCAUCAGUGGUAGGUCCUAAAUUUAAACCUAGUGGCCCAAUUCCUUUAAUUAUUCUGAUAUAAUUAGAAAUGAUCUUAUUUAAUUGGAUGAAUCCAGAAGGGUAAGAGUAGAAAAGAGGCCAGCAGGGAGUGCUAACCUGAGGGGACUGUCCUGCUUGUCCCUGCAGUAUGUGCUGGUUCCUGAAGAGAAACCUGCAGACACAUGCGGAUACAUUUCAUCCAAACGCAGCCCACAAACAGACAACUAUUUAGCUGAAUUUCUUCUUCCACCAGAGCGGGAAGAACGGUAGCUGUAGCGAGGUUGGUGCUUUCUUUGUAGCGAUGCUGACACUGCGCUUAGUAGUUUUCCCACCUUGCAGCCACACUCCAGGUGGCAAGGCAGACAUCACUGGCUGGUAAGCCAACAUGGCAGGUUCAGAUAUUUCAUUCCUCUGCUCUUGUGGAGUUUCCCCUCCUGCUACCCCAGUGCAGAGAUGCCAUGAAUCUGUCCACAGUCCUCUACUUCUACCAAAAGUGUCGUUGGGCUCAACUCUGAGAUGUGGCUGGUGUUGACACACCCAGGAAGGGUCAUCUCCUCCUAGGACCAAUAGCAGACUAGUCUCCCCUUGCUCUCCUCUCUGAAAGGCAGGAAAGGGUUAAAAGGUGAGUAGGUGCAGAAGCCAGCUGCAGCUCAGGGUAGACAUCCUAUCUUGGAACUAGUCCCAGACUAUGAACUGCUGAAAAGUACAGAGUUGUUCCAGAAAACUGUUCAUUCCCUGUCACCAGGUUUUGACUUUCUGGAUGCAGCGUUCUAAUGCCUGUUUGGUCUAUAGCUACACAGAGCCCUGGAGGGACCGGUGUAUGAGAGAUCACAAUGAGCCAGGGGAAGAGACUGGUGGGGUCUGAGGACAGGUGUUGUUUAUAGAUACAGGUUAGGAGCCGGUAAGGGGUGCCCAUGGAAGUCUAGCAGGGCAGAGAUGGCUCCUCCGACAUGCUUUUCUCCAGUUACGAAAGUGUUACUUUGUAAUUUUAAAGAGAACAGAGAAAACAGAGAGAAUCUCUGUGCCAGCUGUUUGUCUCGUGUCUGUGAUAAAAGCAACUUCAAGAAGGAUGGGUUUGUGUUGACUCGAGGUUGAAAAGUCACAUAGCCGACUCCUCCACUGAAAGCUCACCCUUGCCGUGAAAUUCCUGAGGAAAGGCUACUGUUGCCAGAUGCUACACAAAUGGCAGAGAUAUAGGUGGUAGCUUGGAAGUGAAGUUCGUGUUGGGCUCUGCACAACUUCUCAGAAGUCUGCUGGUUUGGUGAACCCCCCCCAUCCUCCCCCCCUACCCCCCCCCCCCCAUCGCCAUUCUAGUCUAGCCAAGGUGACAAUCAAAAUCAGUCUUCACAAUUCUACUCCUCAUCAACUGGACACCCAAACACAUCUCCUUAAAUCUUGACAUUCCACCUCUGACCUAUAAAGUCUCAUCUUAAUCUCCUAAUGCAAAAUGCAUUCCAUCCAUUUCUAAAACGUCCCUGCAGCCUUCAACAGUCUCAGCACUGUCCAAAAGUCCUGAGUCUCUUCUGAGACGCAGGGCAAUCUCUUACCUGCAAGCCCUUGGACAGUAAAAAGUAAACUGCACACUUCUAGUAUACUAUGGUGUAGAAGGAACAGCGCUUUCUUUCUUUCUUUCUUUCUUUCUUUCUUUCUUUCUUUCUUUCUUUCUUUCUUUCUUCCUUCCUUCCUUCCUUCCUUCCUUCCUUCCUUUCUUUCUUUUUUUUUUAAUUCGUCUCUUAUAUAUUACAUCCUGACUGCAGUUAAAGGGAGGGAUGGGGAAGGUCUCAAGGAGAGAGGGGACAGAGCAAGACUGAAACCCCGUGAGCAGGCCAUACACAGAACUUCAGGACUCUGUAACUCACAGGGCAUGUGCUGAAAUCAGCCAGUCUCCAACAGCCUCCAGAAGCCGGACCCUCCAGCUUGGCCACCUGCAGCACACUCAGCUUCUCUCUUGAGCCAGGUCUACUCCAUGCCUGUGCUUCUACUGAUGGAGGUCCUAUCUGUCAUUCUGGCAUCCCCAUCUUCCCUGGGUCCCCACUGUGACUUAGCCUUCUCCUUCAUAGCUUCACACAUCCCCCCCAUGGCAAUUUAUUUCUUUUUUAUAUUUAUUCAUAUGUAUAUUUUAUAAAUAUUUCAUAUUUAUUCAUACACAUGUGAAUAAAUAUAUAUUGUUGAUGCAUAUGUGUCAACCACAAUUUUUAAAAGGAAGCCAUGUAUUGAGAGGGAGAAGUGGGGGAGGAUGCUACCAAAGGGCUUAGAGAAGAGAGGGGAGGAAUGAGGCAAACACAGUGCACAUAUAUGAUCUGGAAUGAAAUAAUCAGUUGUUAAAUAACUUGUGAUAUUCCUGUUGGAGCAUUUUCCUUUGAACGUACAUGUUUACCAAGUAUUCUAUUCAAAUCCAUAGAACCAUUAUAUAUCUAGCCAGCAAAGCAUGUUUCCUCUAUGAGACUGCAGUAACUUAAUUGAUAGGCCAAGAUAUUCUCAAUUUUUUAUAGUAAUACUUUAAUGGGUUUAUAUGAACAUCUCAGAUGGAAUUUCUGGUCAUUUUCUUAGGGAAGAUUUCUAGAAAUGGAUUAAAAUCCAUGAACUUUUAAAAAAAAAAGCCACUUGUGAUUUUUUAAAAAAUUUAUUUACAUUCCAAAUGUAGACCACUUUCCCACCUAUCUUUUCAAGUUCAUAGUUCAACCUUUAAGGGUUUAGGAAGACUAAAUGAAAAGCCUCGUCCUGCAGGGCCAGGCUUUUCAAUGUUCACUCAGGUUUUCAAAGCCCUGGCUGAUGGUGCUGUGUGGUCUGGCUUUGGCGGACAAUAUUUUAUUUUAGGCAGUGUUUUGUCCUCUUCAUUUUAGCUGGGGAAAUUGCAAUGCAAAUGGGGUUCGCACAGAUCGAACAUGAUGUAAAUGCAGAGAUUUUGGAGACAAACAGCUGAGGUUUGAGUCCCCUGUUAAGCAGUGUUAAACAAUGGACCUGUCAAAUAAGAGAGGAUCAGUCUUAACACACAGAAUUGUCCUCAGGAGAAUUAGACAAACGAGACUGUGUCGUCUCCCUGCUAUAGGACAUGCCAUGUAAACUUGAAGUCAUCUUUUCCCCAAGUGGCCAGGAGCAAUCUUCAUGUAACUGUGACGUCCAGGUCCUUUCCAGAAAGCCCGCCAUCUCCUCACAAACUUUUGACUGCUUUCUCAGCUCCAGUUUUGACCCCAAGAAUGCCCAUAUAGAGAUAUGAGUCAAAAAGCUGCCGAGACAAGACUCAGGGUGACAGGGAAUGAUGGAGUAGCUAUCUCUUUGGGGGUUAGCUGCAACCUCUCCCAUCCAUCCUGAGGGUGGAUGAGGUAAGGUAAGGGAUAUGGACAGCCUGGGGCUUAGAAGCUUGGCCCCAGCCUCCUGCUUUCUCUUUUUUUCCCACAGAUUAGAAAAACUCAUCAUUCCUAGAGAUGUACACCUCUCUCUGUCUAAUGUUUUCUCCACAUUUUUUUUUUUUACACAGCAGCCCACCCCAGUGAGCUGCCUAUAUUAGUCUGUCACAGGGCAUUGCAAGGAACCCUAAUUAAGAAAUCCCUUGCAUGGAGGCUGCAUGGGAUAGCAGAAGUGAAAGGAUAUGGUUGUGCACAGUCCCAGUCACCAGCCCACUCCUAAUAUCUGCUCAGAGAAAAGGCUUGCAGAUAUGCCAAGCAAGCACGGUCCCAUACUGAAGCCUGGCUGGGUUCACAGCUCUGAAAACUGAACACCAGCUGAACUAAGGCUACACCAGGCCAGACUUGCUAAGUUCUGUGUCCCACCAGAGAUCACCAAGUAUAAAACAAAAAUUAUGACAACCAUUUAGCUAAAAACACCAGACUGUGUAUGUGUGUGUGUGUGCCUGUGUGCAUUGUGUGUGUGUGUGUGUGUGUGUGUGUGUGUGUGUGUGUGUGUGUGUGUGUAACCAAUGGGAAACACACCACUGGUAAAUACUUGGCAAAGUGUUGGAAGCUGGGAUGUGAGCCAGGCUGCUUUCAGCCUUCAUUGUGUUGAGUUGUCGAUGUUUGUGGUGCCGGCUGUGAAGCCAGACAUCACUGGGCCUAAGCAAGCAUUCCACCACUGAGCUAUAGCCCUAGCCUCUAUUCUAAUGUUUUUUAAAAUAAUAUAUUCAUCGAUCAUUUGUGCAGUUCAGCUAGAAAUCCAUUGUCACUCUUGAGACCAAACAUCAAAGUCAUGUCCUAAGCUUUGAUCCCCAAAGAGAACCCUUGUUGCCAUUUCCAGAGAGCUUGAGGCCUCAGAAAAAUCCUCUGCCUCUCCAGGCCUCAGUUUCCCCAUCAUUGAAAAGAGAUCCAGACCCCUUCUCACAUGUUAAUAAGUAGGAAGGAGGUAAAGCUGAAAAAGUCGAAAGCCCAAUGUCACUCAGGAGUUGGGGAAGGAAGUGUCUUAGCGUACCCAGCUUCCAGAAGACACAGCCUGGCUAGGCUUCGUGGAGACUUGCCAGUCAAAUGAACACCUGCUGGCUUCAGCAGGCCAGGCCAGCAGCUCUGUUAACAGUCAGCCUGGUUAGCCCAGAGAAGAAAUGCCUGGGUUCCCUGGUUUACACCUGCAUCUUCCAGGAUGAGGGCAGAGGUCUGUCCUGGACCACUCUGGGUAACCUGGGACUUGGUGUGUGCUUCUGGGACAAGAGCAGUGAGCCUGAGUAGCUGCUGGGUUCUGUGGCAAGUUAAAGCGUCUGGGGUGGGUUUUCCUCUCCUCUCCAUCCUUAGAACUGGGAGGACAAAGCUUUCCUUCUCUGUGAAAAGCAGCGGACCAGCAAGGCGGGCAAUCAUGCAAUGCAAAUAAAGGCCGCUUUUGAAGGCGGUGAAGGUGGGCCUGCUGAAUUAAAUUAACAUGGCCCAUAAAUACAGAGGUUAAAAAAAAUGGGAAGCCAAGUGUUCACAGGCUUUUGUCCAGAGCAGAAAUAAUCACAGGACAAUGGUCUAUUUUGUUUGGAUUACAGGCCCAUGAUAUCACAUUAGCCCAAGCCUGGCAAUAUUUAUGUCAAGAACCGCUGUUUGUGAAACCCUGUUGUCCCAAUUUAUCCCUGUGGGGAAUCCCUCAAAGCAAGGCAGGCUGGCCUGGGGACACCUCUGCCCCCUGCUGACCAGCCAUGGAGAAGAAAGGCCCAAAGGGUUGGAAGAAGGAGGAAAGGUUGCAGGCACAGGGAUGAAAUUCAGCCCUAAAACAGAAUGGCUCUUCAAGAGGCAGGCUGUCACAUCUGUCUGGCCUGCUUCUCUUGAGAAAUAAAAAUGCUAGCUGCAUCCAACGAGUGCACGCAUGUGGAGUGAGCCAAGAGAAGGUGGCUGCCUCUUCCCAACUCAUGCCAGUUAGCAUGAAUCGGGUCUGGUAACUCCACACUGCUGCCUCCAUUAAGAGUAUAACACUCUUACACGGUUGUUUAUGGUCAGGAAGUACCACUGCGCGCACACACACACAGCACUUCCAAUGGAAGCUCUAAACUGGGGCAUCUAGAGUCCUGUCCUUUCCUCUAACUUUCUCCAUUACACUUGUGUUUCCUUCUCUCCCCUCUCUUCUUCCCUCCCCUCCACUUCCCUCCCUUUCCUCUCCUUCCCUCUGCUUUUCCCUUUGCCCCUCCCACCACUUUCUGUCUGCCUGCUUCAUUGCUACAGGUUUCCACAUUUCCGCUGGACUUCCACUGGCCUGCUAUGCUACAGGUCUCAUUGCUUCAUCAGGUGUUCUUAGUCAACAUCCCUCCUAUCUUCCUACUUUGUACCCCACUACCCAGUGUCCUUAUUUUUAAAACAGAAAUACAUCACUUCCCCCAAGGUACUUCUCAAGUGACCACAGCUCAACAGGAUGUUAGCUUCAGUGAUCUUGAGUGGAAAGCCUCUUGGCAAGGACAUAUGGCUUGGAUAUGAGGCAUCUGGGGUCAUAGUCAAAUUCCUAUCUAGCAUGAAGCUUCAGUGGCCAGUGUUACCCUCCCAGUCCUCAACCUUGGGUCAAGACAUCCUGUCAGCCCCCACAGUGCCAAGUGCUGCUACUUUUCCAUCUCAUUUCUUCCAUCCCACUUGGCUUUACCUUGCCAAGCCCCCGUAUGACAUCAGGGGGUUCUUGAAUGGGAAACCCAUCCCCUCCUGUCAUGUUGUGUUCUUGGCCAUCUUUUGUCUACAAACCAGGUAAAUAGAGAUAUCAAUGUGUCCAGUCUUGGGUUACAAUGAAAUGGUCAACUUGGGGGGGGGGGAAUAUCAAAGGACAUUCUAAGGCAAGCCAGUGCUCAGAUAGCCCCCCACCCUUGCUGGCCUGGGGUUACCAAUGAGAGCUUUACUCUGAGGUCUUGUCAUGUUUGGGAGCCUUUUGUGCCUGUCCUCUUGUUUUCUGUCUCCUGCACGUGAUGCUUGUUGCAUAUGUUGCACCAAAGCCUUGUAAAAGGCCCCGGGGCUGCAUCCAUUUUCCUUAUGUUAUUUAUUACAUCUUAUACAUUCAAAUGGUUGAUCAAGAAGAAUUUGUUGAGUGGGGCAGCAACCCCUUAGGAGAUGGUACCCACCUUCCAAGCAUAUAAAUAAUAAAAUACACAUCGCACGGCAGAGCAGAAAGAACUUCACAGUCAAGACAGAACUGGGUUUCUGUGCUCACGUGGCCUUGGCUAUAUGGAUUCACUCCAAGUCUGUUUCCUCAUCUGCAACACCAACUGCGUACAUUGAAAUUCCCUUCCUGGGCAUUCCGGGGAUAGGUUCUGACACCUGACAACUACCUACAGGAAAUCAUUUUUCUUGUGGUGACUGAAGGUCAGUCUGGGCUUCCUUUUGAGACUCUCCCAUCACCACACUCUCAUGGCUUUUUCUCAGGCAAAGAAAUGUACAGUCCAGGACAGCACAACACCAUCUUAUAUAUGAGAACCCAGAAGCUCAGAGAGGCUGAGGGUCUUACCUGGCAUUUUCUAACGAAGAGCCAAGCUUGAGAUUUGAUCCUGGGGUUCUGUGCAGUGUACAGCCUUCAGCACAUCAGGGCAGCUCCUGUUGCAGGGUUUGCGCCACAGUGGCCAGUCAGUGCAAAUGUUAGUCAGCAUCAGGACUAAGUCAGCACUGAUUUUGCUCUAAGCAAGAAGCUAGAAAGGUAUCCUAGAUCACCCCCAAUCCUUGGAGAACCCUAAAGGGGAAUCUUCUAUGUGGCAUUAAGAAAAAGUGGAACCAGGCUGAAGGAUGUCUAGGGUCCAUCCAUUAGAGAAGGUGAGGAGGGGAGAAGGGUGGAGGAAACUGAGCAGCCAUGCCAAACAAAGCCAAGAGGAGUCCUGCUACCCAGAGUAAGGGGACAGGCGGGCCCAUAGCUAGAAUGUCUGAUGGAGGGUGUAUGUGUGUGUGUGUGUGUGUGUGUGUGUGUGCGUGUGUGUGCACGCAUGUGUGCGUGUGUGUGUGUGUGUGUGUGUGUGUGCAUAUGUGUGCAUGUGUGUGUGUGUGUGUGCGCGUGCAUGUGUGCGUGUGCCAUGGUGUACAUUGAUAGGUCCAAGGACAACCUCAGGUGUCAGUUCUUACCUGCCACCUUGUUUGAGGAAUGGUCCCUUUAGUUGUUUUUGCUGCUGUGCAGCAUAUACCAGGCUAGUUGGCCCAUGAACUUCUAGGAAUUCUCCUGUCUCCACCUUCUAUAGAUGCACUGAGAUUGCAGAUGCAUGCUUCCAUGACUAGCUUUACCUAGAUCCGGGAGUGCUAACUCAGUUCUUAUGCACGAGUGCAAUGAGUGCUGCAUCACCGUGGAGCUGACUCCUCAGCCCCCAUUGGAGAGUUUUUAAAAUGAAUGACAAUAGGGGGAAGGGCUGCUCAAGGACUAUGUCAAAGUAAUGUGCACAGCUCGCCAGCCCAGCAUUUGAUCAGGAAAACAUCGAGAGACAAGCAGAACAAAGCAGAGACGAAGGUAAGGGAGUGUAUAAUCACGUUUAUCAAAUAUUACGUCCAGCUUGUGGACACUCCCUGAGUGACUGUGCUGUGUCAAGCAUGGCUCAAAGAUCAGUACAAGGAGCCACUGCCCAGUAUAAGCCUUGACCGAGCAAGACAAAGGCCUUGGCCCUAACUUCUAUGGCUGUGUGCACGGACAUGUCUGAUGUGCAUGUUUCUCUCAAGCUCUAAUUCCUGCAGCCUCUGGAGACGCUACCAACUCUGCUACACCUGACUCAAGACUAAUCCCCGUUCCUAGUCAGGUCAUAAGUUCAGAGGCAAAUACACCGUCUACUCUAGAAGCAAGGCUUUCCUGUAAUGAGGUAAUUAAGCAGGAGGCUUUUGAGGCGACUCGGAGAUGAUUUUUGCAUUACACAGCACAGGUGCGCAUGCUUAGCAUUCUUCCAAGUGGCCAAGAUCUCAGUGCUGAGAGCUUGGAGCUGGGGUGGAUGCUUACUCCAGGUCAAUGGCCAGAUCGCUGGGGUUAUGUCUGGAGGGUGACCGAGAGUUGAGCCGUAGUUCAGCUGGUGGCUCGGUCAAUGUGUCAAGCAUCAUUACCCAAACUGAAAGAAGGUUAAAGAAACUUCUCUGACAGAGAGGUUAGGAGAAUGGACCUUGAGGAAGUUAAUGAUGAGAGUGUAGACACUCGGAUAGAGGCUCUGCCAGGGAGCUCUCCCGUGGUAGCUAGGCUUUUCCCACUCUUCAGACUCAAGCACUGAAGGCCUUGGGGGAUUGCUUCUGCAAAGUGUUUAAGGGAUACACAGCUGCUGGGUGAUAAUGUUAAUGAGAACCAGUCUGCUCUGAGCGGGCAUGAGUAGCUAUUGAACAUUACGGGCCAAAAGCUGUGCUAUGAGCAUUAUGUGUGUUCUCUCGAUAAACUUAGUUUGGCCCUCACCACUCAGGAAAGUGACAGCUAUGUGCUGGGAACUGUGAUGUGGCUUACAUAGUCCACCCAAGGAUUGACUCACCGAAUGGCAAGGCUGGAGUUUGGACCUGUUUUAUUUUUUUUCCUGCCUGCUCUCAAUAGUUUGUGUGCUUGACUCCCAUAGAUAGGAAGGCUGUGGCCAGGGUGGGUAUAGUCUAGGACAAAGACUGGCAUACUAUGGGUGCCUCACUGUUCCUUUAAAUACAGCAUUAUUAGAAGGCAGGCAAUUUAUGUAACAUCCAUGGCUACCUUUGUACUGCAACAAUAGAAUAUGCAAAAGCCAGUCCACCAAGUCAAAAGUCCUUCCUAUUUGGCCCUAAAUAGGACAAGGUAGACUUUCUGAUGUGGUGAUACAUGCCUGUAAUCACAUCAUUUGGGAGGCUAAGACAGGUGGAUUAAGCAUUUGGGUCCAGCCUGAGCUACAUAGCAAGACUCCGUCUCACAUAAACAAAACCAAACAAAGCAAAACAUAACACACUAACAACAAAACCAAGGAAAGUUUCUGGUCUAAAGAAAUCCAAGGUUAAACAAAUAAGCAGGUUUCUUCCCUGUAUGGCUUCUCAGACCCUUUAAGACAUCAACAUGAAUUACUAAAAUCUAGAUAAAUGUAUAGCCACCUUCUGACCUACUAAAAAAUAGCUUCCCUUUUUUCUUAAGGCUUAUGUAAGACAAGUGAAACAUUUUUCAGGAAGUCAAAUUUGUAGAGGAAAGGUAAUGGGUCAGGGUCAAAGGUAAUUGGUAUGGCUGACUAGGACCUGAUAGGAGCUCCUGGAGCUUUCUGAGGUAUCCAGGUAGCGCUGGGCAGUGGUCAUUGCUAUCUCCAGCCAGAGCUGCUAGCAGGUGCAUCCUGGGCAGCUCUCACAGCCCUGGCUUUAUUCAGCUGUCUGUUUACAAUGGUGUUCAACAACCCUGUCCUUAUGUGCUGUGUGUUUCUCGGGUCCAAGAAGAGAAGGGAAAAGCAUGACACUAAUAGUGAAUGUCAGUCUUCAUCAGCAUCAUCCAACAUUAUGAGAAUUGAAUUUCCACCUUUCACCGCAUACAUUAAACCGGGGCUUUAUCUCUUCCCGCAGAAUUGAUUUGCCGUAAUUCCCUCCUUUGGCCCUUGUCAUGUAAAUCGUGGCAUUUCUCCCCUACUGGCUGUAGGAGCUCAGAUUAGAGGAGAGAAUCCAGCAGCCCAGACCUGCAGCUGCUCUGGGCUUUGUCUGUCUGUCUUUCCCUCUCUGUAUCUUCUCCUUGGUGCUCACUGUGCGAUUGUGCCUUCCGCAGGUGGAUUAGGGAUGAGAGGGGGCAGAGCAGAUGGCCUUCAUGGGACUCAGUCAUGGGACCUGCAGCAGCUGCAGCCUGGACAGAUAACUAUUGACAAGCUUGCAGGGGAUAGAUCUCAGUGCUAGUUUCAAUUGGUGGCUCACUGGCCAAUCAGAUCACUACCACCCUAGUACUCCCCACAGUGCCUGGGGAAUCUCUAGCUCCUGGCAUCUGUACUAGAGGGACAGGAAUUGUUUGUUAUCCAUUGACUUCUAGAAGAAACAAGGACCUGUAGGGCAGGGGGCUUCUAAACUGUGGAUUGAAAACCAGGCCAAAGGCUCUGCAGGAAGGAACAAAUUCUUAGAGAGACAUCCCUGACACAUGAUUGUCACUCAGUGAGACCAGGUAUGGCCAUGAUAUCACUGUUCUAUAAAAGCCCUCAAAUAGUAUAGUCACCAUAUAAUUGUCUCCUACCAAAUACGUGAGCAGGGCUAAGGCAUUCUAGAAACAGAAAGACAGGACCCAGUUCACCAUAAGUGGGUAGAUUUUCUUAUCUGUACGAAACUCUCAUUUCCCACCAACAGACAGCAUUACAGUCAUGUGCAGGACGUUAACAUAAAGACCGAAUUUAGGUGAGAUCUCUAGAGCAGACUCGGGACAUGACAAAUGGUCAAUUGCAUUCAUUCUUCAUACAUCACCCUUGGCAUGGCCUUUGGUAAUGCUAACAAUGAAGCAUCUAGAAAACUCAUAGGAGAUCUGGCUUAAGAAGGAAAUCCUUGAUGGGUUUCCAUAGGACUGGAUACUGACUACGUAUACUUGUAAUUUUAAAUGUAUUAUCCAUGUAUGGAGAGACUGUUCGGUAUAAGCACUGUGCCCAGAAUGAUACAUUUAAUUGUAAUCAAAUUACAUUUUUCCAAUACUCUGGGAAAACAAGCUUCACUAUUCCUCCCAUUUCACAGAACACUAAAGCCCAGCUACAUGGAAGCACAGAUCUUGACUUCAGGGCCAAUCCCUCGGGGCCCUCUGCCCCACCUGUGUUCCUCUUCUAAACUGAGAACACCUGCUAAAUCAUUGCCCAGGACUGAGCCCUCCCGGGAAAACCGAACUGCCCUCAACCACAGUGAGCAGCAUCUUUGCAACACCAGAUUAUUGAGUCCCAUGGAUUGGGAAGGUACAGUCUUCCUGCAGAAGAGCCAAAGCCAAAACAAUAGUUGGAAACACAUGGAAGUGGACAAUGAUGGAUGGGAAAGCCUAGCCUCUGGGCUAAGUUAGUAUGAGCCACACUGUACCCAAAACCUUGCUUUCCCCUGAGGUCAUAGCAAAUUAGGGAUGUAUGAAUGGGCUGUGCAAAGUCUCCAGAGGGCAAGAGGUCAGCCUGUAUGGCAAAGUGUGCAGUGAUGGGGAGGCAAAUCCGUGUGAGGCCCACCAGACCAAUGCUGGCACACCUCCGUGCUGUCAGCAGUGUGAGCAGGCACUCUCUUUAAUGCAGAUGAGAUGGUCGGCAGAACUGUCACCCCACCCAUCACAAUAAGCUUCGAGAUCAAGGACUUAGCAUGUGAGUGUGCAUGUGCGUGGGAGUGCAUGUAGGGCCAUUGUGGAGAGAGGCUGGGGAAGCUAGCCUCUCUCCUCUCACUGCCUGGCCUCUCACUCCAUCCCUAAAUCAAAUAUCAACUGUUAUUUUAGUACCAAGCUUCCCAGACAUUAUGCAAAGUGCAGGAGCCAGCUCUUGAUCACUGGGAGUCUCAAUGCAAGGCCACAGGGAAGAGUGUGCCAAGAGGGAGCUAGGUUAUCAGAAGCAAAGGCAAAGAGUCUGAGUACUUGCCAAGUACUCAACCCCAAAGACUCAGUUUACAUUCACUAAGCCUGUCUAAGUCAACCCCCCCACCCCCCCACCCCCCCCCACCCCCCGCCUGGAGCGCCACAGGCCUCUGUGGGCUGAGUUUCAUACCCCUUGCUGAAGUACAACCUUUUCUCCUUCUUAAGUUUUUUCGUGGAGGUCUCUGUAAACUUAACCAUUAGCCGCUUCACCAAGGAAAGCUGGUUUUAUCUGUGUUUGUGUUUUUCCUUGUCUCACCGAGAUAGUUCAUCUAAACCUGGGUUCACUCAAGACUUCCCUGCUCGUGUUUAGAUAUGUCACUUCAUCUCUCUGUGUCUCAGAUCACCCGCCUGUGAGACAUAGAUGUCACAACCACCUUUCCCAUUGCUGGGAAACACAGACUGGGCCCGUUCCAGUAGGCCAGCCUAAAACAUAGAGGGGAGCCUGAACUUGAGCUGUUUGAAACUGAGUUUCUGCGCCUCUCUGUGCUUCCCACCCUAUCCAAGGACAGUGCUAAGUGAGUUGACUUCUUUGAUGUAGGAUGCAGCCCUGGGUUUGCACCCAGUGGGUGCUCUAUAAAUGCUCCAUGCAGCCUCAGUAUACAGAAAGUAUUCAAGAUGGUUGUUCUCCCUCCCUGUAUCCAAGCUUCUGUCUCCCCACAGAGACUGGAGGCAUCAGAACCUAAUGGAGAAAGUGUCCUCCUCCCUGGGCUCAUGGGAGCCUCUGUGAGGUGUUCUGAUGAGUGUUCUAACCCAUGCAUUUUCACAAGCCUCUGACUCCGCAAGAAAGCUUCCUGCCUUGAUGGUUUGCCUGGGCUUUCCAAUGGUUAGAAAGCCUUGGCCCCAGACUCAGAGAGCUGUGCUUGCAGCCAUCAUGAAUCACAGGGGGGUGUUGCAUGUAUUUUUCACAGCAAAAGGUGAGCCUCUCACCUGCACUUGGGACCUGAUUCUCUUCCACAAUACUUUGGCUAGUCCACUGUGUUCUAGCACACCAAGCAUCAUUUGGGGGACAGUCCUCCAAAGACACCUUCUGCUCAGUGCGGUGCCAAACCUGCAGAUCUAUGAGUUGGAAGCAUUGAACAUCACCUGGGCUGGGGUCAGCAGACUCUACAUUAAAAGGGUACCAGAGUUCUAAGUAGCAUGUUCUGAGCUAGACAUGAUCCAUGCUCACCAGAGGCUAUGGAAUCCUCAUGGGGUCAUACUUCAGAGCUUAGCUCAGACACUGCCUAGUGGCUCAAGGUUUUCCAGGCCAAACACACACACACACACACACAUACACACACACACACACACACACCUCCACUUACUCAUCUGGUGGCUCCUACAGAGAAAAGUACAGCUGUACCCAGCUCCCUUGUCCUGUCCACACACAGUCCCACUCGUGUGGUUAAAUCACCCUUCUCCCUAUGUUUCCUCUCUAUCAGAAUGAGGAAGUUUUCUCCAAAAGUGGGAGCCUUUGUCUUGAACCCUGUUUUCUGGCUUGAUUUCCUGAACAAUUUCUCCAUAUUGUGGUGUCUUUCUCUAUAUAGAGAAUGAUUAGGCUGAGCUGAGAAAAUUAGAUGCAAUUGCAAAACUAGACACAUGAGCAACAGACAUGCCACAGGAUGAUAACCACCUCCUCCCCGUCCCCACCUUCCUGGUGAGCAAAGAAAACAAUGGAGACCCCUUCAUUUAUUCAACCAGCUCACCCUGUUCAUAUCUCUUCAUAUCUCCACCCUGCUGCCUGUGCGUUGCCUCACUCGGAUGCUGCUGGAGCAAGCCAUGCCUUUGCUCUCAGCAAGCUCAGAAUCCUGGUCCAGCCAAUGGAACUGCGGGGAUACUCAGGGUUUCAUCCCUUAGGUGACAUCUGCAUUAUUGAAACAGCUUUCCCUAAGGUCUGCCCUCCCUCGAAGUGAGGUGCCACCUUUAAACCAUUGGUUUAAUCUCUCGUCAUGCUCAAGUAUGAUUUAUUGAAAGGAAUCCACAGUCAAUGUCUGCCUGCUGCUCAUCCCUUUCAUGUGAACUGCACAGUCAGCCUACUGCCAGGCUCUUGCCUCCUCUGGAUCUCUUAGGGGGCAGAGCCUGCACCCUGGGCAGCCUCAGCUGUUUUGGCAUCUGGGGAGGGUACUGCCUGCAGGAGUGCUAACCUCAUGUAAUUGGCCAGAAGAGUGAGCAGCUAAUGACAUGGAACCCUGCAAAGGUAAGUAAAAGGCCGGGAAUCCACGGCUGAGGCGAAGCAGAGGCUUCAGUAAUGAAGAUGAAGAGGCCUAGGAGGUGCGAGCCAGUUGUUGCCGGCAUUGUUUAAAGGAGCUAGUUAGUGUCGUCAACUGUAAUGACCUCAUGCCAGGGCAAAGGUCAGAAGGCAUGGGCAGUUGGUGCAUAUGAUAGAUGGUGACACAGAGGUUUCAUGAAUCAUUUCUAAGAUGUGAGCUCUGCUUGGCACACUGGAGACCUGGCACAUGUAAGCACUGGGGGAAUCAGAGAAUAGAGGCAAUCUGGAGCUGCAGAAUGCACAGAGUUCUAGUGUUAGAUAGAUGGAGCUUGGCGUCUUGAGACCAGGCAUGCACGCAGCUGAGCCCUGCCGAGCCUUGGCUCUCCCAUACGUUUGAGAGGGCUGAGCACUGGCUCACCACUAGCAGACAGUUACUUUGUGGAGUGAAUGCCCAGUAAUGCUGUCUGGUGUCUCCUCAGUACCAAGCCAAGUCUGGCCCAUUGGAGGAGAACAGCCCAUAAGCACUUCUGCCCAUAAGCAUUCAUGGCAGACAUUCUGUGUAAGGCGGUUCCUGCAUAAGGUGGGGGACGGUUAGCUCCUCGUCCCUUGGAUAAGAUCCAGGUAUUGUGUAGGUGCUUACCAAAUCUCCAAUGAAGAUGCCCUGGUUUCUUCCAAUUUGUUUUUCUGUAUUAGAUUAGCUGCCUCAAUAACCCCAUUCUACACAUGCACAUGCGCACACGCACACACACACAAAGCAUACACGCAUGCAUGCAAGCAUGCUCACACACAGCACCUACAUUCACAAAUACAUAUUUGUGUACACGCUCACAAGCACCCACACUCUCACUCACCCAUUCUCACUGUCUGCACCUUUACUCAUUGCUUUGCGUGUACUUCCACCAAAGAGUCACUUAGCAGAGGGACAUUGUUUUCCCCAGCGUCUUAGGUGUCUUAAGAGACAUGACUCACACGAGAGACUUUGCACAUUCCUACUCAUCUCACGGCUGCUGCCCACAGCCAUGAGAAAAUGCCAUUCUAGUGUGGCAGACAAAGAGAUGAGAGGCCAGCCGAGGAGAAUCAGCCACCUGUCUGUCUUCUUCCCACUGGUCGUGAGUGAGCAGAGCCCCUGUGAGCUCCACCCAGCCAAGCCUAUCCUAAUUGCAUAGUUACAGGUGCACGAGCCAAAGAAUUGCUUGCCGCUGUCAGCUGCAAGCUUCAGGGCAGUUUGUCCUGUGGGAUUAUUACGACAACAAACCACUGACAUCACCAGCUGCAAUUACCAUCUGGGAUGAAGCUUGAAAAGUGGCCUGAGACGUGACAAAGCGCUUUUCUUCAUCGAGGCUGUUCUUCUCCCUUUGGAUCGCAUAGAGUACAUGUGAAGUGUGUGUGUGUGUGUGUGUGUGUGUGUGUGUGUGUGUGUGUGUGUGUAUGUGCGUGUUGGGAUCAAGCAGGCACCAACUGCUUCAAUGAUAGCUAAAAAUCAUGACCUGGGACUGGAGAGAGAGAGCUCAAUCAAUAAGGCGGUUGCUACAUGAGCAUGAUUCCCAGCACCCAUGUCAAAAGCCCGGAGCAAGUGGCAUGUACCUGUCUUCCAAAUGCGGAGGAGGCAAAGACAGGGGGAGUUCUGGGGCUCUGUGACAAGCUGGUUUUGCUGAAUCAGCAACCUCUGAGUUCAGGAAGAAACUCCUGUCUCAAAAAAUAAGGUGAAGUGGGAUAGAGGACAAGUAAUGUGGAUUUCUGGCCUCCAUGUUUACAUGCGCACGCGCACACACACACACACACACACACACACACACACACACACACACAGGUGGACAGACACACAGACAGACAGACACACAGACAGACACACAGACAGACAGACAAACAGACAUGCAGACUUGUGACUGUGACCUGAAAAGUCCCAGUCGCCCUUGGUGUCCUCCUGUGCAGUUUGCCACCUGUGACAGUUCUACCCACAUUGCAUGCUGGGAUUUACUGAAAGCUGCUGCCAGUUGGUCUGACCCCCUCUGGUUGUCCUGGUGAGGUGGUUCACAGAUGGUAAGGGCAGACAAGACAUACUCAUUUUCUGUCCUGCUACUAGAAAUUGUCACAGACUUGGAGCUUCAAAUGACCUAAGAGGCACUGUGGGGACGCAUGGAUCAGAUGGGGAUUCCGGGCUGAAAUCGGGAUGUAAGGACUGAGGCUUCUCUCUCUGGAGUCCAUGGGACAUCUUCAGCUUCUAUGGGUUGCCCACCUGCUUCAAGCCAUGACCCUGCUGCGGUCUUAAUAAUUGUGCCCCCUUCCCUUAAUUCAUAUAUGGAUGCCUAAUACCCAGUGUGGUGGAUUUAACAGGUUAUGAGUAUGCCAUGAGUGACCCCCAUCAUGAAUGAGGUCAGUAACCUUAUAAAGAAUCUGCAGAAAACUCCUCUGUCCCUUCCACUAAUGUAAAUGAGUCAUGCAGGCACCAUCUCUGAAGGGGUUACAAGUCCUCUGGACUCCCCAACCUCCAGAAUAGUAAGCAAUGAAUUCUGUUGUCUACAGAUUCCCCGGUCUAAGGCAUCUUGUCACGAAGACAAAAAAAAAAAAAAAAAAAAAAAGCUUCCUUCUUUCAUCUUCAAAGCUAGCAAAGUGGCAUCUCUCUGAAUAUUCUCCCAGCUCUCUGCCAACUGCAAUCUGCAAACAUUCUGAGUGUGUGUAUAUAUAUGUGCAUUUGCACAUAUAUGUGUAUAAGUGUGCGUGUAUAUGUGUGUACAUGUGUGGUAUAAGUGUUCAUGCACAUAGGUGUGUGCAUAUAUAUAUGCACAUGUGUAUGAGGGCGCAUGUGUGCAUGUGUAUAUGUAUGUAUGUGUGUGGGCACGUGUGUAUAUAUUCUUGUUCAUUGCUCAUGUAUAUGCUUUAUCACAUACAUGGAAGUCAAAGAUCAACCUUGUAUGUGGUUCUUCUUACUUGGGGCUUUUUGUGACUGGCCUAUAAUUUACCAAGUAGACUAGAUUAGCCCCAAAGAUCCAUUUGUGUUGGUCUUCCCCCCCUUCCACAAUCUGCUGGGAUUACAAGCAUACAUCGCCACGCCCAGCAUUUUUAUAUGUGGGUUCUGGGGAUCAGACUCAAGUCCUCAGGCUUGCAUAGCAAAGCACUUUACUGACUAAGCCAUCUCCCUAGCCCUGCAGUCCGCAAAGUUUCUUUACUUCUAAGGUGCCAUAUGAUUAGAUCUGGCUCAUUGGGAUAAUCCAGUGUACCAGAAGUAUCUCAAGGUCACUCAUCUUAAUUACAUUUAAAAAGUCUCUUUUGCAUGUUCACAGUUCCAUUGACUAUGGUGAGACAUCUUCAUGAGAACACUGUUUUGCCACAAAGGGUCAUGCACCUGUCCAAUAACUCCUCUAGUGGGGAUGCAGGAGGCCACUCCCCUUUCUUCUUAGGUUCCCCCUGCCUCCAUCCACCCCACCGAAGUGGCUAGAGCACAACUCCACUGUGUGUAAAACCUCAGUGUUUAGCUCAGCAGAAAGAAGUUCUACAGUCUCCCCCAAAACAGAUCUUGUAGCAGAGAUGAAUUUGAAUAUGUUGAAACUAAGCUGUUUUGAACUCCUAUGAAAUCAAGUUCUUGUUAGCUGCAGACAAGUUCCUGAUUAAAAUGGUCCAGAGGGUGUGUCCCUAGCACACACUGCUUACUCAUCUCUCUUGGUGGAAGCGCAGAUCCUGGAGGAGAAAUGGAUUUAUUUUAUGGUGGAUUCGCAGCCACAGAAAUUGCUUCAUGCAAAUGAAGCUAGGCACUGUGACUUCAUGAAUAAGAAAUGAGCUGACGCCUCUUUCCCCCCACAGGCGGUGUCGCACACUGGGAAAUUAAUUGUGGCAUGCUUUGGGUGGCCCUGGCUGGCUCUGUGUGGAGAUGCAGCAGACAAAAAAAAAAAAAUGCUUUCCUUCACCAGAUUGCAUAGGAGGCAUUUAUGUCCUUUUUAGCUUCACUUUGUGUUGUAAGUGACCCAUGGGUGGCUCUCCCUUCUCCCAGGAGCUUCUGGGGACUUUUCAGACUGAAGAGUUCAUGGCAGAACCCACAUGAAACACUGAACCUCACAUUGAGAGCAUGGCCUUAGGACCCAUAAUGCCUAGGUUCAAAUCCCUGUCUUUCUCCUAUCUAUGUGACUUUAGACAUAUUCUUACUCAAUCCCUGCCUCGGUUUCCCUACUUAUUAAUUAGAUGCCAGUAUAGCAUCUACUUUGUCAGGUAUUGUGAGCAUUGAAUAUGGCCUCGAACUACUUAGAAUAGAGCCCAAGAGCUCUGCUGACCCCUGGAAGAGUCAGAUCAUGUCACUGUGUAGUUAAAAUUAAAAUAGGGCUGGGAAGCUCAAGUGAUAGAGCACGUUUCUAGCAUGGACCAAGGUCUGGGUUCCAUCCUCAACACCACACAACAUGGGUUUAGUGAUAUGUCUGCAAUGCUGGUCCUCAUGAGACGGAGGCAGGAGAAUCAGGAAUCCAAAGUCAUCCUCAGUUACAUAGUGAAUCUAAGGCAGCCUGGGCUAUGUGAAACCCUACUCCAUGUCUGCAAUAAUUAAGACUAAUAGUUAGCUCUCUUUGCUGAUGAUUACAAGUUCUCAAAGUGUUAAAAGGAAGAAAAAGACUAAAACUAAGUCUUGGGUCCCAGACCCACUGCCCAGCUGUCUGGACAAGUCAUGUCCUUUGUUUUAAUGAUUUCCUUGUCAAUUGCAAAUGGUGACAGUUGCAAGGUUAUUACAUAAGAAGGAGGCACCCUCAAACUAUUGUAGCUUAAAAUUGUCACCAUUUGGGAGUAGAGAGAUAAUAGCUUAGUAAUGUGUACUGUUCUUACAGAGGACCUGGGUUCCAUAUCAGUACCCACAUUGAGCAACUUAUAAUUAAAACCCCAGCUCUAGGGGAUCUGUUGCCUUCUUCAGGCUUUUGUGGACACCUGUACUCAUGCCUCAUGCACAUACCCACACCACCACCACUACCACCACCACCACCACCACCACACACACACACACACACACACACACACACACACACACACCAUUUUAUUGUAACUCUCAACCAGGAGUUCAAGCUCAAGCAAGGCUCAGUAAAAUGAAUGCUAGGCAUUGCCUGCAGUCAUGAAAUUCAGUUGGUGGUAAGCUAUGGUGGGCUCACAUACAUUUUCUUGUGCCCUGAUUGUGACAUGUAAGAUCUGUCAGGGGUUUGAUCCUGUUACAUAAUAGAAUCAUGGAGCCUACCUGCCAAGGGUCCCAAGCUGUAGAAGAGCAAUAAACUGAAUGCUCCUUUAAGACAGCUCUAGAAAGAUGGAACUCCUGCCCUUGAGAAGAUGCAAGCUUCCCGUCUAAGCAUUUUAACAUCCUAGAGGAAUCCCUUCUUUGAAAGGGUCCAAAGUGAAAAGCUGAGCUAUGCCAUCUGUGGGUUAUCCUUACGGGAAUGCGUUCUUGAAGUUUUGAUUUCUGAGGUGGACCUUUUAGGUUUUAUUUUCUUUAUCCAAAGGCUGGGAAGGAAGAAUGAACAGCAAUGCUUUGUGAUCAACCAGUCCUGGUGAGGAACUGAGCAGAAACCUGUCUUUACAGGUAGCUCCUCCCUCCAACAUGAAAGAAGGGGGGAAGCGAAUCAAUCUAAGUAACUACUCAGUGUGGAGUAGGCUAAGCAUCUUAUGCACAUGGUCUCAUCAGAUCUCCAGGCCUGUCUUGAGAGAUCAUUGAUUCUCCAUUUUCUUAAAUAGGAACCCAAGGUUUGAAAGGGUUAAGUUGCUUGCCCUAGUCUGUAGGUCAAACAUGGCAAAGUUCAAGGUUCAUAUCUGCCUGUCUAGUCUCAAAACUCAGCAUCUGGCUGGUCCCCACUCUAGCUCCUCUGCUGGGUAUACACUAGGCUAGCUGGGCCUCCUUUGGUUGCAGCUGGUCAAAGCAUGUUAGGAUAGACUAGGCAACUAGGGACAUUCUGUGGAAGGAUACUGGGUUAGCGCAUAGAGGAACCACUGUUCAGCUGGGCAGAACAGUCACUGAGCUUGGGAACAGAAAGCCAACACCAUGCUAGAACUUGCCUCAGACUCUUCCUGUCUACUCCUCUCCAUGUGGUGAUGGGCCUUUAUCAUGCUGAAGAUAACUUUAUAUACUUAACAGAAACCAUGGCAUCACCUGCUCCCAAGAUUUCUUAGCCACGCAUAAACUGGGUUGAGGGGGAGGUGGUAAUAGGAAGACAACAGACUGGAUGUCAUGAAGUGUACUGGGCUUGAGCCAAGCACAGCAACAGCCUGGGCUGAUGAGCAGAGGGUUGGAAGUUGGUCCAGAGCCUUUAAAGAGGUUCUUCAGAUUUGCCUCUGAUUUACUAGGUGACCUUAUCCAAGUGACUGAAGCUGCCUGAGCUUCAUUGUCUCCAGCUGAGAGAUAAGGCUGACUGUAUCUGUCCAUCAUCGUCCAUAUUGGGAACAGCAUCCAUUCCAUUAGAGUGCAGAGUCUUGUGCCUCACAGGGAGAGUUCACACAUGAUUCUGGUGACAUUGACAUAACUAUAUUCCUUCAGGGAUAUCUUAGUGGCUUUUCUCAUGGCUCUAACAAAACACAUGACAAAAGAAAGUUAAGGAAGAAAGAGUUAAUUUUGGCUCAGAGUAUAAGAAGGUAUAUAGUCCACCAUGACAGGUGAGGCACAGCCAAUGGCAGACACAUGAAGGCUGGCCAUAUUGUAUCAGUAAGCAGCAGCCAGGAAGUCGGACUGGGCUGUGGACCCUCGAGUCCCUUCCCAGUGACCAACUUCCUCCAGCAAGGUUCUACCUCCUAGAGGUUCUACAAUCUUCCAAAACAGCGCCCCCCAGCUGGGUACCAAGUGUUGAAGCACAUGAACCGUGGAAGACCACGGCAGGGAAAGAACAUUGAGUUGUGACAAUAUGGAGCUCUUGAUAUGGAAUAUUGAGUGACUUGGCAGAGCUCAGAGGGAGAAGAGAAGAAAAGGUGAUAUAGCCUAGGAGCAGAGGCAUGCAUAUCCGUGCAUUGUCCCUUCUCACCCAGGACCGGCCAUGAACUGUGGGGCACACUACAAGGUGGACAUGCAAAGCCUCUUGUUCAAACAGCAUUCAGAAUUUCAAGAUGGCACCAGUGAGAACUAAGUCCGGCCUUUCCUAGCACAAAGCCCAGGUGAUUACUGGCAUAGAUCACGUGUGUGCAAGCUGGCCUGGCUCCUCACUGGGCCAGUGUGGGAUAUUCUCUCUAGGAUGCACUCUUCCUUCUUGGCAGCUUUUUACUGAAGUUUUGACACAUCCAAUGAGGAACAGAAAUUUUUUUGAACCCCAGAAACUCAUCAACAAGAAUUCUAUGGAUGUAUAAUAUGCAGUUAAGUGUACCUAUUGAGCUUGUGUGUAUAUAUAAAUGUUUCCUGUUGACUGGAGUCUGUAGUUACUGGAGUGUUGCCAUGGAGAUUGGCAGGGCCAGCUGUUGUCUCAUUUCCCCCCAAAGAAUUGUAUGCUAAUGAAGCUCCCCUGGAGAGUUCUCCAGGGGCAAGACAAGCUAUUGAGAAGUCUGCAAACCAACCGCAGGUUGUAGAUGCCAAGCUCCUGUUUGCUGUUAAUAACAUGGUUUUAGGGGAUUCCGCUGAGAAGUAGCUAAUUAGGGAUAGGAAUCUAGAGGGAGGCUGCUUCAAGAAAGCAAGGUUGAAUCCUCAGUCAGUCACUGAAUAGCUGUGUGGUUGAAUUCCUGAGUCUGUUUCCUCAUUUAGAAAUGGGGAUUGGUACGUCAGAUUCAUGGGAGCUUAGGCAUGAAGUGUAAGGAAGGCUUGGCUCAGUUUUUAGACCAGGCAUGUGGGUAUAACAAUGUCACGAUGCUGCUAAUAUUAAAGGAAUACUCUUGAUUAGGCUCAUAGGCUUCAUCCAGUGCCCUAUAUGCAUAUGUAUUGGCUCAUCUAGUCCUUAGCUCAGCCCACCAGUGAGGACACUGCUGUCCUCAUUUUAUAAGCAGGACACAGAGAGUUUGAGAGACUUGCCUGAGGUCACCCAGAGAGGAGAUGGCAAUGAAUAAGGCAGUCUGUCUCUGGAGUUCUUAACCAUCAUGCCCAGAGCUCCUGGGAGGAAGAUUAACGGUGACAUGGAGGCUAAGACGUACACAGUCUUCGGGUCUUCCCAUUGACUCUGGAAGUUCCAUCCAAGCUGAAGCUACCAACAGACUCCCCUGACAGAGCACUGGGGGCAGGCUGGAGGGGCAGGGGUUUUAAUGGGCAAUACUGGUGGGGCUAUGCAAGGGCCAGAAGUCACAUUAAAACCAUCCCACUGACUCCUCUGGAGCUGCAAUAACUCGGACCUUUGUCUGAUGUGUAGGCUAGAUCUACAUACAGGAUAACUUGGGAUGAGGGUCUGUGUGCACAGCCUGACUUGUUUGCUACUCACUGCAGUGGUCCUUCCUCCCAGGACUCUGAGGCUGACCACCGUGAUCUCCUGCAAACUAAACAACUGCAAGAAAUAAGCACAGGCACAAAACCAGCCCUCUUGCUAAUCCUUUGGACUUCCUCAGAUAUGGUAAGCAGCUUGGGCCUUUGCAAAUGUCACCUGGGCUGCACUCCCCACCCGUCACUCUUAGCUCCAUGCAUCACUAAUGAAAUUCUCCAUCCUUCUGUGUGAGUGCAAACAGUCCUUAUUCAAGGAGGUCAUCCUGACCACCCCAUCCUAGGUGUUAAGCCUGUCUGUUACCAAUUUGUACCUAGCUGCUGGUCCAGUCACUUGCUGGGAUUUGCAUUAACCAAUGGUGAGUAUAAUGAUUGGCUCAGAUCAGCCUUUUCUCAUGAAUGUUUUAUUCACUCUUGAAUCAACAGAUGCCUCCAACAACGGCUGGCCGAAUCUGUUGAAUACAUGAGUGAGUGAGUAAGAACCCACCCACUAGGGAAUCCAGGCCCUCUGUGGUCAUUCCAGCCUCUUCAGUGUUUGGUGGGGGACUGUGGUCCCACUAAGUAUUCAGAAGAGCACACAUACUCACACACACACACACACACACAGAGAGAGAGAGAGAGAGAGAGAGAGAGAGAGAGAGAGAGAGAGAGAGAGAGAGAGAGCAUACCAGGGCAGUGUGGGAAGGAUGCAGGGAUGCAGGGAAAGGAUGGCUAAACAGAUACUGUGUCUUGGGGCCAGGAUCUCACAUGAAGUUCUCAAUGACGGGCCUCUGUGUGCAUUUGAUAACCAAGAAAAACAAGAGUCAGGGUGGACAUUAAUGCAUGCCUGUUCCUUACCAUGGGUGUCCCCGAUUCUUCUGGCAAAUGAGGGUAGAGGCAAGUGGACCAGACAACCCUUAAAGUCACUUCCAACUUGGUCAUCCCCUUCCUGAGGCCUGGACUCCUGCUGUUCCUGUGUGCAUCUGCAUGCCUGACUGCUAGUGCUCAGAAUCCUCUUGGACAAGAACUAUGUCAUUAGCUGAGGCUGCAGGAGCAAGCUCCUAGAUGAAGUAGCAGCCCUUGGGGAAUGUAAAUACCAAGGAAUUUGGGCUCAGAUGUCCUGUCCCAUAUAUCGGGGGGGGGGGGGGUGCUGCAGCACCUCGCUCAGCCUCUGUGCAGUUCCACAGUAAUCAAGAAGGAACUGUAUGCAAAUGCAGUUUCUAGAUGACUGAGCCAGGCUGUUCCCAGGGCUGGUUGGGAUAUUUAUUCAACUCACUGUCACCAGAUGCUUUUCCAAGGCAAAGGCAGGGACUGUGAUAAAUGAUAACACGUUCAGCAGCCACGGGCGAGAUGGGAGAUGAUCGGCCGCCCCACCUCCCUUCCCUGGCACUUUGUAUUUCAUCUGUGAUUCCCCCGAAGCCUUGGAAUCACUGCUCCUAAAACUCAAAGGCAGAAAUGGAAUUCUAUUCCAGGCACCAGGCAAUGGGGUCGCCGACAUUCACCGGGGUUGCUUUAAUCUUGCCUGAGACAUCCAACAAGAAAGAAAUGUGAAGGAAGAGUGAUUUCACUUUUUCAAAAAGAAAAAAAAAAAAUGGGUAUGCUGUGCUGGGAAUGGAGCCCAGGGCUUUGUGUGCAUUCGGCAAGCAUCCUACCUCUGAGAUGUGGUCCGGCUCUCAAGUCUUUAACUUCUGCAGUUGCAAUCUGUUGCCUUGAAGAAAGCAGGAGGCUACUUUGUAAGUCUGGGAAAUAACAGACUGGGAAGCAGACAAGGGCGAAAGCAGAAAGAAGAUGCGCAGCACUGGUUGGUGGCUGGGAAGGUUCCUGGAAAACUGCUCAGGCACGGCAGGACCGGGUCUACGGCUCCAAUCCCCCCAGGCACUGCUCAGAGUGUGAACUCAUUACUCCCUGGCUACGCAGUGAACUUGUCAUUAUUUUAUGCUUAUUUUUAGCAUGAGGAAACUGAGGAACAGAGAGACAGUCGAGCCUCGCAGACACCAGUGCCCUUUACCGAAACUUUGUGCCCCUCUAUGACAAUAGCUAGUAAUAUUUUUUUAAGGGCACAGCGGCACACACUUAUAACUCUAGCACUGAGGAGAUGGUAGAAGAAUUUCAAGGUCACACUGGAUCAUACAAGGAAUUUGAAGCCAGCCAAGAAUCCACAUGACACUGUCUCAAAGUAGUAACGAUGAUAUCAGUAGGAUUACUCGUGGUAGCUGAAGCAUCGCUGCUUAUCCGAAGCCCUGUCUCAGGCAGUUCCAGUGCCGUCUUCUUCUCAUUAUAAACCGUGCAAGGGAAGAAACUGGUGAACAGGAGGGUGGACUGUAGCAACAAUGGUGGUAUAACAGAGCCAGCCCUUCACUGAGGACAAAACCCACCCACUACUUAUCUCAGGGGAGUUCAGGCCUCUGAGAGUGGUGGGGGUGCUACACUCUUUGUGCCCAGCCCAGGGUCAAUUGAUUGGUUUUGUUGGGAACUGUGGGGAGGGUCACUCCUCUCUGGAGAUUUAUGGUGGUGUCUCUUCAGCUAUGGAGCUAGGCACCCAUAGCAAGACAUUGAGGCUAGAGCUGAGCAGAGUGAGGGCUUAGGGUCUCUAUGGUAGGAAAAUGAGCUUUUUCACUGUUUGAUGUGCUUAAAAGAGCUGGGAUUCUACAUAGGUUAGCUGCACAUGGCUCUGUGUUGGCAGUGGGUUCACACAUCUAUCUUGGCUGAGGCCCAGGCAAGGCAAGGAAGAGGACUUUCUGGAGGGGUCUUAGUUUGUACAUGAGGAACAGAUCCACAAGGAUUUAGAGGCUUGUUGAGGUCCCCACAGCAAGGAAUUGGCAAAGCCACCCUGACCUUGGCCUCUAUGUCUGUGGAUACUGUUGGUCUGGAGGUGUCACCAGAGAACAACCAGGACACUGGGGGUGGGGUGAGAUUGUUAGAGAUAAGGAGUUAGCAAUGCUAUGGACCUGUGUCCUCCUCCAACUAACUAGGAUGCUGAAACCAUACUCCAGGAGUGCUGUGAAGGCCCAGCAGGCCAGCCUGCUGAAACAGAAAGAUCUGCCAAGGCGCCUAGAUUUGGGGAGCAGAGAGGAAUAAAGACUUGUGAACACUCAGGGUACAGAUUUGGGAGAGCGACAGUAACAAAUAUAUUCUAAAAAUUGAUCAUGGCAAUGCCUGCAGACUGAAAAUAAAAAUAACAUUGAAUCAUAUGCCUUACAUAGAAUGGCCUGAGACUUAUGCAACAUAAAGCUGAUAGUAUUGUUGUUAAUGCAAGGUGGUCCUAGGAGGACCUCUGGCUGAGCAGUGAGAACCUGGCCCUGCAGCUUUCUAGUCAACAGAGCCUCAGGAUGUAGGCGCUGUUUCCUUCUCAACAAGGAAUGUUGCUGUUCCUUGACAGCUUCCAUCCCCACUUCUGUGCAGGCCUGGCACAUGGCACCAGGGGGAAACGCUAUCACUAGGGGACCGCUGCCUUCUGUCACUCAGCUCUGGGUUCCCCUAUGCUGACUCCCUGGGUCAUCCUCACCACAAUGGAUCCUCUAGAACUGUGAAGUCCCUUCCUAACGUCAAGCCCUGCCAUCUGGCCAGAUACCAGCCUUUGAUUCUGACCCAGGGUGCUUUGCACAUUAAGCCCAGACUGAAAAACAAAAUCUGGUCCAAAGUCCCCUUGCCAAGUAAGAAUGGAUAUAGCCAGUAACAACAUAUUCUGGAGUCUGUGGCCAGGACUGUGCACACCACCCUCGGGGGGCUCUGCCGAAUGCCUUUUGAACCCCAGCCCAGUCAAUGCCAUUGUAUCACCUGGGCAGAUUCCAAGAGAAAUAGACAAACUGUUUUCCUCUCCAUCCCCAAGUCACUGCGCUCCCUGGAGAGCCCUGUCCCCACAACGUUCUACUGGGAGACAGAGAUGGUACCCUUACCAAGGGAUGGAGAUGGAAGAGUGUCUGGUCUGCUGAGAGGGGUCCAAUGGGCUCCAGGGAAAAUAGCCUAUUCUGCUGUUCAUUGUUAGUGAAAUCGUAGCUGACAGCUUUCUCCCAAAGAGGAGAAACAACAAGAUUCUGAGGCUGGAAUGUGCUGUGAGGGGGAAGACACUGGGAAGUGGGUACAGUCGACGCUACAGAGAUGUCUCCCCUGAGCAGCCCAGUGGCUGGGUAUAGAGAGCAGAAAGAGAAGGAAGGGAAAGAGAUAGCAUCCAGGCCUACAGAAAGCUACAAUCACCAGUUGAGUACCUAGACUCACAUCUUACUUUAGGAAGCCUGAUCAGUUCAGAUGGGGUAACACAGCUCAUUUGAAUUGACAAACAGCUCCAAGAUAGGUGUAAGCAACUCUUAUAUUUCACCUUUUGCCAGGAGACAAAACGCAAAGUCUGCUGAAUCUGCCUGGGUCUCCUGUUUGUCCGUGCUGAAGACAAUUAGCCACUUGUGUGCCUUGGAACCAAUGGCCCCCACAGUCCUUCAUUAGCUGCCACCGAGCUUCUGUCAUACUAAGAAGCCCGGUAACUAGAUAUAGGUGCCAGGAAUCCAGAACAGUGCUCCCUACAGUGAGUGGGGACAGCCUGGAGUCCAUAUAAAGUGAAAAAGUCCCUUCAGUCACCUUGUAAUAGGUGACAGCUCUGCUUGAAAAUCCAGAGUGCAGAAAGGGCUAUAAAUAGUUCCACUCACAACUACCACCUGGGUGGGGGCCAAAGAGGUGAGGUACCAGCCCUCGUGGUUUCUGGGGGUGCUUUUUAUAGAUAGCGCAUGUCAAGUGUGCUAAUCAGGCACUUUCAUCGGAAAGGUGAGACUUGGUUCUGCUGCAGCAAAGACACGGUUGUCAUUAUCACUGACUUGCUUCGUGACUUUCACGCCUCUUCCCGUUCUGUCCUGUCAUCCGUGGUGUUACAUCGGAAGGGGUGUUAUCCUAACAGAAGAGGCUGAGACCAGAGAGGUUCUUAGAGCCAGUGAAGUGUGUGACAGCCAGAGUCAUGUCAGGGUGAACCAGAGAGGGUCUUAGAGCCAGUGAAGUGUGUGACACCUGGAGUCGUGUCAGGAAGUUUAUUUAUGUGGCGAGCUUGUGCCCCUAGGGAAGGUCUCCUGACUGCUCAGUCAAAUCCCAGAGCGGUGGCACCACGUGCUCUCAUUGUGUCCUCCACCACAGACUCUCUACAGGUGAGACAAGCUGGCACUCCGGCUCUGAGGAGCAGCACAGGAGCCUUGUGAAUAAAAACAGUCACCCAUGGGUAAGUUAGUGCACAGUGACACUGGAUACAAAUGGAUACAUUACCUAGAUCCUUCUUCUCUGAUUUGUAACAUUGUUUGGGAGGGCUGGGAUUUGGUUUUUGUUUUGUUUUAUUUUGUCACCAGCUGUGGGUUUAAUUAUGUGUAAAUUGAGAUCCUAAUUUCUGUUGCUUCAGACUUGAUCUCACUUGGAAAUAGGAGUAUCCCAACUGUAAUCAUUUAAAACCAGGGCACUUUACAGUGGGGAUAGUCCUUACCGACUAUGAUUGGUGUCCAUAUGACAAGAAGGUGGAGACUGGCCUUAAACUGCUAUAAACCAAGUAGUAUCAAGGACAAGGACAGCAGAAGCUAGGACAAGGCAAAGAAGGACCCUCCCAGUACCUCCGAGUGGCCACCUUAGCUUUAGACUGCUGGCCUCUCGAAUUUAUAGCCACCCACGGCUGCUUUUAGCAGAUCUCCCAAGUCUAGGCCUCAAAAGGCCCUAAGCUCUGUCAUCCCACCAAGAAGAUGACAGCAUGGUCAGAGUUCACCUUCCCUGUGGCUGAGGGAUACCACUCACUCCCCCUCAUCUUUGGGACUUUGUGUCACGCUUUGGGGCUUUGAGACUCAGUUCUGGAUGUCCCACCUCAUAGGGAGUCAAAGAGCAAAGAGGGUUCUGAGUAGCAGGCUGGGCUACCAGACAAAUUCCUGUCUCCCAGGCUGGUUCUCCGCAUAAACCUGAUCCAGGCUUUAGGGAAACCUCUUGUCUCCAGCAGCUAUCUAUCCCUCCUGUGAGGGAUCGGCUCCCAUAGCAGAUUAGCCUCUAGAGUACGUCAUUCAUCGUCCAUCCCGGUUCCUUUCCCUCCGUACAGCUAAUGUUCUGUGACGGAGCAUCCCAUGCUGGGUGCUGAAGAUGCACAGGGAGUAAAAAGCAAAGCAUCCCUGCUCUCCAAAGGGCUUAGAGAGCUCACUCGGGCUGCCAGGGAAGCCAGGCAAAGAGUAACACAGAGGGUGUUAAGUGCUCUGAGAGGGGACACAGUUACUAGGGGCCUCGGGUAAGCUGGCAGAAUGCAAGCUCACACACAUGCCAGGGGGCACUGCACACAGGCUCACCCUAAGCCUUGGGAGGAAGCCUACUAUCACCCCCACAUGGCUAAGGCCGGAGAAAGAACAGCCUCUCCCCCAAACCUGCAAGGCUCUGAGGAGAGCUACGCAGUAGGGAUCUACCCAGAUCCCCUACACCAACACUGCCCUACCUUCUGACCUACCUACUACUCCUGUGCUAGGGACUCACAGCAGUGACUUAUCUCAACCUCUCACACCCCCUGCCCAACUGCUCUUCACGCCCCCACCACUCUCCAGCCUGUCACCCCAGGCCGGUGACUUCACCUCUGUGAUGCAGGGCUAGUCUUGGGAUGCUCCCCUGACCAAAGCUCCCCUGAGCUUUCUGAUCAAUCCCCAUGGUUCUGGUCCACAUUGGAGCACACCAGCAUGCCUUUUAGCUCCUGGUCUGUCUUAGAGUUGUGUGUGUGUGUGUGUGUGUGUGUGUGUGUGUGUGAUGAAUGUCUGUGGUUGUGGCAGAUGCCCUUCCCCACACUCAGUUGGGCAUUCCCUUCACAGAAGUUAUUAAUCUUGUAAGUAGCUCAUUUGUUUGCUCUUCAACAAAUAUUUAGCGAUUUAACAUUCCUCUCCUGACAAAUGGUACAUCUAAUGAAAUCUGAAGUCACGCCUGACUUAUCCACCUGUGUACUUUUCACAAGAAACAGGAGAAUAGGUACUGUUUCAAGCAUCACAAUGCCAAUGGGCUGGCUGUUUGCACUCCACACCACAUUAACACAUUCAGAUCCUAACCCCUAAUCCUGUUCCAAGGUGAUGAGGCAAUGAAAAGGGACUCUACAAAACUCUCCCAUUCCCCAUCUGUCCCUUGAGAAUUCAGUAAGAGAUCUCUCUGCAAGGCAGUCCCAAAACCUGCCAGUGCCAGCACCCUGCUCUGAGACUUCAGUCUCUAGAAUUGUGGGAAUAAUGCCAGCAUCCAAGAGAGGUUCCCAUGGCUGGUCCUAUAGUGCAGACCAUCAUCAGCCCAGCCUGCAGAUGCUCCAUGUGCCCCUUCCUAUCUUCUACCAGCAGAAUAUAGUAGUCCUGGUCGUGGGGCUGCUCCCUGUGCUGCCCACUAUACUGCCUCCUGACAUUCAGUGUCUCCCCCUUCUCUCCUUCCCAUUCCUUUAUGGCCCCUCCCCUAUUCCACUUUUCCCUACAGACCAUGUGGCAUUCCUUGGAGAGGGCAUGAGCUAGCCAGUAAUAUCAAAUACAAAGGUAUCCCAAGAAAGCAGAGCAGGAAAAUGCCUCCUCCCCGGCAGGACCAGGGACAUGUCCCCAGGUGCUCUGGGUACCAGGUGCUUGGCUGCUUCCCAUCCCAAGCUGGUGCUGGCAGGAGACAGAGGUGUGGGUCUCCAGGGAGCAGAGACUGCCGCUGCCGAGUUUCAUUAAUCAUCUGCUAAUUGUGGCAAAUGGGAUUUUACAGUUCCCCAGGCCCUCCCCAUGAGCUAUGGCUGUACCUCAGGGGCAGAGGCGGGGAAUUGCAGGUCAGCCACAGGAAUCCCUUCAAGACCCCCUGGCUUGCGCAGAAUGCUCUCUAUGUGACUCUUGGAAGGAGGGGUGGAAUCCUUGCCUUUCUUUCUGCCAGGCCCUAGUCACAUCCUCAGUGUAAGUCAAUCACACUGCUUGUCAGCAAGCCCGUGGCCAAAAGGGUGACUGGGUGACUCAACUGACUCUCUAAGUGGCACAUAAUCCCUUCUGAAGGUUUGCUGCUCAGGACCCAGCCUAGGUUACCAAGCCUCAUAGACCAAAGCCCUGAAUCUACUGAAAAGGAGGAGUUGCUUGCUAGCUGUGGCCGCUUGGUCUCUGGGUCUCUACUUCCUCACCUGUCAUGUUUGAGAAUAUUAUAUUCCCCUCUCUGGGAAACAGAAUACUGAAACUAAACUGCAUCCAUCCCAGCGUGCCUGGCUGAGGAUGCUUUUCAGCAUCCAUUCCUAAGGGUUUCCUCACCCGCCUAGCUCUCCUCCACCCUUGCUUUUCAUGUGAUGGUGGGCACAGCUUUACUUAGAACAAUGAGAACAUGGCUGGGCUCCAUACUUUGCUCUGCUCUCUACCACACCCUGCAGGCAGGCCCUCCAGAUUGAGUAAGGGCAGGGACCAGGGAUAGAAAUCUCCUAUCUGAAGGCGUCCUAGCAACGAUGCAAACCUGGGGCUGUUCUGCCCAGCCUUGUGCUUAGGGGUCAGCUCAAGUAUUCCUUUCUCUUUGUCCACUACCAUCUGGUCGUUUUGAUCAAGAGCCCCAGCCAACUGUCACCUCUCUCACCCCUGUUAUAUAAGGCACAGUGAGGCAGGGAUAAAGCUGGGAUUUCAGUGUUUGUAAAGUACCCUCCUCACUGAAUGGUUUGGAUAACCACGCUCUCUCUUGGGCCCCAGUUCCCUAGUCUGGUGAGUGAGGUCUCCUUCACAGAACAGUCUCAGAGUGUCCUGGGACUUGGGAACAUGCAGGAUCCUCAGUUCAAGUGGACAGUACAAUCCAGACACAGUCACGCAGCGGCCCAGGGAGGCUACAGGUAAUGCUAUAGCAGACUCUCACAAAGGCCUGCCUCUCCCUCUGCAGUCUCCAUACCCACGCCUCACCCUUGCAAUAAAGUGAGAACUGGUCCAGAGUGCUCCUGUUUCUUUGAUUAAAGGAGUGUGGCCUCCAGAGGCUUCUAAUUGGCUGAUGAAUGAUGGAGAGAAUGCGGCUUCUUUCUCAUGAAGCUGACAGGGUUCAUCAGGAAGGGGACAUCCACAGUGCUGACGCCAGCUUCUUGCCUUCCUCACAGCUGGGGUGUCCCUAGCUAUCCAGGCCCUGUCAGGAACCCCUGAGACCCCCAGCUUCUCACAGUGUAUGCCUGGCCUCUGACAGACACUGUCAGCCAUUCACAACCACAGCCAUUGAUUUUAGGCAGAGAAUACCUUCUGUUUCCUUAAGGCAGUUUCCCUGAAUCGGAGAAAAAUUAUGAAACAUCUGAUGAGGGAGUUGUGUGUUGUUGUGGUUUUGUUUUGUUUUUUGAAGACAGGAGAGUGAUGAUCUGCAUGCUACUUCAUGAUAAUCCCCUAAUGGUGACAAGAUCAGGGUCACAGCUGACCAAGGUGGUGCAUGCUUUCAAUGCCAGCAUCCAAGAGGCUGAGGCAAGAAGAGGACCGCCAUGGGUGACACAUAAUGAGUACCAGGCCAGCCAGAGUAAAAAUAGAGAUUGGCUGUCUUCUGGCUACUUAACCAUAUCCAUGUAAAUGAAUUCAACCAACCCACCCCUGGGGUCUCACUGUUUACCGUCCGGGUGUGCAUUUAUUCUUACUGUCUUUUAUGAAUGUAACGCUCCUUGCAGAAAGAUGUUAGAAUGCAGUUUUCGUGAGAAAAACUGAAGCCUGGGAAGGUCAGCCCCUUGUCCACAGGUUUUUGGGCUCCAAAGCCUAUUGGACCUGUGUCACUCUGUAGGCUGUCACCCUGAGCUUGAGGUAGAGACAACCUUAAAGUGCUGUCCACUGUCCCCUAUGAACUAAUACACCCUCUCAAACACAAAGGUAACAGUGGCCAAGUCACACCCAGGCCACAGUCCUCCUUGAGCCCACACACACUUCUGACCAGUGGAAACCACCUCAUGCCUGCCCUCCAGUGCUUUCAGACAUCCUCCUUUCUCACACGGGCUCAGGCUGUUCCCGCUACCAGGAAGGAAGCAGCCUCCUGUGAUGUGAGAGCCACGCAUGGGGUCUGAGUCAGGCUCACACGGAUCUGUAUCUGAGCUCUGCCCUUCCUCACCUCUUGAACUGCUAAAGUUCCCUUCCCCAGAAAAUGGAGACAUGCCAGGACCUUGUUGCUUGAUGAGUCAGAACUCUGGCCCUGCCCUGUCUCCACCUGAAACCAGUCUUCUCUGACUCAGUGGUUAACACAUCCACCACACUUGGAGCCACCUCCCAUGUCCCUUCCUCUCAAGACCCGUAAGGGCGAAGGCCCCACACUGACCUAAUGCUAGAUUGUAUGUUUGGCAAAGCUUAGACACGGUCUAUGGAACAAUUUUUCUUCAGGGCUCCAAUCCUCACCUGCUUCCUCCUGUAGCAUCCUAACUCUCUGCAUCCAUGUCUCCCUGCUUCAUUCUCAGCCUACCAUAUUCACCUCCCUGGGCCCUGCAGCAGUCUAUGUUCUCUCUGUCUGGAUCCCUCUGCCAUACCACUAUGUUCUGAUCUUCUCCUGGAGAGCUUCUACACUUCAUAUAGUUUAACAUGUAACUCAGGCCUCCUGUGCUCCCUAAGAAAGUUUGUAGACACCCCAGGCCGACCAGAUCCCUACCUCCAUGUUUGCAUAGUCUCAAGACUGCCUUCUUGCCCAGACCCCACCACAUAGUACUUACUGUCUUUGCCUACCUAUCUACCUCUCCUGUUUGGCUGUGACCCCAAGGACUGGGCCACCUCUAAGUGGAGACUUUCUUGGCUCUUUGGAGCAUCUGCCCAUUAGGACAAGCACCUUCUGUGAACAGGGUGUGUGUUGGCUACUGUUACCUAUGUGGUCCAGACAGUGUGUUAGUUUGUAAGGGGACAACGCUUCAAGGCUGUGUCUACAUUUAUAUGUACAUUUUCUGCUUCAAGUUCAAACCUUGUUCAUCAGCACAGCAAUUAAAGGCAGCGCCAAAUGACAGAUGGCCCGGCACUGAGCCUGAACCUUGGCUCCACAGCAGGCCUGGAGUAGGGCAGACAUGUCUGGCAUGGUAGAUGCUUUCAUUGAUCUAGAGUCCAUCUCUAAGGGUGCUGCUGUGGAGCCAGCAGGAUGACAUCAGUGCCAGCAGUGGGGGUUGGGCCUAAAAGGGCCCAUGUCACAGUCCCCUAGGAUGACUGGGCAAAGUAGACCAUCUCUAUUCUAAUAUGGAGACUUUUUGUUUUAUGUUGUGUUAUAAUAGUUAAUUUAAUUUUAUCUGAAAUUUAUGGUAGGAGGUUCCAGAAUCCUACCUUCCAAGUUUCUUCAACAUUAAGAAUACCCCCACCCUCAGACAACAGCAUCCUGACAGUUCCACAGACAGUUCUGGAUUUUCAUAGUUAUUACUCAAAAUCGUCAUGUCUAGGUUCUUGGGCAUCAUUUAGCAGGCAAUUAAGAUAUUAGUGUCUGGCAUUAUGUAAGAACAGUGUUGGUUGACAUGAUUCUAUGUAAAAGACUACAGUGAUACCUUCCCUACUUCCUGUUCGCCCCUCCCCGCUUCCUAUUAGCCUCUCCCAAUUUCAUGUUAGCCCUUCCCCGUUUCAUGUUAGCCCCUCUCCAUUUCCUGUUAGCCCCUCCCCGUUUCAUGCGAGCCCCUCCCCCACUUCCUGUUAGCCCCUGGUGUGAACAGACUGGCUGGGUAUUACUCUGUGAAUGAUACUGGCUUCUCCAUAAAAGAAAUACCAAGUUAGCAUCCAUAUCGAUGCCUAGGCCAUAAAUUUAAGGCAACAUACAGUGCACAGCACCAGCAUGGACGCCACAGUUUUAAGUCCACCAGUGCUAGAUCUUAACUUGGCCACAGUGGGAACCCCAGAGGGUCAGUGGACAAGCAGCCAAGAUGAAGCCUCAUGGUGACCUCCAGUGGCUUCUUUUCCUCUGAAUGUUUCAGAUCAUCCAAAAUGUUUCAGAUCAUCAAUUCCUCUGCCAUGUUCCCACCACAGCCAUUCUAGCAUAUAUUCUCUCAGAGAGUUGGGGCCCGAUCCCUUCUCAGCUAUCUACAUCUCCAUCCAAGUGAAACAGAAGAGAGAGGUGCAGCCCAGGAAGGUGAGUCCUGCUGUCUGUUGUUAGUGAUGUGGAAAUUAUACAUCUUGUUUAAGGAGGCACUGACACAUCUAUGUACACAGGGAACCAGGCUGGGAAGUGUGAGGCAGCCUCUGUGAGGACCAUCACAUCAGUGGCACUUCUUUUUUUUUUUUUUUAAUAUUUUUUAUUAUUACGUAUUUUCCUCAAUUACAUUUAGAAUGCUAUCCCAAAAGUCCCCCAUACCCUCCCCCCCACUUCCCUACCCUCCCAUCCCCAUUUUUUGGCCCUGGCAUUCCCCUGUACUGGGGCAUAUAAAGUUUGUGUGUCCAAUGGGCCUCUCUUUCCAGUGAUGGCCGACUAGGCCAUCUUUUGAUACAUAUGCAGCUAGAGUCAAGAGCUCCGGGGUACUGGUUAGUUCAUAAUGUUGUUCCACCUGUAGGGUUGCAGAUCUCUUUAGCUCCUUGGAUAUUUUCUCUAGCUCCUCCAUUGGGGGCCCUGUGAUCCAUCCAAUAGCUGACUGUGAGCAUCCACUUCUGUGUUUGCUAGGCCCCUGCCUAGUCGCACAAGAGAUAGCUAUAUCAGGGUCCUUUCAGCCAACGCUUGCUAGUGUAUGCAAUGGUGUCAUCGUUUGGAGGCUAAUUAUGGGUGGCACUUCUGAGGCGGCAGACAGACUAAGAAGAGGGCCUUGCUUCCUUGAAAUUAGUGGCUUUGGAGAUCUCCAUGCCAUCAGGGAAAAGCCUGCUCUCACCUGCUCUUCUCAUCCAGCAAUGGACAGGGAAGGAUUCCGUGGGAUCAGCCCUGCCCUGCCCUGCCCUGCCCUGCCCUGCCCUGCCCUUGCCCUUGCCCUUGCCUGAAGAUGUCUGCUUCUUCUCCCUUGCUGAAACAUAGCCCUAGCAUGCAUCUGAAGACCUUCUGAGGCUGCUAUUGGGAGGUCAAUGGUACAGAAAGUAUAUUCUUGGACCUUGUGAGCAGCUGAGCACUAGAGGACAUAAGGAAAUGCUAGGUGAAGACCUGAGAGCUAGCACCAGUUUUCUGUUGUUUACAUCCCUGCCUUGCCAACAGGUAAGAGGGAGUAGUGGACCUGAGAAAGAGCAUUCAUUCUCUCCCAGCAUCCUGAUGACAGUGUCCAUGCAUGACCCUGGUCCCACCCUGUCCCCAUGGAAUAUAUGUCCUCUCUGUCUUUGAUUACCCUGUGACCGUAAUAGCUGAAGGAGAAUUUAGACAUCCAUUCUCCUCUUGGGAAAUAAAACCAUGAUCAAGCUUCACGAAGACUCAGGCAUGACUGCUUGUCCCUCUCCCAAGACAGCUGUCACUGAAACAUGCAGAUGACAGGGGCUUCAGUGGGAGAUGUCCCCUUGGGAACCCAUCACCUGAAUGCGACUCCCUCUCCCAGUACUGGCAAACACACACAUAGCCUUCCAAUCCUUACUACAAAUAUAGAGUCCCCAUUUUUAUGUGUAAAACUUAAGACUAUUCUACUAAUAUGAUCUGUUCAGGCAUAAAGUAAAUUUAUUUUUUCAAACAAGAAAAGCAUGUUCUGUUUCCGAUGAGUUCAGCGAUGUUUCCAUUUCUAGAGUUCAUAUUACAGACUCAGUAGCCUCAUCAAGAUGGUCGAGAAGGGUUUUUAGGCUUUUUUUUUUUUAAUCAAAUUUUGGACUAUUUGCAUGUGCACAGUGAGAUCUCUGAAGAGUAAGACCCAAAAUUAAUUCAUAUUUCAAAAAGACAUUAUAUACAUAGUCUUGGGUAAUCCUAUAUAGUGUUUUUAAUAAUUUGUAUAUGAAACAAAGUUUCACGGUGUGGACUCUUGUACAGUGUCAUGUAGAUGCUCAGACCAUCUCAGACCUGGGAGCAAUUCAGAUGUCAGUUUUGGAUUGAGAAUGCUCAGCCUCUAUUCCAAAUUCUACCACUGUCAGGCAUACCAGCCACCAUUAUAACUGAGACCAGUUACCCGACAAGCAGCAACUUAGGGCAAAUCUUGGUUCCCAGUUUGAGAGGAUUUAUGGGAAGAAAGCAUGCUGGCUGCUGGUGGGAGUGUGAGAGUGCUUGUCCGGGAAGCAGAGGCAGGUGAAUGCUGGUGCCCAGAUGGCUUUCUCCCUUUUCUCUUUCUAUUCAGAAGGAGGCCCCAGCCCAUUCACUGGGGGAGUGGGGUCUUCCCCUCUCAGUUAACUGUUUCAGAAAAUGAUACCAUCAAUAUGUCCAAAGGCAAGGCUCACCAAUGCCCUAGACAUUUCCUAACUCAAUGUUGGCAAUCAAAACCAAGCAGUCUAGAUCAGAGGGACGGCUUAGCAUGUGAAGGUGCUCGCUGCCAAGCCUGCUGGCCUGAGUUUGAUCUGGGGGACCCACACAAUGGAAGGAGAGGACUGACUCCUCUGCCCUUCACACGGUGGCACCCCCUGCUGUCAUGCUCACUCUUAGUAGUGAACAUUCUUUCUACAAACUAGGUAACGUCCUUAGAUCUACAAAUAUGAAUACACCUUCCAUUCACUGAUCCACAAAACAUCACAGUGCUCCUUCUCAGAUGAGCUGAGUCCUUUGCCCCAUGUCCUUUAGCAAGCUAGUGAGGAACCAGUGUGUGAUCUUGUAUGUCUUCAGAGCCUAAAUUCACAGCCUGUGACACAUCCUGGUCUCCAGAUCGGGAGGGGGCAUGGGAAAGGGGGGGGGGGUAAGACUCAGGUCAGCGUCUCCUGAUCACACGUUCUCAUCUGGGUAAUGAGAUGGGGCUCCUUCUGUACUGCUGCUGUAACAGCUAGGGGAGAGUGAGGAGAGCUGGGCCACACUGGAGACAGGACCUUCCUGUAACUCCCCACCCCCCACUCUGAGUGACAUUUACUCUGUUACCACUCUGUCCUCUCUGCGCAGAUGCUUUUUCUCCUUGGAGGAGGUGCAUUUCUGUCUUAGGACAUUUUACCUGCCAGGCCCUCACCUAUGUGGCUGUCCUCAUUCUAUCUGGGACUCUUAUUCACAGGAUGCCAGCUAUGGGUUCCUUUGCUUGCAUGUCCAGUGACUCCCCAUUGUGCUUCUGUUUGUGGGGGGAGGGGGAAUGAGUCGUGGCUAGGUAUCGCCUUCAUUUGUUUGCCUGUUUGAUUCUUGAUCAACUCCCUGACUCAAGUACAUGUCCCCUGGGAGCAGAAACUCAGUCUAGCCAUGCCUUGCUUUACCUAAGAGUGCUGUGUGUGGCUAACUGUUGGUCAAGUGACUUGGGUGAUCUUUAAGUCCCCACUUCAGGUCAGGCACUAUGUGAAGAGAAAACAAUGUUGAGGUGAAAGGUACAGCCCAUGCAUCCUAAAAGCUUGAUGCCUCAUAGGGGUGGAGGCAAGGCAGGACAUAGGACAAAGAAGACAAGGGAUUGAGAGAUGGGAACAAGGAAGGAAGGGUUCAGAGAGAGCUCAGUAUGGGGUGAGAGGUGAGGGACAAAUGUACAGAAUAGCAUCUGAUGUCAAGCAUCUGAUGAAGCAUGGAUAAAUAUGGGGAUUGUAUAUGGUGUCAGGCCUUGGGAAAGGCCCAAGGGGACAAAGCUCAGGGCUGCAGGGGUUCAGAAACAACUGUCUGGAGCCCAGGAAGUGAGAGUGGAGUAGAAGAGGCCAGCUUUCAGAGAACUGCCCCAUAGCAGGAACCUAGAUCUCAUUCCUUACAGGAAAGAAGCCAUGAAGACAGACCACACUGAUAGCUGAGAAGUUCCCUCCAAAGAGACUCUCAGGCAAGCAUCCAAUGCCUACUCUGCUACUUCUUCUCUUUUAAAGAUUUGCUUGUUUAUUUAUUUUAUGUGUAUGAGUGUUUUCCUGCAUAUAUGUCUGAAAUUAUGAGCUUGCAGUGCCCAUGGAGGGCAGAAGUGGGUUGGCUCCUCAAGAACUGGAGGAUCCUGUGACCAUAGCCAUGAGCUAGAUUCUGGAAGCUGAAAGCUAAGAUUAUUCUAUAUUCUCAGGUUGGUGCUAUUGGACUUUGGUGAGAUGAUAAGAGAGCCAGGAGCCAGUCUUAGAAAUCCCCAAGUGACUAGCAAAUGUCUUCAACUUUAUCAUAAGCACACAGGAGGGCAUGGCCUUGGGCACACAGAUCUUUGCCUUUGUCAAGAGUUUUAAUAGGCCCAAAGUAUAGUUGGAGUUAAUGAUAGUUACGAGCUGCCACGUGGAUGCUGGGAACUGAACCUGGGUCCUCUGGAAGAACAGCCAGUGCUUUUAUCCACCGAGCCAUCUCUCCUGCCCCUUCACUCUGCUUCUUUUCCACCACAAAAUCGGCCCAGGAAUUCUAUGUCUGUGAGCCCAUUUCCUCAAUUUGGAAGUAGGUAAACCUUUGCUAAUGAAUGUUGAGUAAUUAUGGCUUCUGUCAUUGGUGUGAUUUACACAGAACCAGCAGAGGAUGUGGGAGAAGCUUGAUUGGAGCUAGACCCUUUAGUCAUGCUGUGGACCAUGACUUGACAGUGGCCAUGGGGUCAGCAGGUAAGAAAAGGCAAAGAGCUAGAAAACCGUUGGAAUAGUGACGAAAACUCAGACUCAGAGCCUCUAUGGUAGAAACCUGAUUAAAAGAGGCACAGGGGUACUUUACCCAUAAAGACUAAGGGGACAGAGGUCAGAGGAGCCCCAGGUCUGCUAGGGGAUAGUAACUCAGGUUCAGACUAAGGGGAGUGAGUCACAGACUAGCCUAGCAUGGGUUCCGCUGUCAGCUCAGUUGCUUCUGCACCUUUGGAAGUUGGAGCCAGCUCUGCAUCUCAGGCAGCUCCCGUGCUGGGAAGGAGUGUCCCGUCAUUACUGAGUGAUGCAUUUUUAAUUAAAAUGGAAACCAUUGGAGCAUUCCGUAAAGUUUUACUUGGGGAAUUUGCCUUCUUGCAGGCUCUGCCUUAAUUAGCAUUCUAUUUAUCCCUUAUUAAUAAAUGAUAUCCAAGCAGUUCCUUCUGCCUCUUUUGAUCUCAGGGUCUCAUCAUUCAUGAGCCAAACUCCGUCCCUCGUUGACAGUCAGGGAUCAGUGGGCCCAAGCAGAUCUGACUUGGGGUUUGAGAAUUAGGGUUCUCAGAAAAUACCAUCAACAUGAAGACAUUUUUCUGGCUACCCAUGUCCAGCAGCUAUCAUGUGUGCCUCUGAGGUUGAGGGUGGCACCUUUAGAAAACACACCUUUUUUGAUUAAGCCUCUAAACUGGGCAGAUAGACCCAAGAAAGUGGCCCCAGUUGUUCAGUCUGGACCCACCUCCAGGAGGUAGAUGCCAAGGAACUUAAGCACCUGCUGAUCUUUGACCCAAAGUCAAGAAAGCUCAGUACCUCUAUGAGGAUCACAAAGCCAGGCAGUAAGUGCUGGAGAACCACGGGAAGCUGGCCUGUUGUGUUUCGUGUCUUACAUUAAGGGCUCAUGGGCACAGUCCUGAUCAAUGUUCUAAGCCAGCUAACAAGGUUAAAAUAGUUUCCCUCCAGCCCCCCCAGAAGACAAAACCAGCUGUGGUAAAAUUCAUCAGCCUUCUUACAGUUCUCCAGCUGUUAAAGAGGCAGAUCUGAUAAUUAAGGCUGAGACUGUGGACUUCAAGGCCCUCGGUUCCAUUGGCUGAAUGUAUUCAAACUGCACUGUCCCAGUUUGAACCCUAUUGCCCUACGUCUAAAACAUAUUUGGAGGCAACAUCAGGUCCUUUCUGCCCAGAGUGUGUGUACUGAGGACCAGCAGCACCAACCCAUGGGUAUAUAUUAAAAUGCAGAACCCAGAUCCCACUACAGACUCAUGAAUCAGACCCUACAUUUGGACAAGGUCCCAGGAUGUGCCAACACUCACUAAGGCUUGCAAAACAAACUGGAGAUCUGGGUUUGGGUAAGUACCUGCUAGCACAUGCCUUAGCAGAGUACAAGGUGCAGAUGAGCCCUGUGACCUUAGCCAUGAGCUAGAUUCUGGAAGCUGAAAGCUAAGAUUAUUCUAUAUUCUCAGGUUGGUGCUAUUGGACUUUGGUGAGAUGAUAAGAGAGCCAGGAGCCAGUCUUAGAAUCCCCAAGUGACUAGCAAAUGUCUUCAACUUUAUCAUAAGCACACAGGAGGGCACGGCCUUGGGCACACAGAUUUUUGUUUUUGUCAAGAGUUAUAAUAGGGCCAAAGUGUAGUUGGUUAUUUAGGACAGUGGUGGGUUGGACUGGCAAUCACACAUGUCUUUGAUUAAUAAAAACAAAGCUAGGCACUAAUUACCUCUCAGACACUGGACUUAUUUAUGACAAUUCCUUUCAGAUUGUGAGGUUCAUGGGAUAAAGGAGAUUAUAAAACAGGCCAUGACAAGCGGCACACAAAUGUCUAUAACUGCAGCCCUAAGCUUCUGAAAGGAUUCUGACACCAUUGUCUGGGUUGGACCUGAAUGCAUAUGUACACACACACACAGAGGCACAUAUACAUGAAUAAAAAUAACAUGAAAGUAAAGGGUCUCUGAUUGUCUGGAAUGGCUCCUGAUCUCAGAGAGUGAGGAAGGGAGGGAGGGAGGGAAUGAGGAAAGGAAGGAAGAGAAAGAAAGCGGUCCAGAAAUCAUUAGAAGCAGCUGAUGCCCCAUAUGGUGUUUCCUGCAGCCCUGUGGUCACAGCAGCAUCAACUGACAAGGAUGAUGUUGAUGACAGUAGCUAGCAGAAUAAGCUGCCCACUCUGUGUGGUCUAAACUGGCCUAUGCCACCUGCCAAGGAUGGCCUGUCACUAUCAUGCCCUCUGAACUGAGGAAAAAUGAAAAGCCCUGUCCUCAGCUUCCUGCUUAAAGAGCAGCAGAGGCUGAGUACCCAGCCAAGGCUCUCAAGCCCCUUCCUUUACACAUCUCCAUGCGCACCUGCUACCCAGAUCCUGUUCACGGUCCUGCUGAAGCUGCUCAUACAUUUGGCUGAGCCAUUAUAGUGCCAGAAUCUGGGGCUAGCUAACUCGCAGCAGCCACUAAGUGUCUCUUCUUGAUGUUUGGUGAAAUUGAGAUGGGGCAGCCUUAACUGUAUCUAGGCUGGCUGUCCUUAGUGCUGAGCACAGAUCACAGGUACAGCCAACGUGCAUGUGUGUGUGUGUGUGUGUGUGUGUGUGUGUGUGUGUGUGGCUUGCUAACUUCAUUCCUCAGGCAACUUGGGAUCACUUGUUUAGACUAGAUUGGCAGGGUCUGAGGGCUGAUCAGUAAGCUCUGGAUCUAUGUCUGGCUCCUCCCACUCUGGGAUUACAGGUGUGUACCACCAUGCCAGCUGUGUACAUGUGUGCUGAGUAUCACGCGAUUUUGGAUUACAAGUGUGUACCACCAUGCCAGCUUUGUACAUAUGUGGAAAGCAUCAUGUAUUUUUUUUUAAGUUAAAUUCCAUUAAUGCUUAAACUCUAGAAUCAAUGACUUUAUCCCAACAUUUAGAACUAAGUUUGACAUACUGUGGUGUUUAAUAAUAAAUGCUUGCUGGAUCACUUGGGAUAUAUAAUGAGGGCCUGUCUGAAGAAAAGCAAAAAUUCAUAAAUAAGCAAAUUAAUGAGUAUAUAAACAUGAAUAAAUAUAGAAAUCAAGAGCCCUGUGUCACUUUCAUCCCUUCCCCUAUGUCUUGUUGAGUCUGUGAUGUCCAGGUAGCCUUUACUCUCUAAUGUCACAGAAUGUUUAUUCCUUUGGCCUGAGUCUCCUUGAGGUCUAGUAGAGCCCUGGUCUGCAAUCUAGGCAUGCACAGUUAUGUGCAUGGGGUGUGUAUUUAAAACAAGAAAUCAGCUUCCAGAUACUCAGGUUAGUUUUCUACUCUUCCAAAAUUGAUCUCACCAAGAUCUACUCAAGAAGGGCUCCCAGCGAAGCCUUCUCCCACUUGACAGAAAGUAGACCCCUCCUUCACCCUGAACCUUACUGGAUGAUUUGCUGAGGAGUUUCAAAUUGCCAUGGUGCCAAAGGACAAAAAAAAAAAAAAAAAAAAACAAAAAAACAAAAAAAAAAAAACAAAACAAAACAACCCACUGGUGGGUGAGCAUUGUCGCUAAGCUAGGGAACCUGAGAUACACGGAACUUCCAAGUUUCACCUGGUGUGAUUUCCAGUCACAGGCAAGAUGAUUGAGUCCUCUGGCUUGUGUUGGGGGCUCAAAGACUGGCCUAAAGGGGCUGGAGAGAUGGCUCAGGGAUUAAGAGCAUUGACUUCUCUUCCAGAAGUCCUGAGUUCAGUUCCCAGUAACUACAUGGUGGCUCACAGUCAUCUGUAAUGGGAUCUAAUGCCCUCUUCUGGUGUGUCUGAAGACAGCUACAGUGUAUUUGUACACAUAAAAUAAAUAAUUCUUAAAAAAAAAAAAAAAGACUGGUCUAGAGGAAACAGUACAGGUAGGGAAUGCUAAUUCACCUCACGGUUUCUGGAACAUUUUCAGUACUAUCCUCUUGUUUUGUUUUCAAGCCACAUUGGACAAAAUCUAUUCUUUUUCCAGUUUAGUGUCCUUUACUCAAUUAAGUUGGUUCACACGUUCUUCUCUCCAGUUAUAUCAUAAGAUCUAACUGUAUUUAAUCUUUAUUUUCUUUCAUUUUAUAAACUGUGUGCUCAUUUCUACAGUCUCUUGACAUAAACUUUCUGCACACAUCUGGCGACAACUUCUAGCUACUGAGCUUAAAAGAUGCUUAGAGUUCAAACUUUUUUUUUUCCUAAUCGUUCUUCUUUGGGGGAAGGGAGCAAAGGGAUUGAAGCCCACGGAGACAUGCAGCCAUGUGGAAAGCCAUUAUCCGCUGCCAUUUUGAUUCAAGAUCAAAUGUCACGGGAAUUGGAAGCCUUUUCAGUGUGUCUGAACGUGAUGCAGUCGGGGUCCUCCCUGACAAGUUAUCAACAAGCAGACAGGCUACACACACUCAGGCCCCAAUGGUUCUCUUGAAAGCGGUCUCCCUGUGUUCUGCUGAUAAUCAACCCACUGGCCAUAUUGAGGCAGCCACCUCCAAGGGGGACCCACUGUUCCUCUCCUGAUAGGAGCGCAUAAUCCCAUCAGUGUCAAUGGAAGGUACGUGCCCGCUUCACUAGAGACAAUAGGGCAACACAAGGGACACUUGUUCCCAGCAACUGAGGGGGUAAAUGUGAUUGGCUAUUCCCAGCCACCAUCUAUAAAGGGCCUUGCUGAGCCCUUCAAGCCGUUUCUUUGUCAGGCUGCAGACUGGGGGACUCAGUCUGCCUUCCUCUACAGUAUGGCUGCCACCCACCUUCCCUGAGCAGAAUGCUCACGAAGUCCCACCAGGACUGGCCUCUCAACCCCUUGCUUCUUCUAGAGAUGAGACCUAGGACCUAUGUCCCAAAACUGUGACCUGAGUUUCCAUGGCAGGGGAGCAACCAAAUCCUUCAUUCUUCACAAAGAACUCACAGUGGUGCCAGCAAUAGAGAUUAUAAUCAUUUACUGUGCACUGGGCUUUCUGCACACUUAAUUUUUUUUUAAUACACUGUGCACUCAGCCCCAAAGUCUCCAAGCAGUUCUGUGCAGCCACUAUAGUCACCCCCAUGAAGUAAGACAAGACUAAUUGAACAGUGGAUAAUACAGAGCUGCAGAAUCUGGACACCAGGAGGCAGACACAUAGGGUAUCAGAGCUAAGUCCUCCUCGGGGCCUGACAGCAGCAUAGAAUGCUACCUUCUCUCACCUACUGUACCAUGUUCUAUACCUAAAAUGUGACUAGAGUUUCCAUAGCAUGGGCAAAGCCUGUGUGUGUGUGUGUGUGUGUGUGUGUGUGUGUGUGUGUGUAUUAUUGCCCAAGGGUGAGGCUAAAAUGCAGGGGUAGGAGUGUGAAUAUAGACUUGGGUAUCAGCCAUGUGGCCCAUCUUUGGGGAAUACAGGGAAGUUGAUGCCAGGUUUCUCUUGGCAAUCUGGAUGUCUUUGGGGCUAUCUAUAGCAGCAGCAGGCUGAAGGCAGGACUCCUCUGUGCCCUUGGGCUCCUUCCCUGCUGAGAGAUGGUCUCACAGCUGUGGCCCCAGAUCUCCUUGUCCCACCGGAGAGAGGUCUGAGGCCUCAGGCUUCAGGCUGAAUGCAAGGCCCAUUCUGACAUGGGACAUGCUAAAAUGACAUGUCAUGGGGAUUUGUGGGCCUCCCUGGAGCGAUUUCCUCCAGGGGGUCAUUUUAUUUAGUUCCAAUUGGACUCUGUGAUUGGUCUCAUCCCUGGACCAGCUGGUGUCCAGGCUCCAUAUGGCAGGGGCUAGGAAAAUGCCAUGUUCCAAUUGAAAUAUACUCUGCCUUCCUGUGGGCCACUCUGUAAUUGCCUCUGGCUGAAAGAGGGCUUUGCUUUUUAAAAUGAAGCUAGGAAGUAAUUUCUCCACUUUGGGUUUGCCAUAGUGAUGGGUCCAUGUCUUCCCCAUUAAUUCAGACAGACACAGCAAGGAAAAGACAGACAGGGCCUCAGAGGCCAGUGAGGCCUGAGGAAGGCUUAGUGUGGGAAUCUUUACUGCCUAGCCUUGACAUGUGGUCUCAGGCUGUCACACACUGUAGCUAAUGUGCUGCUGUCCAGCUCUUAGCAAGUGCAUCUCCAUAUAGAAUAAUGAAUAGAUGUGUUUUAAGGGACACAGUCCACCUGCCACACACCAUGCUUAGCAUUUUACCAUAUGUGUACCAUCCAAGGAAGGACUUGUGAUUAUACCCAUUUUGUAGAUGGAGUAAAACAAGUCACAGAGAGUUAAAGGAACGUAUCAGAAGCUCCAUAGGCAGUACAUUUUUGCAAUAAGGGUUACUCUGGGGUCCAAUCUCUUGGGCAUUUGCCCCAAGCUCUGUUUAAGACAGGCAGUCACCUAGGGCUGUCCUUUAGAAGGUGUUCUGAGGAUUUAACAGAUCCUGUCUGUUAUCUGGAAUAGUUCUUGUGAGAGCCACUUUAGAGAUAAGAACCAGAGCAAGCACCCAGAGCUGGGAGUCAGCUCAUGGAAGCUAAAACCUUCAGAGCUGAGAUCCCAUGGUUGAAGAGAUUGAGGCUUGAGAAUUCAAGGCUUUCUUCAUUGUGAACCAGAAAGUGGCUAUGCCCGGAGAUCUGCCUGGCUCAGAGCCCGAGCUUCUCUUUGCUCCCCUGUUCACUCCGUGCUUCCCCAACAGCUGAGGCAACCUCAGAGGGGAGAGCCACCCCUCUUUAGUAAUUGCUUCCUGUCACUGCCCAAGUGUGCAUCUAGUCAAUAGUAAGGACCACCUGGCUAAAGGGCCACAUGGUCCCCUCCCAGAAGACUCUCCCUAUGUCCCUGGAGUCUCAGAAACCAGAAACCACAUCUAGAGCUGCUGGCACCAACCAACAUGUGUGAUCACCGCUGUCUCUGAUAAUCCGAAGCUUGCUGUGUGUGUACACAUGGCCGUGCAUGUAAGCCUGGAGGCCAGAGGUUAACAUCUGGUGUCUUCCUCAGAUACUCUCUACCUUAAAACAAUAUCAUUACAUUUUUAUCUAUCUCUGUGUGUGUGUACAAGCAUACUUGCAGCAGGGCAAAGGAUAGGGUUAGGGGUAACAGUGUAGACACAGGUGCUCAUACAGGCCAGGUUCAAGUCUCAGAUCCCCAGCAUGUAUCAUUCCUGUGCUAGUGUUUCAGGCAGGCACCAAAGGCCUGAACUGCAUUUGUCUUCCUCCAUGGGGAAAAUAAAGGCUAGGCCAGGCUUGAGCAGGCCCUCUUGAACUCUGGUGUACUGCGAAACCUGCUCUCUGGAGGAACUGGACUUUCCUGUGAAUCCUCAUCCCAUUCCUCACCCUGGGCUGUUCCCUGUCACCUUGUCCACCUAGAGACUGCAAUGGGAAGGUAGAGGCAAUUAAAAGAGGGAACCCUGGCUUUAGAGGCAGGCACAGUUGGAGGUGAGCCUGACUUUCAGACCUGCCAUGAAAGACUUCUGUAUAAGUCCUUCCAACUCUCAGUCAGACUCAUGGUCACUGGGACCCUACAGAGGGCAAAACUGGCUACUGGGGUCCAGCUGCUUGUAUAAUGGAGGUCCUCAGGAAGGCCAUCCUGGGAUGCCCAGUGUGGAACACAAUGGCAGAGACUGAGCCGCCAGGCAGGAGCUGUGCGGCUGCUGGGCAGUGCGGCCACUCUCAAUAGCCCAGCUCUCCACAGCCACCUGGAGGGUAGUAACUGUGCAGAAAUGGAGGGAUGAACAGGUUGCCCUGGAAACCAACUUGGUGUCCAAACUCCAGUGCUAAUCACUCUAGGCAUUGGGGGGGGGGGGGGUGUCUGUUAUUUAAAUUGCCUUGAGAGAGUUUGUGUAAGCUUUGAUUUCCCAGCUGAGGGUGAACACUCUGUCUCUCUUUCUCCUACCCCUUUCUUUCUCUACUAGAAGUUACUUUAACUAUGUCCACCUUUUAGUCUUCUCUCUCCUCUCUCUCUCUCUCUCUCUCUCUCUCUCUCUCUCUCUCUCUCUCUCUCUCUCUCUCUCUCUCUCUCUCUCUCUCUUACUUUCUGAGCCCAGGUUGCAAUUCCUUCCUCACACAUAAUGAAGACUCUGUCCUUCCAUCAGGAGAAUGUCUGCCUCACCUUCAGCUCAGGAUCUGGGAAACUAGCUGAGACCAAUCAUAACGAACAGUUGGGUUCCAAAAAGCUCAGAUGUUCGGAGUGGGAGAUGUGGCAUCAGACGUAAGUCAUGCAAGUACAUGGGAAAGGCAUCUGACUGAGUCAGAGCUCUCUAGCGUGGCAGAACCUACAGAAUGAAUAUGUAUAUGGAAUCUAUUGGAAUGACUUACUGGCUGCAGUCCAACUAACCCAACAUGGUCUUCAGCUGGGUAUUUCAGCUGGACUUGUGUGUAAGCCGGAAUCCUGAAGAAGUAGGCUCCAACAAAUGUGCUGACAAGUAAGUGCAAGCAGGUGAAGAAGAGUGAGCCCUUCCCUCCUCCAUUGUCCUCAUGUAGGUCUCCAGCAGAAGGUAUGGCCCAGAUUAAAGGUAUUCCUCAAGAUGUAGAUUAAAGGUGUGUGUUGGUCUGGAUCAAAAGCUUGUGUCUUCCAGCCUCAAGAUCUGGCUCACAGCUGUGCCUUCCAUUUCUGGAUUAUAUAGUUCAUCCCAGAUAUAGUCAAGUUAAUAACUCAGAAUAGCCAUCACAAUGCACCCCUUGUCAACUUGAUACAAAUCAGAUCUCAUCUCCAAAUGAAAAUAAUAGCCAGGUCCUAAUAAUGCCUAGCAUGAUAACUAUCCCUCCAACAACUGCAAACACAUUGUAAAGUUUAGAAUAGGUCAAUGUCCCUUGGGGAACAUCCUUUUAGUAUCACAAACUUAAAUAUGAUAACCAUUAACAUCCUCUUAAUUGAUAUUAAAGAAAUCGAAAGAAAACACAAAUAUCUAUACAAAUUCAUUCUUAACAAAAUGAAGCAGGAGCACUCAUGUUGAUUAUAAUCCUCAUUUCUGCAACUGGCCUUAGAUGUCUUUUAUAACUACCUUCCUCUACUACACAUUCUGUAUUUCCUCCACCCUCUGCAAGCACCUCAGCAGGUCUUGGCUCUUUCCUGGAGGAGGGACCCAUACUUUCAUUCCUGAUUGGUCUGUGCCCUAUGUCAUCCUGUUUGGGUUAGGCCGUUGUAAUUUUCCAUUGAGACUUUAGUCACAGGACAUGGUACUACUAACAGGCUCUCUAAAAGAUCUCCUGCACUCCAGACAUAAUCCUUCUUACCUCCAUUGUAGAAAGGCAAUCCAAUUUUCCCAUGGUAAUCUGGAUCUAUCUCCCCUCCUAAUACUGUUAUUCAUUUCUUGGUUUAAGGGCAUUAGAAGCCCACAAUGACUAAGGGGUCAUCUGAGCUUCUAGUUGAAUGAAAUGUUUGUUGUGACUCCUGGCAAGAGCACUUUCCUCUCUGGAGCCAAAACUAGGCCAGAAGAAUUUAGGGUUGCAGGAACAGGAAGCAAAAACUUUCCUAAGGGGUCAUUAGGAGUGAUACUAAGAGAAACGAUUCCCCUUUCUGUCCCUUAAUUCCUGGAUCCAUGGAUCCUGGCUAUAGAAAAAACUGUAUCUUGGAUGCUGAUUCAAGAUCAAAUACAACCUUCUAAAGAGCCCUCCGUGCUGCUGCCACCUAAUUGUGACUGCAACUGUGUCUUCAAAAGGCCAUUCCGUCUUUCUAUCAGGCCAUCUGCUUCAGGAUGGUGGGGAACAUGGGAAGACCAGUGGAUUCCAUGACCAUUGGCCCACGGUCGCACUUCUCUGGCUCUGAAAUGAGUUCCUUGGUCAGAAACAAUAGAACAUGGAGUACCAUGAUAGCGCAUAAGGCAUUCUAUGAGUCCACGGAUGGUGGUUUUGGCAGAAGCAUUACAUGAAGGAAAGGCAAAUCCGUAACCAGAAUAAGUAUCUCUAGUAAGAACAAAACGUUGUCCUUUCCAUGGAGGAAGUGGUCCAGUGUAGUCAACCUGCCACCAGGUUACUGGCUUGUCACCUCGAGGGAUGGUACCAUAUCUGAGGAUCAGUGUUGAUUUGUGUUGUUAGCAUAUCUGACACUCAGCAGCAGCUGUAGCCAGGUCAGCCUUGGUGAGUGGAAAUCCAUGUUGUUGAGCCCAUGCAUAACCCCCAUCUCUGCCACCAUGGCCACUUUGUUCAUGUGCCCAUUGGGCAAUGACAGGAAUGGCUGCAGAAAGGUUGACUGUCCACAGAACAGGUCAUCCUAUCUAUUUAAUUUUGAACUCCUCUUAGGCUGAAGUCACCUUUUGAUGAGCAUUUAUUUGGGACACAAAUAUCUUCACAUCCUCUACCUAUUUGAAGAGAUCUAUCCACUCACUUCUUCCCCAGAUAUCUUUCUGAUCAAUUUUCCCCUCAUGUUCUUUCCAAGUCCCACACCAUCCAGCCCAUGCAUUGUCUAUAGCCCAUGAGUCGGUGAACAAUCCUACAGUGGCCAUUUCUUCUCUCAAACAAACUACAAUGUCAUGUGUACUGCCUGAAGUUCUGCCCACUGUGAAGAUUUCCCUUCACCUGUAUCUUUCAGGAUUGUCCCAGGAAGGGGCUAUAAUGCUACAUCUGUCUACUUCUGGGUGGUGCCUGCAUAAUAUGCUGAACCAUCAGUAAUCCAGGCCCUAGUUUUUUUCUUCCUCAUCAACUGAUCAUCGGGAACACCCCAUGAUUCUUUAGGUACAUGCUUGGCAGCAGGUGGCAUUAUAACAGGAGUAGAAACCAUAGGCAUUUGGGCAACUUCCUCAUGUAACUUGCUUUGUCUUCAGGACCUGCUUGGGCCCAAUCACAUAUAUAUCACUUCUAUUUGAUAAUAGAUUGCUGCUGUGCACAUCUUACUUUAUGGCUUGGUAGGUCCAAUAGUACUCAGAUCAUGAUGAGCAGUUCAGGUCACAUGGCAACUUGAUGGCCCAUUGUCAAAUGUUCAGUUUCCACUAAGACCCAGCAGCAGACCAAGGGCUGUCUUUCAAAGGGAGACUAGUUGUCUUCAACUGAUGAUAGAGCCUUGCUCCAAAAUCCCAAAUAUCACUUCUGUGAUCUACUUGUAGGGGCCUGCCAAAGGCUCCAAACAGCAUCCCUACCUGCCACUGACACAUCAAGUGCGAUCAGGUCCAAGUGGUAAAGCAGCCUGUUCAACAGUUGAAGAGUUUUCUCCAGUUCCAGGCCCCACGCAAAGCUAGCAGCUUUCCAAGUCACUUGGUAAAUGGGCCUGAGUAAUGGCCCACAUGAGUAAUGUGCUGUCUCCAGACUCCAAAUAAUCCCAUUAAACAUUGUGCUUCUUCCUUGGUGGUGGGAGGGGCCACGUGCAAUAACUUAUCUUUCACCUUAAAAGAAAUAUCUCUGCAUGCCCCACACCAUUGGGCUCCUAAGAAUUUCACUGAGGUAGACAGUCCUUGAAUUUGAUUGGAUUUAUUUCCCAUCCUGAUAUAAAUAUAUGUUACCCAUGAGUCCAAAGUGGUUGCUACCGCCUGCUCACCUGGUCCAAUCAGCAUAAUGUCAUCAGUAUAGUGUACCAGUGUGACAUUUUGUGGAAGAGACAGACGAUCAAGAUUCUUUCUAAGUUAUAACACAUGGCACAGGAGUUAAUAUAUCCUUGAAGCAAAACUUUAAAGGUACACUGUUGGCCUUGCCAAUUGAAAGAAAAACCCUUCUGGUGGUCCUUAUGGACAGGUACUGAGAAAAGGGUAUUUGCUAGAUCAAUAGCUGCAUACCGGGUACCAGGAGAUGUGUUAAUUUGCUUAAGUAAGGAAACUACUUCUGUUGCAGCAGCUGAAAUCGGAUUACUACCUGAUUUAGUUUUCAGUAGUCAAAUGUCAUUCAUUCUCCAUGAUCCAUCUGUCUACUGAACUGCCCAGAUAGGAGAGUUAAAGGGAGAUGUGGUGGGAACCACCACCCCUUCAUCUUUCAAGCCCUUGAUUGUGGCAUUAAUUUCUGCAGUUCCUCUAAGGAUACAAUACUGUUUUUGAUUCACUAUUUUCUUUGGCAGAGGCAACUCUAAAGGCUUCCAUUUAACCUUUCUAACCAUUAUAGCUCUCACUCCAUGGGUCAGGGAACUAAUGUGAGAAUUUUGCCAACUUCUAAGUAUAUCCAUCCCAAUUAUACAUUCUGAAACCGGGGAAAUAUCCACAGGGUGAGUUAGGAGAACUUCUGGACCUACAGUGAGUCAGCCAUUAGCCAAAACUCCAUUUAUCACCUGGCCUCCUACUUUAACUGGAAGGUCACAUGUUUCUUGGGAUCUCCUGGAACCAACAUCAGUUCAAAACCAGUAUCCAGUAGACCCCAGAAAGUCUGAUUGUUUCCUUUCCCCCAAUAUACAGUUACCCUUGUUAAAGGCCGUAGGUUCCUCCGGGGGAAGAGCUGGAGAAAGACUAACAGAAAAACAUGUAGGUGUCUUAUCAAGAUCCUUCCUCAGGGGAACCUGGCUAGCUCAUCACUCAAGGGUUUCCGAGUCUGCAAACUGGCUCAAGUCUUGGUUCACUGGCCAAGAUUGCCUUUUUGCCAUGACCCAAUGUAGACUUUCUCUCAUUUGUUCAAGAAUGUUUCUGCUUAUAUAGAUCAAACAGAAAUGCAGUAAGCUUCUUAUUUCAUGCCCGGAAACACCAUGAUUAAUUAGCCAGUACGAAAGGUUCAUAAAAGUCAUGCCAUUAUAAAAUUCACCUUGCCUGUGCUGACCUUCAGGGUUAGGUCAUUAAGAACAUUGUUUUGUCGAUGCUGCCUAUCGUGAUAACUACAAUUCAGUGCUGCCACCUGGCCCUUGCUACCUCGGGGCCCAAUUAAACCCACUGCCUU